rnacentral:lncRNA from 1 species
UCUCAACCCCAAUUCUUGAGUUCAUAAACCAAUUUGUGUGAGGAAAACAAAAAUGGGUUCCAAGGCAAUUCUCCUCCUAUGCCUUUUGGCAGCAGUUCUGAUGAUUGCCUCAGAGGUGACAGCCAGGGAUUUGGCCGAAAAUAGUAAGCUUUCUUUUUCUUUUUCUUAAGGUGGCCGAAAAUAGUUAGUAAUCCAUUCAAGAACUUACUCUUUCCUUUAUCAACAAUUUUAUACCUGCAAAACAUAGACGUUUUUGCACAACAUGAAUUCCUCAAGACGGUUUUUUUCCUUUAAAAAAAAAUGUACUAACUAAAUAGUUCUGCAUGAUCCCGUGACUAUUUGCAGCCAAUGCAGCAGAGAAGAGUACUGAAGGCCUGGAAGAAUCCAAGUACUAUGGUGGUGGUGGUGGUGGUGGUGGUGGUGGACGCGGUUGUUAUGGACGCGGUUGUGGUGGUGGUGGCGGCGGCGGCGGCGGCCAUUGUUAUGGAGGCCAUUGUGGUGGUGGCGGCGGCCAUUGUUAUGGAGGCCAUUGUGGUGGCGGCGGCGGCGGCCAUGGUUGUUACCAUGGUUGCUGUGGCCACGGCUAUGGAGGCUGCAGAUGCUGCACAUAUGCUGGUGAGCCAAAGGACGCUGGUUACACUGAGCCAGAAACCAAACCGCAAAACUAAUACCCAGGACGUAUGGAUCAUGGCGCUUAAAUGCCUUUGGUCCAAAUUAAGAGGCUAAAAGUAAUAAAAUUAUGUAUUGUGUGAUAAAAAUAAGAGCUUUAUCAGUGGUAUCCGAUUCACCAUCAGGUUAAUCACUGCAAAUGAGGAUGUACUUUUCUCAACUUCAAUGAGGUGUAAACGAAAUCGUAUGCGUGUUUCAAGUUUCAACAGCCAGUACUUCUGCUUGGAUUCACAAAUAUACUCACAUGCUUCGUUGUCUAAAUCUAAAUUAUACCCAAAUAAUUCAAGAAUAUUUGCAGAGAAAUUUUUUACACUUCGAGGUUUCUGACGGGCUUUUGCUAUACGUACAAGUUAAAAUCCAAUUUAUACCCGUUGACUACAAGUACACAGGUCCAAUUAAUAGUUUAGGGCAUUUAAUCGGGUCGAUCCCACGAGGAGCAAUGUCUACAAGUACUAGGUCCAAAUUUCCUCUAUUAUUUAGACUUACAAUGAAUUUGAGCAGAGAAUUUAUAUUAACUACUACCUACAAUCUGAUUUAACAAUUGCAAGAUACAAAUGGAAAAAAAUUCACUAAAGACUUGAAUCUAAGAAUGUAGAUUCCACUUAUGGCACAAAAAAUCCAAAUGAAUGAAUUUAACACUUGUUACUACUCUUGUUUAACCAGAAAUUCAUUUCCAAAAAUGCAAAAUCUCAUUUUCAUGAUAAUAAUGAUUUAAAACAGCUUAGUUUUUCCUAAUCUCUUGGUGAAUAACUAAUUCUGCCCUUCCUUAAUUCAUGAAAUGUACAUUAAUCCACUUGAAUAUAUUUCUAUUCUCAUGAACAUACAACUCAAGUUCUACUCAUGUUUUUUCAUUGCUACUACCAAUUCCCAUUGAAUAAUAACAACUAUAAACUUGUUAUUGGUGAUCAAAUAACAACAAGUAAUCAACCAUGCACAAGCAAACAAGUUAAUACGAGAUAUAACAAGUGUAAAUUACAUUCAAUUCAUAUCACUUGGCCAUAAGUUUCAUCUACUCCCUGGAUAUAGAAAAUUAGCCACUCAUGAAUGAUGUAAUAAACAAACUCAUAACUUCAUUAAUGGAAAACAUCUCAAGUUACAAGUACAAGAAGUAUAAAGAAAAGCUUAGCCAAGUUGUUGGUGAAGCUCUCAAAAUUCUACUAUGUCUUGCACUAGAUGAUUCCAAGAUGAAGUCUCCAAAUGCUCCUUCAAGAACUUCUAGCUAGAGAGAAAAUGUUACAAGAAGAAAAACAAGCUACGUAUGGUCCCCGACCUUCUCCCUCUUGUUCUCAUUAAAAGCUGAUGGAAAGCUCUCUUUUUCUCCCCUCAUGAUUCCAAAAUCUCAAAUUUGUUAAUAAAGUCAAAAGAAAUGUUAUUUUGACUUGACAGUAAGUCAUAUUAUCCUUUUUUUGCUUCAGAAGCAUGUGCCACCGAAUUCUCUCACCAAAUAUGGCUGGAAAGUAGUGUGAAAAGAAAGAAAAACGGUUGUGCCACUUGCAGUAGAGAGAGAAAGAUUCGAGGCCUUGGAUCCGAGCGGUGCAGUACGAUACGAGCUCGGAUAAAGGCUGAUCCGAGGUCCUUUUCAUGUGGAUCCGAGCUUGUAUCGACUGACCUCGAAUCCAUUGCUCCAGAAGUAUAGACGAGAGUUCGGAUCUCUCCUCGUUGCACAUGGAUCCGAGCUCGGAUCCGUGUGAUCAAUUUCCAGAUUUUCAAUUCCAUCCUUUUUUCUUCAUUUUUUUCCUAGUUUCUUUUGUACUUUAUCCUCCAUAUGAUCCUUGCUUUUUCCUUAUCUCGUACAUGAAGUUCAUAUAUCAAUAUCCUUCAAAAUAUCACAAAUUAAAACAUUAAUCCACUCAUUUAUCAAGAUUUGAACACUUAAACAACAUUUAAACAAUUAGCAUCAAAAGCGUUCAAAUAUAGCUUUAAUCUUCUCAAAACAUACCAAAAGUUUAUGCCAAACUUGUACAAAAUGUACGUUAAAUAUUCACUUAUCAAAUUCCCCCACACUUGAAUCAUUGCUUAUCCUCAAGCAAUUCACUCAUAAUCAGUUUCAAUGAUUCAAAAAGGUGAAACAAUACAUGUACUUUUGUCAAAUUUAAUUCCUCAUGACUUGGAAAUUAAUCAUUACGCCAUUGUUCAAAAUUGCACUAAAUACUCAUAAUAUCAAGUAAAGAAAAGAUAAUUAUGCCCUAAUUUUAACAAAUUCAACUUAAUCACUCAUCCUGACCUAAUUCACAAAUAAGCAACUUUCAUAGUCAAUUUAUAGCCUACCUCCUCCUAUAAUCAACUUUUUCUCUAAAAUUUUACAACUAAGAGGGACUUAUUCUUUCUUGAUUUUACUUAAAUAAUGAAAAUGCCUUUUGACGCGAAAAUCGACGCUUUUAGGUAUAUUUUACUUAUUUAAAUUGCUACACAUACUCUUAAUUCAAGUACCUUUUGACAUGAAAAUCGACAUUUGUAGAUGCCAACCCCCGGUUACUCCACACAAGAAUUAUUGGAGUAGAACAAUUUUUUUUUUAAUAUCACAAUCAAUAACUAGAUAUUCCCUCAUUGAAAAUGUAUAAGAAUAAUUAAAGGAAGAGUAUGGCUCUUUAUUGACUAGAUCAAUCACUUACUUGUAAAAUUAAGCACAAAGGAGAAAUAUUAUUAAACAUGUAAAAUUAUAGGCAUAAUUUUCCUUACUUAACCGGAUAUAUUUUCUAAAAUGCAAAAAUCUUAAUUGCAUAAUAACCAAUUCCAAGUUAACUAAGGAUUAAAUCUUCCCAAAAUACAUAUAACAUUUCAACAAAUGGAAGAAUUAGACAUUUCAGGUUGGAACAAUUUGGCCCAUAAAAGUGCAAAUAUUUGAGAUAUUUUGGCUAUAAUAAAAUAUUGGAAAAAUUUUGGCAAAGUUUCCCCUUAUAAAUGGACAAAACUCCUUAUCAACAUUCCCAAUUUCAAGAAAAUUUUCCACAUAUCAAUAUUUCCAAACAUGAUUCCAACAUUUCUAAACCACAAUCAACUAAAAUCAUGCACUUCAAGACACAAUCAAGGCAUAAGGUAAUCAAAACACAAAAUACCCUCCCCCACACUUAAAAUUCUCAACGUCCUCAUUGGGAAAGAAGGGAAAAGAACUAGUACUCCCCUAUAAAGAAGUGGUGAUGCAAUUUGAUGCCACGAACAUCACAAACAACCAAAUUCUGUUCAAACUUGUGGCCCAUGGGAUGUGCCAAUGUUAACCUCCUCCGUGGUAGGCAUCGGAGAAGGUGAACGACGAAUGUGAAAAUGAUCCUCCAAAGCGCGUAGACUCCGACCAUGUCACUCUAACCGCUAUGUAAGGACACGCUCCUGUUGAUCAAUCAGUUCCAUGACUCUGGUCUCCAUACAGCAGAUGGCAUUGAGAAUCUCUUGCCACUUGGAUCGCGGAGGAGGUGGUGAAGGUGGAAUGGGAGGAAGUGGAGUCGGCAGUGCCUCCAUUUCUUGAGCUUCUUGUCCUAGGUGAGUGUGAGGUGGAGGUUGAGCAGAGGUCGACGCUUCUCUAAUGUCGCAAACCAAAGAAUCUCCAAAAUCCAUAUGAAUACCCAAUGACUUAAGUAACGGAGCAUUGACUUCCUCGACUGCCUUAGUGAUAAUGGCUCGCUCGAUUUCAAGAGGAACUCUUAGCUUUUCAAAAAUAAGGGAUAGAAGGCGAGGGAACCCAAAGCAGGUUUCGCAGGCCCUCAUGCAAGCUAUAGUGCGCAUGUAACUGACGAUGAUGCUAGUGAGAGGAAUACCAGUUAGCUGUCGAUAGAGCUGUUAAUUGAGCCGAGUCAAGCCAAGUAUUUGGCUGCCGAGCUCGACUCGAGUUUAAUUCGAGCUGAACUCGACUCGAGUUCGUUAGGAAAACGAGCUUUAAAAUGGGUUCGAACUCGGCUCGUUAAAUGUACAUGUGGCUCGAGUUCGAGCUCGAGCUCGACUUGUUUAUCACAAACGAGUCGAGUUUCACGAGCUCGUGCAAAUUAAUUUUAAUAAAAACCUAUAAUUUUUAAUUUUUAUAAUUUUGAUUUCUAAAAUGACAAAUAUGUCCUUCAUUAACGAGUUCUAACGAGCUACUCGAGUAUCAAACAAGCCGAGCUUACUCUGCUCGUUAACUAAACGAGCAUGUUUCAAGCUCGAGCUCGACUCGUUAACCAAAAUUAACAAGCCGAGCUCGAGCCUUAACGAGUCGAGUUCUAACGAGCUUUCGAGCUACUCGAUUGACUUAACAGCUCUAGCUGCCGACCCAUACCAUGCAUCAUCUUAUCCAUGAAGUAUAAGUCACUGUUACGGAGCUCCCUUUUUCCACUCCUUUUCGGUACCACAUUAAAGGCAAAGAAAUAGAAAAUCAAAUGGUACUUAGGCUCAAAGGAAUCGGCGUAUACAAUGAGUUUCUUCGAAUUUUCUCGCUCCCGGUAUUGACCCUUAAGACGUGCCACAGCUUCUCCCACUUGCCAUGGAUCCCGUGCCUUAAAUUCCUUGGUCAAUUUAACAUUUUCUUCCUCGUCCUUGAGUUUGACAAAUCGAGCUACUAUCUCCCGGUGGAUGGCCACUCUCUUGCCUCGAACCCAAGAGACAAUUAAAUUCCCACUAUGGUUCUGCUUGUCCUCCACAUUGGCAUAAAACUCCCGGUCCAAGUUGGACUAGUAAUGCUUCGGCAAUUUGAGUAUGUUCUCCUAUCCAAGUCGCUUAAAUGCCGUGGAAAUCUUGUAGUGGUCAUCCAUCUCCGGUGCCAAGUGUUUUUCAAUUAUGAUCUCUUUAUCUAAACCGGCCUCGUACCAUUGUUGAUUUUCAAGCGAAAUGAAUCGUGUGGUAUCAUAGUCCAGAGGUGACUCCUCACGACUAGUGAAUGCUCUCUUUCGUCGUGAGCGGGGUGGCGACUCAGGUGAGAGAGAUUCUUUCAUUGGUGACUCCUCAGGUAUUGAAGGAGUACACUCUUCACUUGAAGAAGGUGAAGGAGUAUGAACACGAGCCCGUCUUGUUCAAGCCAUGGUGCCUAUAUCAAAAACAAGAUCAAACGCACAUUAGAAGAAUUCUAAAUCCCUUGAAAAUACAUGACCAACAAUGUUAAAAAGUGAUUUGGAUGUUAAAAAUGAUUUGAAAAAAUUUCGACAGAGUUUUCCCUUGAAAAAGGACAAAACUCCCUGCCAACCAUCACAAUUACAAGCAAAUAAUCUUCUUAACACUUUCUCAAAUCCACUUUUAACAUUUAGAAUGCUUAGUUCCAAAAGAAUAUCACUACGCACAUAAUAAAUCCAAACACUUGAGAGUUAAAGCCAUUUACAAGAGUGGAAUAACAUCUCAAAGUAAAAUGGACUAUUAAGGACAAUGUGCUAUAAAUGUAAGCCUUAACAUCAUUUUAAAACAACAUUACUCUAUGCAUUAGCAAAACAUCCUCAAUUGGAACAAUUUCAAUAUAUAGUAAGAUCAUCUAAGAAUUACACACCACUCGGCUAUACUAAAUACACAUUAUCAUCAAAUUGCAUAAAAAAUUAGUUCCAAAUCUUAAAAACAAGUGCAAAUUAUCCCAAAGAAGCCAAAAAUUUGAAACAAAAGGUUCAAUGUGCUUUAACUUAAUAAUUGAGAAAAUUUUUACAAAAAUAUCACCAUGUUAACCAAUUUCUCAAUUCUAAGCAUAAAAGUGAUUCUAAUGACAUAUAUUAGCACAAUGUAACACAAUGAUAACAAGAAUUUGCAAUAUAUAUGCAUUACCCAAAUAUAUAGAAAAACAACAAAAAUCAAGAACUAGGAAAUGUAAAAUAUGAAGGAAAGUUGAAAAUUCUUAUCUCAAGUGCUUAGGAUGAUGCUAGAGGAUAGUAAUGUUGCAAAAAUGAGGAAGAAAACAGUCCAAAUUCACCCCAAAAUGGAAGAAUUUCAGUGCGGCCCUAAUUUCUGUUUUGAAGAUCAAAACCCCUCAAAUUGGUGUUUUUGAUAUGAAAUUGUUGAGGGUUUAUGAUUACAAGAAGCUUGGGGAUGUUUUUGAGGUGAAAUAUUGGAAGAUUAAUGGAGAAGAUGAAAGAUUAGAGAAAAAGUGCUAGGGUUCGGUGAAGAGAAAGAGAAGAAAGCUAGAAAAAAUGAGGAACCGAACCCUCGGUUAUCCUCAUAUCGCGAACCGAUCCGAGCUUGGAUCGGUCCCGAUAGGCAUCAGAUCCAGUCCUUCAAAAACACAGACGAGCCAUCAGAUCCGACUGGAUUUUGUCGGAUCCGAGCUCCGAUCCUUCCGUUUCUGCACUAAUUGCAAAAACUGCAAUUUUUUUUCAAUUUUUUCUCCCCUUUCUCCAGCCAAUUCCAUAUUGCACCUUGGACGAAAUUUUAUCAACUCCAACCCUCCACGCAAAUGUAAUAUACCAUAAACACAAUAUCUAACCUCUUAAAACACAUCAAACAAAUCUAAAUUGCAAAUUGAGGGGUAAAGUUCUUUGAUCAUUUUGGCACUUUUGCACUAAUAUGGCACCUUUAGGCAUGAAAUGCACAUCAAAUGAGUCAAUGAGUGUAUACCAAUAUAUUAUUACCAAAACUCACUUGAGUAUAAGAAUGACUCAUAUUAGAACUAAAAACAUUUAAACACUUAAAACAAGUUCCAAUAUAACACUUCCCUUUUUCUUCGAUUGAGCAUUCACUACAAGAAAUUUGGUCAUCAGUGACAACAUUUCUUAGUGACAACAGAAAAGUUAUCACAGAAUGAGGUCCUCUAUCAACAACUUUGAAAGUCGUCACAAAUGUCUCAUAGAGCUAACUAAUUAGUGACGACUUGUAUUUGUCAUCACAAACAUAUUCCCUCUAACAAGAUCCAAGAGAGUCGGAGUUAUUGGUGAAUACUUUUAGUGACGACUUGAUGAGUAUCAUCACUAUUACUAGCUCUAUUUUUUUGACAACUUUGCAAUGUCGUCACUGAAGCUUGUGUACUUUCGUUACUGGCAACUCUCUGUUGUCACUAUAAUAAUGGAUAGCUUUAGUGAUAAUUAUAUGUUGUUACUAAACGAUCUUAGAAUUUUUACAACUUUGGCAAUAUAUUAAUAUUAAUAUUGAUUUGUUUCUAAUGAAACCGUUUGACUAUCAUACAAUUUCGAGCCUCUUGAUUUUCAUAUGAAUUCGCAAUUUGACUAGUUUAGUCAAAUUGGUCAUAUUAAUUUGUCAAAGAAUGACUUGUUAAAGGAAAAAGGACUAAAGAAAUUUUGUAGUUAAUUUCCCAAUACCUGAAAAAUGUUAAGCUGUAAGAGUUUGUAAAUUGAACUAGUUAUUAAAGCAAAUAAAUCCUAAACUCUUUAAUUAAUUAAUUAAAUCAAUUUAUUGCUUUAAUUAUUUAUUUUUUAGUCAAAGGUAAUAAAUUAAAUGUGAAGUUUUAUGUUUGACUAAUAGUAAAUGAAUUAUUUAUGAAAAAAUAUUUUUCCUAUCUAAUUGAUCUUUUUUUAAAUUUUUUUUAAUAAGAAAGAGUUGACUUUAAGAACUACGGUAUUGCAAAAGGUACUUUUUAUGACAAGGUAAUUUUUGACAAAAGUCUAAUUCACUGCAAAAAGUCAUGUUUUAUGACAAGUUUCAGGUUAUCGUACAAUAAUUUAAAGCAAGAAUAGCCAUCAAAAUUCGUGCUUCUCAAUGUAAAAUAAUUGAAAAUACUACUGUACUAUUAGGCUAAAAUAAUGAAAGAAACAUAAAUAAGUUGUAGUAAUUUCACAAUUUCUAGACAGUGACGUGAAUAUUAACAUUGGAUGAGCUAUUUGAUAUCAUGAAAAAGCGAACUAUUUGAAGUAGAAAAAUGUACAUUUACCACUAGUAUUAAUGCAGCAAAUUUCUCAUCCUUUAUGAAUAGUUUCAAAAAGGCAUAAACAAAUAGAAAUUAAUAAUAUAUUACUAAAAUUAUACUUCAACUAAAAAGUAAAACUAAAAAACUUUAUUUGAAAUUUUGCAACUAAACAAGAAAGGGGGGAAGCUAAGGAAUUGAAAUUUCAUUAAAAGUGAGUAAACAAAGAAGAGGCGCGGGUGUACAUAAAACACUUAGAAAUCAAGACCGGCUCCUAGUACUCUUUCACUAUACACUAUACGCCUAACACUUAGAACCAAAAUGAGUUUCUCCCUCUUCAUCUCUUCAUCUUUGCCAAACAAAAUAGAAGAACUUCUCCUCCUUAUAUCUGUUGAUUGAUUAUGGCUCUGCAGUGCUGAAUCGAAGACUUCCUCUACCACCAACUCUCUACAAUAGAAGGUCCGCCCUUUCUCUUUUUUCUCCUGAAAUUUUUCCCAAAUUUUUUGCCCUAAUUAAUUUUUUGCUAAAAAUUUCUCUCCAAUUUUUUUGGGUUUCUUUUGAUUUAUGGAUGGAGUCAUCUCCUGAUUGUGGAAUUUGUUUUGUUGUGGAUUUCUACCCUAAAAUUUUUUCCCAACUUUUUCUUAUACAAGACAAGAGACUUUAGAGAGAUUCGAUUGUGGGUACAUACCGAUUUGUGAUGGGCCUAGGAGGGCAAAUUUAGUGUUUCAUUUUUUGUGUUAGUGGGAAUGGAAGAGAAUUAGGAGUGAUUUUGUGAAUUUUUUGGUAGUAAGUGGUUGCAUGCGAGGAAACUAGUUGGUAGAAUGGUGUUGGGUUAAGAGGGAAAUGAAAAAUAGUGAUUCGGGAUUUAAUUAAGUGGAUAAGUAGCUCAAGAUCUAGGUACAAGGUUUGGUGAAAAUUUUUGUACUGUCAAAGAUAUCUUUUGUUUUGUUGAAAUUUGGUUAACUGUAAUGGGAAUUUCACCAAUAAACUAUUUAUUUAGUUGGAGUGUGCUUUCUCCUUCACAUUGCCAAAGCGUGUAUGGCCCUGUUUCUUGUUUGUUUGAUUUGGAGUGGUAAUUUUUUCCUAUUUCCCAAAAAGGGUUCUCAUUAAGAAAAAAAAGGAAAAAAUAGAUUUUUGUAAGAUGGACUUGAUGGUGGGCUUUAUGAUACUAACUUCAACCAUUACCAUACCAGUCCUUUGUGUUCCUCCUGUUGUUCUAAACAUCUAAAUAUAUAGUCAAAUUUGUCACUUCACUUAAUAGUUAGGUCAAUCUGCAUUAUGUCUACCAUACGAGUCCUUUGUGUUCCUAUUACUGCAUUAUGUCACUUCACUUAAAAGAUGUUGGAAAUGAUACAGGGAAAGGCAAUUGCUAUAGACCUAUGUCUAUCUAAACAAUAUUAAGUGAUCAUGAUAAUCUGCUGAUUCAUCGGCGGUCUUAUGAACUUAAAAGAAUCACUUGAAAUAGUCUUGACAAUAGGAAAAUAGUGGAGCUGAUAUGGAAUUAGUCACAUUUUAGUUGGGUCUUAACUUGUAUGCCUUGAUACAAGAAAAGCUUGAGCACAUUAACCUAAAAUGGAAAGCCAGCUAAAAGCUUUCACAAGUUAGUUCAAUUUAGUAUUUACCUACUAGGAGUUUGGCUUGUUAUUUGAGAUUGAUAUAUAGUGCUGCUGUAAUUUCACUGUGGAUAAUUAACCAACUCAGAUUGAAUCACUUAAGAAUGAGGCAUGAAGUUUAAGAUGAGAUGACUUUAUAGAUAGAUACAUACAUAGUUGUGUCUUAUAGGUGGAUCAUGGAGUUCACCUUUGCAUAUUCUGAGCGGUGAAAAAUUCAUCCUUAUCUUAUUUUUCAUUCAAUUAAUUGAGAGCUUAUCAGCUCAAUAGCUUUUCACUUAACUAUUAGGUACUUUUUAGUCUUAGGAAAGCAAAGUUAAUUUGUUACAAGUCUAUACCAGAGUAAAGUGAUAUAUGCUAAGUGGCAACUAGAACAGCUAUCUAUUUAUUUAAUGUAAAUAUAGCUUUGAACAGAAUUUUUGUAGAAAAGUUGCAUUGUAGUAUAGACUUUCAUGUAAUUACGUAUGAUGCCUGACCUCUGCAUAAUCAAUUAAUCCACCGGCUUCUUGUACAGAUUGGAUCACUGAGUUGAGUAAUUCUCUGCAAUUAACUUGUCCAUUUUCUGCUGUAAAUUUGGCUUCAGUCAACGAGCGACUUAUGGACAAGGCCUACAAAAUACCAUGAAGAGCAAAAGGUAUUGGUACCAGGACAUGCCUUGAUUUGGUUUUGACAGAUUAAACUAAGCACAAAUAAGUUGUGCAAUCCAUCUAUUUACUCUUAAUUUCUAAAAAAGUUGUGCAAUCCAUCUAGCAACUUGUUUGGUCUAUUUUGUCUCAUUUAAUCCUCUAAAUGUUCUAUUUUUUGCUUGUUAAAAAGACAUCUCUGGAGCAUAGAUUAUUUUGAUUAGUUGAAAUAAUCUCUAGAGCAUAGUCAUCCCUAGUUAAUAAAAAUCAUUUACAACUAGUUAGCUCAAAUAUAGAUUACGCUUGACUAAAGUUGAUUGUAAUGACUAUGCUUGACUAUCCUUUAAUUUUUGAGCAAUAAUGCUCUAUUCAGAUUGAUAGUUGUAGGUAUUGCUAGAUCAAUCUGCAUAUGUACAAUUUGAUGUGAAUUAAACUCCCAAAACUUAAAUUGUUUGUACUGUGAUUAUUAGCUUUUGCAAUGAUUGAAGCUACUGACAUAGGCUCAAUGUCUCACUAGGAGAUUGUCAUAUAGCUGCAUUUUUUACUUUAAGGUGAGUUAACACGAACUCUCUUUUUUUCCUUUUUCCUUUGUUUUUGUGAUCACAUGCGCACUUAAUUGGAAAUGACUAUCCAAUCUCAGCAGCAACUGAUGGAAACACUUGUGAGCCAACAAACUUAGAUGCAGAAACAACAGAAUGAAAUGCAGAGCCUGCUUAAAUCUCUAAACACAACUGGAAGCUAGGCAGCAAGGUAAUGACAGCACAUAUGCUCGUAAUGCAUGGCAAAACCUUUUUCUGAUCAUACUUUUAAUAAGGUAGAUUUGUAAUAGUACAAAUCAAGUGCAAUAUGAAUCAUGGACAUAAUUUUCUGCCCAAUUGACUUAAUGAGGGCAUUUAUAUAGAUGGUUUAAUUUUGGGUAGUAAGCUAAUUUAAAAUAACCUUUUACGGGUUGAAGAAUGAACUUAAUCAAAUUAUUGUAGCACAGCAAUUUGCAGCGAAUCAUUGUUUUAUGUUAUCCAUGGCUAAUUUUUAUAAGUAACAAUCCUUUGUCUUCAGUAGAACAUAUAGAAUAUAAAUAAGUUAUUGACAUUACUAAUACUUUAAUAGCUAACUUUUGAGUUCAUUUGGGAUAUUGUUCUUGUUAUGACAAUUCUCCACCUUCUUUAUUCUUUUCCUUAAUAAUUUCCUACUCAUUAUUUGAGUUUGCGAUAAGUAAAUCUAAGAUUUUUUUCCUUUUCAAAAUGCUUGUUACUUACUAUUGUUAUACUACUUUAUGCAGACAAAUGCUACUAUGUCAGAUUUUGUGCAAAAUUCACAGCUACUAAGUGGACUCAAGAAGGAUGAAGAUAAAGCUUCUUUUUUGGCUCGUGAAGUGUUUUGGAAGUUUUUAUGACUUUUGAGGCUUGGAUGCUUUUUGUAAACUUGAUUGACUUUGCAUGAACAAUUUGGGUUACACAGUACCACUUCUAUUGUAGUAUUUGUAGGAUGACAUUGAACUUAAACAUUAUAUUUUGGUCCUUUGUAGCAUAAUGGAUGCUUUUAGCUAUUAAUUAGCAGGCCUUUUAUGGUUCUUUUGAUUUGAUGAAUUGUUGGAUUCCUUUUUAGUAUAAUGGAUGCUUUUAGAUAUUAAUUAGCAGGCCUUAUGUGGUUCUAAUUUGAUGUAUUGUUGGAUUGGUUGCUUUUAGGACAAUCGUUUGUAUCAGGUUUCAUAGUGACAAUAUAUUGUUACUAAUCAGAUUUCUCCACUAACAACAAAAAGUUGUCACUAAAUAGGGUGUAUAACAAAAAGGUGUAUAGUGAUGAUAAAUGUUGUCAGUAAAGAGCCAUUUUUAGUGACGACUCUAAAGAGUUGUGAGUAACCAAUCAAUACCAACGGCAACUAUGAAAAGGAUUUUACUGACGACACUACUACGAGCAUCAUUGAUAAGGUGAAAUGUCGUCACUAUAUAUGUAUUUAUUAUUGACAAAAAAUAUUGUCACUAAUGAAUAACAUUUACUGACGACAUUUAAUGUUGUGACUGUGUACCUUCACCGACAGAGAUUCACUGACGACUUUGUGACAACUAAAAUGUUGUCAGUAAAACAAGUUAGUGACGACUUUUAUAUUUUCUGUGAUAAUAAUCAGUUGUCACUGAUGACCAAAUUUCUUGUAGUGAUUUUAUGAUCCUCAAAGAUACUCCUUUAAACUGAAAAACCUAUAAAAUCAAUUUUAUCAUCAAAAUCACACCAACUAAUAAAACUCACAAUUUUAAACAUAUUAAAACAAAAGAAAUCAUUGAGUUGCCUCCCAAUUAGUGUUUUUGUUUAUAGUCGUUGGCUCGACUCAAGGGUUGAACUCUCAAAUUGAAGAAUAAUCACCCAAGUGACAUAUAAGUCCCUUGAGAACGAUCUCACCCGCUAAGUAAUCGUUGUCCAUUGACCUUAAACCUUUCAUUUCUUGAAUUUGCCACUUCAACAGCUCCAUAAGGAAAUAGUUGAGUAACUUCAAAUGGUCCCGACCACCUUGACUUCAAUUUUCCUGGAAAUAACCUCAGGUGUGAGUUGAAUAAAAGUACCUUUUGCCCUACCCAAAAUUGUUUAGGAAUAAUAUGCUUGUCAUGCCAAUAUUUGAUCUUUUCUUUAUAAAUUUUGACAUUUUCAUAAGCAUGUAGCCGGUGUUCCUCUAAUUCACUUAACUCAAGUAGUCUCCUUCCACCUGCAAGAUUAAAAUCCAUAUUAAUUGCUUUAAUAUCCCAAUAAGCUUUAUGUUCAAUCUCUACAGGUAAGUGACAAGUUUUUUCAUAGACUAAACGAUACAGCAACAUCCCUAAGGUUGUCUUGAAUGCCGUUUGGUAAGCCAAUAAUGCAUCGUCUAGUUUUGUAGCCCAAUCUUUGCGUGAUUUAUUCACGGUUUUCUCUAGGAUGAGCUUUAUCUCUCGAUUAGCUAACUCCGCUUGUCCGUUGGCAUGAGGAUGGUACGGAAGUGAUGUCUUGUGCCCACAGCCAUAUUUAAAUAAUAAAGAAUCAAGCUGCUUGUUACAGAAAUAUUUUCGUUCAUCACUUACUAUGGCCUUAUGUAUGUCAAAUCUGCAAAAAAUAUUUUUUUUAAGAAACCGGAUUACAACCUUAGAAUCAUUAGUAGGUGAAGUGAUUGCCUCUACCUAUUUAGAAACAUAAUCCACUGCUACUAAGAUGUACUUAUUAUUAAAAAGACUAGGGAAUGAUCCCAUAAAAUCAAUACCCCACACAUCAAAUAACUUAACUUCUAAAAAAGUAGUUAGGGGCAUUUUAUUUUUUCGAGAUAUAUUUCCAGUUCUUUGGCAUACAUCACAACUUUUAACAUAUUCUUUAACAUCUCGAUACAUAGUUGGCCAAUAAAACCCUGAUUGUCAUACCUUUUGCCAUAGGUUUUGAAGUGCUAAAAUGACCACCUGUUUCAAUGUUAUGAUAGUGAUAUAGAACAUCAUGUACCUCAUCUUUGAGAAUACAUCUGCGCACCAUACCAUCGGUACAAUCUUUAUAAAAUAACGGUUCCUCCCAAAAGUAAUGUUUAGUAUCAUUUAAGAAUUUUUUUUCUUUGAUGGGAAUUCAAAUCACUUGGUAGCACUCCACUAACUACAAAGUUAACUAAGUCGGCAUACCAUGGUGACUUUUGAAUAGCCAUUAAGAACUCAUUUGGAAAUUAUUCUUUAAUGGGGAGAUGGUCUUCUUGAGGCCUGUUCUGCAAUCUAGAAAGAUGAUCUGUGACUAAGUUCUCGGAUCCCUUUGUAUCUUUGAUCUCCAAAUUAAACUCCUGCAAUAAUAAAAUCCAUCGAAUUAGUCGAGAUUUUGCAUCUUUCUUAUUUAAAAGGUAUUUAAGUGCUGCAUGAUCGGUGUAAAUGAUGACUUUAGAUCCCAUUAAGUAAGAUUUAAAUUUAUCCAAUGCAAAUAUCACUGCUAGCAACUUCUUCUCUGUUGUCGCAUAAUUGAUUUGAGCUUCAUUUAGCAUUUUAUUUGCAUAGUAAAUAACAUGAAGCCGCUUAUUAUGCUUCUGCCCAAAAACAGCUCCCACCGCAAAAAUCACUAGCAUCACACAUCAAUUCGAAUGGUAAACUCCAAUCCGGUGAUGUUAUUAAGGGUGCUGAGACAAGUUCCUUCUUCAACCUAUUAAAAGCAAGUAAACAGUACUCAUUAAAGUGAAAAGGAAUAUCUUUUGCAAGUAAUUCACAUAAAGGUUUGGCAAUCUUGAAGAAAUCAUUAAUAAAUCGCCGAUAGAAUCCCACGUGUCCAAGAAAGUUUCGUAUGCUCUUCACAUUGGUAGGUGCAGGCAUUUUCUCAAUUACUUCUAUUUUGACUUGAUCUAUCUCAAUACCUUUUGAAGAGAUUUUAUGGCCUAGAACAAUACCCUCACAAACUAUGAAGUGACAUUUUUUCCAAUUUAGUACAAGAUUUGUUUCUUCACAUCUCUGCAAAAUUAGAUCUAAAUUGUUAAGACAUUGAUCAUAAAUAGAUCCAAAUACAGAGAAGCCAUCCAUGAAGAUUUCCAUGAUUUUCUCAUUAAAGUCGGAGAAAAUUGCCAUCAUGCAACAUUGGAAAGUGGUCCGCCGUAUUGCAUGGUCCAAAAGCCAUUCUUCGAAAUGCAAAAGUGCCAUAGGGACAGGUGAAUGUGGUUUUCUCUUGAUCUUGCAGUGCAAUAACUAUUUGAUUGUAUCUUGAAAAACCAUCCAAGAAAUAAUAGAAUUCAUAAUCAGUCAAUCUUUCUACCAUUUAAUCAAGAAAAAGGUAGAGAAAAAUGAUCCUUUCUAGUAGCUGCAUUCAGUUUUCUAUAAUUAAUACAAACUCGCCACCCAACUACAAGUUUAGAAGGAAUCAUUUCAUCAUUUUUACCACAUACUAUGGUUAUUUCCCCCUUCUUUGGCACUACAUGAAUAGGAGAAAUCCAAACACUAUCAGAGAUUAAAAAAAUUAUACCUGCAUCCAGCCAUUUAAGGAUUUCUACUCUUACCACUUCUUUCAUGUUUGGAUUUAACUUUCUUUGAGUCUCAACCACUGAUUUAGAGUUUUCUUCCAACAAAAUCCUGUGCAUACAAAGAGUUGGACUAAUUUCUUUGAUAUUAGAAAUUAUCCAUCUUAUAGCCUUUAAAUGCUUCCUCAAAACGCGUAAGAGCUUGCCAAGUUGUUCCUCAUUAAGUGCAGCAUUGACAAUCACUGGCAUUGUCUCCUUUUCUCCAACAAAUGCAUAUUUGAGGUAUUUAGGAAGUGGUUUCAGUUCAAGCCGUGGAGCUUGCUCAUACGAUGGUGGGGGUAACCCUUUGCUCAACCUUAACUCCUCAUACGCAUUGCCCCUUCUGUAAGGAACUUGUGCCUGCAAAUAUUUAGUUAUUUCUUCAACUUAUUUCUCUUGCAGACCUAUACCAUUAAGACAAAGUUCAAGAGAGUCAUCGUUAAGAUUAACUUGACUCAUCUCUAGUGUCAGUUUAUCACAUAUGUCAAUAGAAUAAACAUGAUUGGUAAAAGAGGGAUACUUCUCUACUUUAUUCAAAUCAAACUCCACUUCCUCUUCACCAAUUUGGAACUUGAACUUUCCAUAUUUAACAUCUAUUAUAGUUCCUGCAGUGGCCAUAAAUGGUCUACCAAGAAUAAUGGGUACAUUGACAUCCUUUUCCAUAUCUAAAAUAACAAAAUCAACGACGAUGAUGAAUUUCUGCAUUUUAAUAAGCACAUUCUCCAAUAUACCCAUUGAAUGUCUAAUAGACCUAUCAGCCAAUUGCAAAGAAAUGUUAGUACGCUUUAACUCUUUCAACCCCAAUUGCAUAGUCAUAAUUAAAGGAAUCAAUGAAACACUAGCACCCAGGUCACAUAGUACUUUAGAGAAUUCUACAUUACCAAUAGUGCAAGGAACUGUAAAGCUUCCUGGAUCUUUCAACUUUGGUGGCAAUUUGUUUGUAUAAUGGCACUACAUUCCUCCAUUAAUGCAAUAGUCUCACUAUCUUCCAAUAUCCUUUUCUUAGUCAUUAUUUUCUUGAGAAAUUUUGCAUACGAAAGAAUCAGCAAAAUAGCAUCAAUAAAAGAAAUAUUAAUAUGUAAUUGUUUGAAAUGUUGACAAACUUCUCAAAGUUUUUGUCACUUUUUGAAGGCUUCAAUCUUUGUGAAAAUGGCACCAAUUGAGGAAUUGAUGUCGUCUCUUCAAUCUGUGGCUUGCUUUCAUCCACCUUGCCUUUCUCUUUAAUUUUCUUGUUAUCCUCUCCUAACUCACUCAAUUGUUUGUUUUCUCUGUUUUCAUGUUCUCUUACACGUUCAAUCACAAGUGGCUCACCCACUUCCUUGCCACUACGGAGGGUUAUGGCCUUCACAUGCUCCUUUGGGUUUAUCUCAGUCUUGUUAGGUAAAUCCCCUUGGUUCCGAUUGUUGACCGCAUUAGCUAUUUGGCUUAAUUGGACCUCGACAUUUCUAUAUAUAUUGGUGAGUUGGUCCAUCCUUCCCUCAAUUCUUUCAAACCUUUAAGUCGUGGCACUAGCUAUGAUGAGGAGGUCGAGAGGGCUAUCCAAGUGGAGCAAGUGAAGGUGCCAUUGAGACCCAUGACACGAGCCCGCGCGAAGAGAUUGAAUGAAGCACUACAAAUAUUGGUCCAUGCAGCCCGAGCAUCUAGUGGAGAGCCAAAGGCUAUUGAGGGCCUCAACGAAGAUAGAUAUGUCAUCUUAUUCACGGCCAUUCAAGAGGAUUAGCUACCCAAGAUUCGGCCAUGGGCCCAAGACCCAUUAUCAGUAGUAGAAUGUAAUAAAGAGAUCCAACAUGCCUAUGGGUUGAACCUUAGUCGUUGUUAGUCUUUGGCCAUUGGCUAGGCCAUGUGGGCCACCUUUGUAGUCCCUACGCUGAGCUGUUACGAGGGUCUCGCUGACCGGUCAGCGAGUCGGGGGUCCAGGGGGCAACGCGCCCCUGGUGGGGGCUAGGGGGCAAAGCCCCUGGAGCCUUUGGCUAGUGGCGGCCCAAAGGGAAGCCCAAGGGCUGGCCACCUUUUCUUCAACGUUUACAAGUUUUGGUAGGUUUUGGUUACGGCUACAAAUAGCCUUAAGUCGUUGUUUACAUUCAGUUUUUGAUGAUUAAUAAAAUUACAAUUGAGAGUUCUCUCAAGAACUUCAUUGAAGCACCUUGAAUAUCUUAGAUCUAUAUUUUAGGUAUUCAAUCGACUUAUCAAUUUAGGACCGCGCUAGAUUGUGGCGUCUUCUACAAAUAUCGAGAUUCGUUGACCACGUGAUCAACGGGUUUAGGUGAUCCGUUGCGUUUGUCGUCUUCAACGUGAGUCUCUACUUUCUAGAUCCAAGUCUUUUUGUACGAGUUGCAUCACAUGGUUGGUGCUGUUCGUAUCAAGCUAACUUUUCAAUUUUAUCAUUUGAUACAUUUGCUAAUUUCUCAAUUGUCAAUUCCUAAGUUGGUUUAGACUCCGGAAGUGGUUGUUUUCGUUAAAAUUUUGGUCGAUUCAUUGGUUUUUGUUAGUUCCUGUAAAGAUCGAAGACAACCUAAGAGGGGGUGAAUUAAGUUAUUUAAAAACAAGCCAAGAUAUGAGUCACUUUUUCUAGAACUUGCUUUCUUUUUCUAAAGGACCUCACAAAUAAACAAUUAAUGGACUAGCACAAGUGAUUGUGAGUAGAAGAAAUAAGCAAUAUAUAUUGCAAGACAGUAAGUAAAGGGAUAGAAUGGCAGACCAAGUUUCAAACUUGACUUAAGUUUGAAUAUCACUUUAUAUACCAAGUUUCUUCAAGUUGAUCAACUUACAACCAAUCUCCUGUGUACAAAGGAAGGAUCACUUCCUCCUUGCCUCAAGUCUCACUUAAUCAAGCAAGGAAGUUUUACAAUCACUCGAAUAACCCUUACAAAUCUACACUAUUGAAGAAACCGAAUCACACUUGAAAAGCUAAAUGAAAAUUAUACAACUAAGAGUACAAAUUUUCUUUUUGAAAUAUUCUUACACUUGAAUCACUCAAGAUCUGAUGUAGACUUAAUGUGUAAAAUUAUCUUGAAGUAGUUGACUAUUCUCUAUUUAUAGGAGACCAAAAAAUUCUUCAAUUAAUGCUGUCAACGGAUAGAAGGCAGUUGAAGAGUCAAUUAGCCGUUGGUGGUGUCAGACGUCCGGUACUCUGAUUUUCUGCCUCCAAACGAAGAUAGUGAGUUUAAGACAUUUUCUUGAGAUUCUUUGGACGUCCGGUCCUUCCACAAUAUACGUCUGAAGGGAAGAUAUAAAUUCUUCUUCAUUUCUUUCGAACAUCCGGUGCUCUCAAUGCAUUGCGUCUGAAGUACCGCAACGUUUGUCGGACGUCUGGUAUUGAGGUAUUGUAUGUCCGAUCGAGGUCAGUGAUCAUAGAAGACUUGGCUUAUUAUUUUCGGACGUCCGAGUGUGAGUUCUUCAUGCGUCUGAAGUUACUCAAUGGUUGUCGGCCGUUCGAUAUGGUUUUUUUGUGCAUCCGACAGCUAUUUCAGCAAUUUGUCAAUCUUUUAUCUUGUUUUGACUUCAGGUCUUUGACCUUAUUUUUGUUCCAAUUCCUGAAACAAUCUCUUCAAAGAAUAUUAGUAACAUCUAAUUGUUUUAUAAUCAUCAAAAGUUAUAGACUGAGAUAUACAAUCUCUCCCUUUUUUAUAAUGACAAAACAUUGGAUGGAACAAAAAGAAAUUUAAAAUUUUGAUAGCAGCUCCCCCUUGCAUAAUGCAAGAGUAUUCGCAACUCCCUCUCACUUAUAGGUUCCAUAUCCAUUUUGUGAGAAUAUUCGCAACUCCCCUUCACUUAUAAGUUCCAUAUCCAUUAUCCAUUUUCUCCCCCUUUUUGUCAUUAUAAAACAGCCAUAUGAUCAAUAUUUGUACCAAACAGAUUUGUCAACAUUUAAUAGGAGUUAUCAAGCAGACAAAAGAUAUCCAACAAUAUCAACAACAGUAUCAGUAACCAUCCAAACAGGCAGUAAUCAGCAAAAGCCAACCAGAAUCAUUCACAACAAAAGACAUCCAUUCAUAGGAGAAACAUCAUAAAAGAAACAUCAAUUAACAGAAUAGCACCAGUUUUAUAGACCAAUAGAAGAAUUUGAUCCUUAAUACAUAGCAUACUAAAGGUUUUUCAGUGCAAAAGAUGAACUAUUGUCCUAAUGAUGAUGUGCAGUGUCCUAACAGUGCUUAGAUGAUGAUUUUAAAUGAUCCAGGCCUUCUCCUGGUUAGACGAAACUGCUCAGGAUCCACUUGGUCUUCUUCCUCAGUCUCUUCAUCAUCUUUUUCAGUUGCCUCCUCAGUUAUCGGAGCUUUGCCUUUAUCUUUGGGCUGGGAGCUAGAAGCAUAUGCUUCUAGAGUGGUUUCAGUACCAGGAGUAUGCUCUGUGGGUUAAGGUCUUGGCUCUUUUUGAUGAGCAUUUUCAUUGAAUUCUGGGAUUGGAGGCACAAGGAGAUUUCUUUUUUCAAUAAAAAUAGACUGCUGGGCAGGGGACAUGGUCAUCAUGAGACCAUCUUCAAUGAGUAAACCAUGCUGUUUGAGAUCCUCAAGCAAGGAGAUGACCCAGAAUUGGAAGAGAGUGACUUGCUGGCUGAUUUUCUAGGGUGGAUGGUGAAUGGAGAGACAUACAUGGACUGAUCACGAGGAGUCCUAGGAGAGACAGGGGUUUCGUGAAGGUUCUUUCUCCUAAUCUCUGCAAUUAUCUCCUUAUAACACCAUUGGCUCUCAAAAAAUUUUAGAUUCUUUCUUUCAAAAUAUGCUUGUGAGAAAACUGUUGAGGCACUGUCUUGGAGUGAUUUUCCAGUAAAAGGAAUUUUAAAAUGGGCAAAGAUAGAAGUCAGAAAUUUUUCAUAAGAGAGCUUCCUACGACUAUCAGUGCUAAUCUUGAGCAGAAAUUUGCACAUCACAAACCUAAAGUUAAUUCUGAUUUUUUCAACAAAAUAGUAAAAUAGAUAAAGCUCAAUUUUGUGGCCAUCAGUGGGCACCAACAGAUUUGAAAUAAUGGUAAAAGUGAUCAAGUUCUGAGAGUUAAGAUCUUCUAAUCUUGCCUUAACAUGAGUGUUGAAGUGCGAUCGAAAAUAGGUCAUGAGUUUAGCAACGUGAAAAUGAUGAUAAGCGGAAGGAUAUUCCUCAUAUGAAAAGAAAUUUGUAACUUUUCCUUUAACAUCAUCUUCAAUUCUUGUUUUCAUAAUAGAGUUCACAAUGUCAGAAGUUAAUGUGAUGUCUACAGAGCUGACCCUAGAGAUGAGUUCUGUGUGUGAAUUAUCCUUUCUAAGAUUUGCAAAGAAUUGAUGAAGCAUAUCAGGGUAAAAAGUGUUGGUGAUGGACAGAAGAUGAGCCCAUUUUUGGAACUCAAAAAGUUUAAUGAUAGGUUCGAGGUCAAGCUUACGAAAUUCAAAAGGAGAAAUGGUCCUUUGAGUGAUAAAUCCCUUUUGUGAGACCAACUCAAAUCUGUCUCUGGCCUCAACAUCAAUGAAUUUUGACAGAGGAAUAGGUUCCUUGGCAGGUUGAGUCUCUGGUUCUUAUGCAGAACGUUUCCUUUUUACACUUUGCUUGGCAGACGACUCAGUAUUCUGAAUCUCAGGCCUUGUUCGUGGAGAUUUUCUGGUAGAUAGUUUAGGGGUGUGCUGAUCCUCAGCAUUUUUCUCUGCAUUAGAUUGAGCAGAGCUUCUCUUUUGGGCAGAUCUUUUUCUUCUCCCAGGUAAUUUCGUGACAGUUACUUCAGCAUGGGUGGGCUCUUCCAUUUCUUCUUCAUUCCUACUUACUAGAUUUUCUUCAGAGUGAUGCUCUUCCAUCUGCUCAUCAGAUGGCUCAACAGUUGGAGUAUCUCGUUUUCUUUGAGCAGUUUGCUUCACCUUUCCACCUCGAUUUGCAAUUUUCUUUUUGGAUACUUUGGUGGAGGGUUCCACAAUUUCAAUAUCUUCAUCCCUAAAUCUAAAAGAGCGUCUAACCCCCGCAGAACCACCUCUAAUUCUAACCAUGAUGUAAUGUAGUUGGAUGUUGAAGUAGAGAGUGGUGCAGAGUAUAUGAGAUAGAUGAAAAAUGCAAUAUGAACUAAUAUUGAUGCACGAACCAACCACAAGGAGUAAGUUUUAAGAGUUUAGGGUUUCAGAUGCGAAUUAGGAAUUAUGAGGCAGUUGGAAGUUGAAAGAUGUUAUUAUGUCCAGAUAACGGGCAAUAGGAGUGUAAUGGUGUCGAUUGAAUCAAUUUCUUGGAACUUGAUUAGAGGAGAGAGUAAUUUGAAAUUUAAAUUUUGAGAGAAAACUGAAGGGUUACGUCCGUGACUAAGAAAGUAAAUGAACUUAAUAAGGUAGGUGACUUCCUUAUAUGAAGCAAUUUUUGAGUUUCGGACGGCCGAACGAAGUUACGCGUCCGACGCAACCCGUCCGAACCCGAAUUUUUCUGGAAAAGGGGUGAAGAACACUGUCGGACGUCCGUUCUAAUCUAUCGGACGUCUGAUAAAGAGUGACCAAAGAGAAACUUAGAGAAUUUUUUCUGAAACGCCCAGUUUUGUUUUCAGAUACACAAAUCGAUCUAGUGGAAGGACUUUGGUGAGGAUAUCAACAAUUUGAUCUUUAGAACAAACAUAUUGAACACAAGUUUCACCCUUGUGGACAAGAUCGCGAAUGAAGUGAUACUUAAUGUCUAUGUGCUUGGUUCUAAAAUGUUGAAUGAAAUUUUUUGUCAAAUUGAUGGCACUAGUGUUGUCACAAAACAUAGGCACACAAUUAUAGAAUAAAUCAAAAUCAUUCAAUGUGUUUUUCAUCUACAACAAUUCAGCAUAACAAACACUAGCAGCAACAUAUUCUGCUUUGGUUGUAGACAAUAAAAUAGCAUUUUAUUUCUUGCUGAACCAGGAUACUAAGCAAUUUUCAAGAAAAUUACAUAUACCAAUUGUACUUUUUCUAUCUAGUCUACAGCCACCAAAAUCAGCAUCAGAGAAUCUACACAAGGGAAGUUCAUGACACAUAGGAUACCAAAGGCCAAAAUUCAAAGUUCCUUUUAAAUAUUUAAAGAUUAUUUUUACCGUAUUUAAAUGUGAUUCCUUUGGACAAAACUGAAAACGAGCAUACAAGCACACAGCAAACAUGAUAUCAGGCCUACUAGCUGUUAAGUAAAGCAAGCUACCAAUCAAACUUCUAUAUUUCUUUUCAUCAACUUUUGUACCUUCUUCAUCUUUGUCAAACUUGGUAGAUGUGCACAUGGGUGUUCCAACUUGCUUUGAAUCCUCUAUUCCAAAUCUUUUUAGCAGUUUUUUGGUGUAUUUUGUUUGAUUGAUGAAUGUUCCAUCUUGGGUUUGUGUCACUUGGAGUCCAAGAAAGAAAUUUAAUUCUCCCAUCAUGCUUGUUUCAAACUUUUUUUACAUGAUUUUGGAAAAGUCCUUGCACAAACUCUCAUUAGUAGUACCAAAUAUAAUAUCAUCCGCAUAUAUUUGUACAAUUAAAAGAUCACGUAAACUUUGUUUAGUAAAAAGAGUAGUAUCCACUAUACCUUUUUUGAAGCCAUUUUCAAUCAAAAAAUCACUUAAACGUUCAUACCAUACUCUUGGAACUUGUUUUAAUCCAUAUAAAGUUUUUGAGAGUUUAAAAACAUGAUUUGGAUAAAUUUCAUUUUCAAAACCAAGGGGUUGAUCAACAUAAACUUCUUGAUCUAUAAAACCAUUUAAGAAAGUACUUUUAACAUCCAUUUGAAAUAAUUUAAAAUUCUUGAAACAUGCAACAGCCAAAAAUAUUCUAAUAGAUUCUAACCUAACUACGGGUGCAAAUGAUUCAUCAAAAUCUAUUCCUUCUUCUUGAGUAUAUUCCUUAACUACCAAUGUGGCAUUAUUUCUAACUACCUCAUAUUUGUUAUUUAUUUUGUUUCUAAAUACUCACUUAGUGCCAAUGAUAGGAUGAUCUUGUGGUCUAACAACUAAUGUCCAAACCUUAUUUCUUUUAAAUUGAUUUAACUCCUCUUCCAUGGCUAAAAUUCAGAUCUCAUCUUUCAAUGCAUCAACAACAUUUUUGGGCUCAAAAUGUGAGACCAAUGCAAAAUUAUCUAUUAGUUGUCUAGAAGAGGAACAUGUUCUGACCUUUUCAGAUGGAUCACCAAUGAUAAGUUCCUUAGGAUAGUUUUGGAUAAAUUUCUAGGCUCUUGAAAGUUCAUUAGGAAUGGUAGUGUCUCUGUCAUUGUCUUCCCUAGCAGGACUGUCUUGAUUUUCAUCUUCCUUUGAAUAAUUUUCUGAUGAACCUGUGCCUUGGUUACUGAUUGUUAGCUUCUUUAGUUCUUCUUGAACACCUGCAUCAUCAUGUUCAUCACAACUCAUGGAAAUGUCACCACCAGAUUCAUUGAAAGUGAUAUGUAUAACUUCCUCUAUAAUCAGAGUUCUACGAUUAUAAACUCUAAAGUCUCUUUUAUUUUUCACAAUAUUCCAAAAAGAUCCCCUCAUUAGAUUUUUUAUCAAACUUAUCAAGAUGCUCCUUGAUGUUUAGAAUGAAGCAUAUGCAGCCAAAGACUUUAAAAUAACCAACAACAGACUUUUUAUCAAACAAUAGCUCAUACGAUAUUUUGUUCAAGAUUGGUUUUAAAAGAACUCUGUUCAUGGUAUAGCAGGCAGUGUUUAUAGGUUCAAUUUAAAAGUACUUUGGUAAAUUGCAUUCACUAAGCAUGGUUCUAACAGCCUCUUGAAGAGUUCUAUUUUUCCUUUUAACCACUCCAUUUUGUUGGGGAACUCUAGCAAUAGAAAACUCAUGUGUAAUGCCAUUGUUGUCACAAAAUUCUAGAAAGCCACAAAAACGAAAUUCUGUGCCGUUGUCACUUCGGAUUUUUAUGAUUUUCAAACCAAUCAGAUUCUGAACCUUAGCAAACAGUGAAACAAAGUUUUUGAAGGUAUCAUCUUUAUGUGCAAGAAAUAUCAUCCAAGUGUAUCUAGAAUAGUCAUCAACAACAACAAAACAAAAUCUUUUGCCACCUAGGCUUGUGGUUUGAGUAAGACAAAAAAGAUCAAGAUAUAAGAGUUCUAAGGGCUUUGUAGUAAAAACACAUAUCUUGGAUUUAAAAGAUACCUUGACUUGUUUUUCAAAUUGACAAGCAUCACAGAUACGGUCUUUACUAAAGUUGAGUUUUGGAAGCCAUCUAACCAGUUCCUUUUUAGAAAUCUCUUUUAGCAAAUUCAUAUUGAAAUAACAAAGCCUUUUGUGCCACAACCAGGGAUCCUCAUUUGCUACUUUGAGACAAUUAAGGCUAGAAGAAUCAACUUUUUCAAGAAUAACUAUAUAAAUGUCAUUAACUUCUUUUCUUUUGAAAACAAUGUUGAACUUUGAGUCAAGAACAAGGCAUUCAUGUUUUUUAAAUAACAUAGACAGGUUCCUAUCACAUAAUUGGCUAACACUUAGCAAGUUAUAGCUCAGGUUGUCAACUAAAAGGACAUUAUGAACGAAAGUUUGACCAUUCUUACCAACAUCACCAAUUCCAACAGCUUUGCCUUUAUUAUCAUCUCCAAAAGUUAUCUUUCCACUUACUUUUGGUUUGAGCUUGAUGAAAUGUGAUGCAUCACCGAUCAUAUGUCUUGAGCAUCCACUAUCUAUGAACCAUUUUGAUUCUUUAACAAUGUUUACCAAAUUCGCCUACACAAAAGUUCACAAGAUAAUAUUUGGUACUCAUUAUUUUUUGGUUCCUUGAGAGUUAGCAUUAUGUCUAACCAUCCACAUGCAUCUCAUACCAUUUCUCAUAUUUUUCUUAACAUAACAGUUGCUAUUCAUGUGACCAAAUUGACAACAAAAGUUACACAUAGUUGAUGAAUCAUUUAAAUGAACAGGUUUAACAAAACUAACUUGGCUUUUCCUAUAGAUGCUAAAAUCAUUUACAUGAUAAUUUAACUUAUUCUGAUGAGUGCUAAAGUGAGAUUUUUUGACAUUCCUUUGAAAGUAAUUCUGUUUCUAAUAUUGAAGCCACUGGCCAAGAUCAUUUAUUCUUCUUUUUAAACAAUUUUGUUCGUUUUUGAAUAUGUCACAGAAAUUUAUUUUUCUAUCGAGUUUAGCAUGCAAAUCUAAUUCAAUCCUUUUCAGAUUUUCAUUUUCAUUGUUCAAGUGUUUGUUUUGUCGAUAAAGAUUUGCAUUGUCUUGAAUUAAAAAGCUGAUCUUCUGUUUUAGUUUCUUGUUUCUGACAUAAGAUUCUUUCAAACUAUUGUGCAUUUUUUCUAAAAACGAAUUAACAUCAUCAUCAGAUUCACUAUCACUAUCAGUUAGGAAGUUAUACGUAGUUACCCCUUCAUCACCAAUGGCCAUGAAGGCCUCUUGGGCAGAUUUCUCUUAUUCUUCGACUUCACCUUCUGAAUUGCAGUCAUUCCAAGUGAUCUGAAAAUUGUUGAACCUUGGUUUUUGUUCAACCUUGCUCUCCUUCUUCCUUUUUAUUGGAUACUCAUUUACAUAAUAUUUAGGUCGGCCGCAUUCAAGCACUUAUCAGUUUGCUUUUGUUAAACUCUGGUUUCCCUUUAUUUUUCAAGUUGUUGGAUUGAUUCAGGAAGAAAUUGCUCGGAUCACUUUUUCUGAAUCUCCUCUUGUUGAGUAUCCUUUUGAAAUCUCUUGUGAUGAGUGCAAUGUCGCUGUCAUUACCUUCCAUGUCUUCUCCAUCCAGAGAGGCUAUAUCAUAUUCAUCUUGUAAAGCUUUCAAAGCAAUACUCCUCCUCAUCUUUGUGUCUUCUUCUUCCUACACCUUGGAUUUGAGUUUCAACUCAUAAGAGAUUAGAGAGUUAAUAAGAGAUUCAAUAGGUAGUAUAUUUAGAUCUUUAACUUUCUCUAUGGCAGUCACUUUACUCUCCCAAUCCUUUGAUAAUGCAUUCAAAAUUUUUCUGUUUUUCUCACCUAGCGAGUAGUUCUUCUCAAGCACUUCUAAAUCUUUGAUAAGAUCAUUGAAUCUGCAGUACAUCUUGUCAAUAUUUUCAUGGGGUUCCAUCAUAAAGGAUUCAUACUUAGUGAUCAGGAUGAACUUCUUUUGUUCUCUCACAUUCUCGCUUCCUUCAUGAAUUUAUCUAACUUUAUCCCAAAUUUCUUUUGCAGAUCUGCAGCCUUUGACUCUAAUGGAUUCAUUUGAAUCUAGAGCACUAUAUAAUACAUUCAUAGCCUUGGCAUUUAGAGUAAGAUGAAUUCUAUCAUCAGCAGUCAACUCACUUCUUAUUUUUUGUCUCGGCCUAUGAGCGUUAUCAUCAAUAAUAGAAGCAUCAUAUGGACCCUCAUUAACAAUAAAUCAUAACUCAAUAUCAAUAGAUUGUAAGAAAAUGAUCAUCCUCUCCUUCCAAUUCACAUAGUUUGACCCAUUGAACAUUGGAGGUCUAGUGACAGAUUGUCCCUCAAAAAACAUGAUAUUAUUGGUUGUCAUUUUUACUCCCAAGCCGAUUGAGUUUAAUCUCUAGGAGACCAAGUUCUGAUACCAAUUGUAAGGAUCGAAGACAACCUAAGAUGGGGUGAAUUAGGUUAUUUAAAAACAAGCCAAGAUAUGAGUCACUUUUUCUAGAACUUGCUUUCUUUUUCUAAAGGACCUCACAAAGAAACAAUUAAUAGAUUAGCACAAGUGAUUGUGAGUAGAAGAAAUAAGCAAUAUAUAUUUCAAGACAGUAAAUAAAGGGAUAGAAUGGCAGAUCAAGUUUCAAACUUGACUUAAGUUUGAAUAUCACUUUAUAUACCAAGUUUCUUCAAGUUGAUCAACUUACAACCAAUCUCUUGUGUACAAAAGAAGGAUCACUUCCUCCUUGCCUCAAGUCUCACUCAAUCAAGCAAGAAAGUUUUACAAUCAUUCGGAUAACCCUCACAAAGCUACACUAUUGAAGAAACUGAAUCACAUUUGAAAAGCUAAAUGAAAAUUACACAACUAAGAGUACAAAUCUUCUUUUUAGAGUAUUUUUACACUUGCAUUACUCAAGAUCUGAUGUAAACUUAAUGUGUAAAAUUAUCUUGAAGUAGUUGAUUAUUCUCUAUUUAUAGGAGACCAAAAAAUUCUCCGAUUAAGACUGUCAACGGAUAGAAAGCAGCUCAAAAAUCAACUAGUCGUUGGUGGUGUCGAACGUCCGGUACUAUGAUUUUCUGUGUCCGAAUGAAGACAGUGAGUUCAAAACAUUUUCUUGAGAUUCUUAGGACGUCUGGUCCUUCCACAAUAAAGGUCUGAAGGUAAGAUAUAAAUCAUUCUUCAUUUCUUUUGGACAUCCGGUGCUUUCAGUGCAUUGCGUCCGAAGUACCGCAAUGUUUUUCGGACGUUCGGUACUGAGGUAUUGUGUGUCUGAUCGAGGUUAGUGAUCAUAGAAGACAUGGCUUAUUAUCUUCAGACGUCCGAGUGUGAGUUCUUCAUGCAUCCGAAGUUACUCAAUGGUUGUCGGCCGUCCGAUAUGGUCCUUUUGUGCGUCCGACAGCUAUUUCAGCAAUUUGUCAAUCUUUGAUUCUGUUUUGAUUUCAAGUCUUUGACCUUAUUUUUGUUCCAAUUCCUAAAACAAUCUCUUCAAAAAAUAUUAGUAACAUCUAAUUAUUUUGUAAUCAUCAAAAGUUAUGGACUGAGAUAUACAGUUCCCUUGAUCAUUCCAUUCAAAGUUUGGAUGAUUACGCUACCCUGGAUUAUAGGUAUUAUAGUAUGGAUUGUUUUGAGGUGAACAGUUGUAAUUGUUGAGAUAUUGAACCUGUUCGAUACUAGAACACAUAGAAUCAUCAUGAUCUCCUUCAUAGUUAGUACAACACACAACAACUACUCAUUGGUUAAAACUAGAACCAACUUGCCUAUUAAGCAUCUUAACCACAUUAUCCAUCUUUAUACUUAACAUAUUCAAAAUAUCUAAUUCAAGCAUACAUGCGGUCCUCCUUGUAUUACCUCGUUCGUUGACCCAUUGAUAAUUAUUAGCAGCCAUUUCUUCAAUCAAUUGUUGAGAUUUCUCAGCUGACUUUCCCAUCAAUGCUCAUCCUGCUGCCGCAUCUACAUGCGUCUUUGUCGAAUAGGUGAGACCAUUGUAAAAUGUUUGAACUAUUAGCCAAUCAGGGAGACCAUGAUGAGGACAUCUCGUUGUAACUCCCGAUAGCGCUCCCAAGCUUCGUACAAUGUCUCUCAUUCCUGUUGAGAGAAACUAGUUAUAUCUAUUCUAAGUUUAGCAGUUUUUUCAGAUGGAAAGAAUUUGUUAAGAAAAGCCUUAACUAAUUCAGCCCAAGUAGUAAAAGUGUUUGGUAGAUGAGAUUGUAACCAAAUCUUGGCAUUAUCCCUUAGUGAAAAUGGAAACAAUCGAAGUUUAAUUGCAUCAUCACUAACACCAUUAAGCUUUAUAGUAUCACAAAUUUCAAGAAAUGUUGACAAAUGAGAAUUUGGAUCUUCAGUAGCAUUACCUCCAUAUUGAGAUUGUUGAACCAAUUGAAUAAGUGAUGGCUUAAUUUCAAAAUUGUUAGCAUUUACUGCUGGUCUUGCUAUGCUUGUUUGGGAUUCUUGUAUCCCCAGUAGAGCAAAAUCUCGUAGAGUUCGCCUAGUUGCUUCGUGUUCGGCCAUCUCUUCUUCAAAUGGUAGCUCUAUUAAGAUUUCCUCUAUUGAUUGCCAAACCUCUUGUUCCUCUUGUUGUGGUGUAUGCCUCCUUUGUCUACGAAGCAUCCUCUCAAUUUUUGGAUCAAAAGGUGCAACUUUUCGAAAUACACGGUGCAUACACUACAAAUAGAAAUAAGAAAAAUUAUGCAGCUUCAAUUAUCAAAAAUUGAUAAAAAAAAAUGCAAAAUUAACUAUAAACAAAUCAGCUAAUAAAGUAAGGUUGUCUAAAUUAAUAGACAUGAUAAGACCCUAAUAUUGCCGCUUUUCGGUAACGGCGCCAAAAACUUGACGGGAUUUUGCUAUAUGUACAAGUUAAAGUCCAAUGUAUACUUGUUGAUUACAAAUACACAGGCCAAAUUAGUAGUUUAGGGCAUUUAAUCGGGUCAAUCCCACGAGGAGCAAUGUCUACAAGUACUAGGUCCAAAUUUUCUCUGUUAUUUAGACUUACAAUGAAUUUGAGCAGAGAAUUUAUAUUAACUACUACCUACAAUCAGAUUUAACAAUUGCAAGAUACAAAUGGAGAAAAAUUCACUAAAGACUUGAAUUUAGAAAUGUAGAUUCCACUUAUGGCACAAAAAAUCCAAAUGAAUGAAUUUAACACUUGUUACUACUCUUGUUUAACCAGGAAUUUAUUUCCAAAAAUGCAAAAUCUCAUUCUCAUGAUAAUAAUGAUUUAAAAUAGUUUAGUUUUUCCUAAUCUGUUGGUGAAUAACUAAUUCUGCCCUUCCUUAAUUAAUGAAAUGUACAUUAAUCCACUUGAAUGUAUUUCUAUUCUCAGGAACAUACAACUCAAGUUCUACUCAUGUUUUUCCAUUACUACUACCAAUUCUCAUUGAAUAAUAACAACUAUAAACUUGCUAUUGGUGAUCAAAUAACAACAAGUAAUUAACCAUGCACAAGUAAACAAGUUAAUACAAGAUAUAACAAAUGUAAAUCACAUUAAACUCAUAUUACUUAGUCAUAAGUUUCAUCUACUCUCUAGAUAUAGAAAAUUGGCCACUCAUGAAUGAUGUAAUAAACAAACUCAUAACUUCAUUAAUAGAAAAUAUCUCAAGUUACAAGUACAAGAAGUAUAAAGAAAAGCUUAGCCAAGUUGUUGGUGAAGCUCAAAAUUCUGUUAUGUCUUGCACUAGAUGAUUCCAAGAUGAAGUCUCCAAGUGCUUCUUGAAGAACUUCUAGCUGGAGAGAGAAUGUUACAAGAAGAAAAACAAGCCACGUAUGGUCCCCAACCUUCUCCCUCUUGUUCUCAUUAAAAGCUGAUGGAAAGCUCUCUUUUUCUCCCCUCAUGAUUCCAAAAUCUCAAAUUUGUUAAUAAAGUCAAAAGAAAUGUUAUUUUGACUUGACAAUAAAUCAUAUUGUCCUUCUUUUUGCUUUAGAAGCAUGUGCCACCGAAUUCUCUCAUCAAAUAUGGCUGGAAAGUAGUGUGAAAAGAAAGAAAAAUAGCUGUGCCACUUGCAGCAGAGAGAGACAGACCCCAGGCCUUGGAUCCGAGGGGUGCAGUACGAUACGAGCUUGGAUCAAUGCUGAUUCGAGGUCCUUUUCAUGUGGAUCCGAGCUCGGAUCGACUAACCUCGAAUCCAUUGCUCUAGAAGUACAAAUGAGGGUUCGGAUCUCUCCUCGUUGCACACAGAUCCGAACUCGGAUCCGUGUGAUCAAUUUCCAGAUUUUCAAUUCCACCCUUUUUUCUUCAUUGUUUUUCCCAGUUUCUUUUGUACUUUAUCCUCCAAAUGAUCCUUGCUUUUUCCUUAUCUCGUACGUGAAGUUCAUAUAUCAAUAUUUUUUAAAAUAUCACAAAUUAAAACAUUAAUCUAUUCAUUUAUCAAGUUUUGAACACUUAAACAACAUUUAAGCAAUUAGUACCAAAAGAUUUCAAAUAUGGCUUUAAUCUUCUCAAAACAUAACAAAAGUUCAUGCCAAACUUGUACAAAAUGUAUGUUAAAUAUUCACUUAUCAGUUACAACAAGAGAUUCCCCAAAAGCUACACUAUCUUAAGCCUUGACUCCUUUUAGACAGGAAAAAGAAUGGCAAAAGAGGCAAAUUUAUGAUCAUUUACGAGCAGAUCUAGAGACAGUUUUGUCAUUUGAGCAACAAACUUGAGGCAAAGAACAAAGUCAUGUUUUUUGAAUUUAUUUAGUGUAUUGUGCUGUUAAAGCUAAUGAAAUUAGAUAGUCACGUUCCAGAUAUUGGAAAACGAUAUGCUAAAAUUAAGUACUGGACCCCUUCCUUUGAAUUGAUCAUUAUACGUUCUCGAGUCUCAAAUUCAGUGUACUAAUACUUUUUCUGUAUAAUUGACACUCUUGUAGUCAGCUAGUCAAUUAGGUUUUUAACUUUCUCAUGAAAUUAAACUAGUUAAAUAAACAAAAUCUCCCUGUGCUUUUGACAUGAUUUUUGGUAUGGCUAGACUAAAUAUUUGGUUUUAUCAUUUCUUUUUAGCUCCUAUAUUAUAUUUGACAGAUAGGGGAGAUAAGGUUUUUUGUUACAUCUGUUUUUAAUCAAACACAUAACAAAACCGGAUAGACAGUGAGUUUGUAAAAUCUAUUAUCACAAAUGUUGGGAUUAGAUUAGUUAAUUAUGUAUACUCAAAAUUGCCAAAAAUAAAAAUAUAAAACCACUUUUAUGAUGGUUAACUGAUUUAUAGAUGAACCAACGUACCAAAUUUAGCACGUAUACUCAAAUCUAUUUUUUUUAAUCUAUUUUUAAUCAAACACGUAACAAAACCGGAUAGACAGUGAGUUUGUAAAAUCUAUUAUCACAAAUAUUGGGAUUAGAUUAGUUAAUUAUGUAUACUCAAAAUUGCCAAAAAUAAAAAUAUAAAAACCACUUUUAUGAUGGUUAAAUGAUUUAUAGAUGAACCAACGUACCAAAUUUAGCCUUGAAAUUGUUGUAUAUUUGAACUACUAAAAUUACGAAUUUUUUGGUGCAAAGGCACUAAAAUGACUUCAUGUAGCAUGAGAUGGUUUUGCCAUGAUACAAAAGUGCUCAUAAAAGAGACACAUGAUUUUUUAAUUUUUUUUUUGUAAGUAAAAGGUCUGAACGCAGGAUUUUCUAUUUAUAAUUUUUCUACCUUACCAUCUAAUCCAACCUUCCCCUGCCAUAAUGUCGAACUAUACACAUUCACAUGAUUGAAAUAUCGAACUAGCAAAUACAUACAGUGAAUAUUACAUCACUUCUCAAGCAUUUAUUUGUAUUAGUUCUGAGGCUCAGCCUCUUAAGGCUGAUUGGGCUAUGGGCAGCACCUGUAACCCCUACCAAAACAUCCUCAGCUGCAACAACAAAAAUGGCAAUAUCCACCGUAACCAACAGGGUACCCACCUUAUCCUCUCCCAGGAUAUCCCCCACCCAUAACCUUUUCUAGUUCUCUUGGAUAGCCCCACAUAUCCACCACCGGGUCCUCUGAUGUACGCUCCAUAGCCACAUCCAGGGUACUUGGUUUCUUCUAUGCCAUUCAUCUCAAACUAUCUUGUCUACUGAUAAGUGCAUAUUUCACAUGUUUUUAAGUGUGUUUUAUUAGUUAGUUUUAGUGUGCUUUAACUACUUUUAUAGCUAAUUAGCUAGGAUUCUAGUGAAAAUAUGCAUUUUGUGGUUUAAGUAGUAAAAAUUGCAUUUCUAUGGUGAAAACUUCAUGUUUUUUGUAGGUUUAAUGAUUCAAUCAUCAAUUGGAGUGAUUUGAGAAGAUAAUUGGAUGAGUGAUGAUAGUUUGAAAUGAUAAAAAGAGGAUAUGAAGUAUAAGAGAGGAAAUGCAAUCAAGAAUAAAAGGAAGCAAGUUUCAUAGCUUUGACACCUUGUGGUAUUUUGGCUAUAUCUUGAGUUACAAGCAUUGGAUUGAGGUGAUUCUUGGACCAUUUUGAAGCUAAGAGAUAUAUAUACAUUUGGUAUGAAGACAUCAAAGUCCAGUUCAGUUGUUUUCCUGAUUAGAGCCCUGGCUAGUCGAGGGUAUUUUGGUCAUUCCUCGGUCUACAGAGCUCCAAAUUAGAUGAUUCUUAAUGCAUUGGAAAUCUAACUCAAAGAUCUACAAUUUUCAUGUUUUAGUUCAGCCUCUAUCAUCAGGGAAAUAUCAGUUAAAGUUGGACAAAAAACAGAGCAAGUAAAUUCGAGUUCGGAUCAGUACUAAACCCAACCUCGGAUAAACUUCUAUAAUCAGAGGCCACAUCCGAGGAGAGGAUCCGAGCUCGGAUCCCCAUGUUACAGGCCUCGGAUACUAAUAUGCAGUGAAGAUAAAAAUGAAGAAAAAUGAGAUUCAAGGGGUAUUUUGAGCGAUCCGACCUCGGAUCUUGCCCUCGGAUCCUCAAUUUCGGCUUUGCAACUUGUCCUCUAUUCACACAAGAUUUUUGACCAAUUUAUCUGCAAGAAAUCCGGCUGGAACUGAGCAAGAAAGUAUAGAGAAUCCAAGAAGCAUCUUUUGGUGAUUCCAAGUAGCAAUUUACAUCAACUUUAACAACUUACCUUGAGCUUGAAUUUCUCUAUAAAUAGAGGCCUUGGAGGAUAUUUUCACAACUUUUGGAAGGCUAGAGAAACUCACCAAAAAUGUAGUAUUCACUAGAGUUUCCUUAGUUCAUUAGUUAGAGUAGUAUAGUAUAGUUAGUGCAGUGUUUCCUUCUUGUACUUUUAGUUAAAUUUGGAUGAAGAUUGCAGGAGCACAAAUGGAGAGUUUGAAGCUCAUGUGACAAUGGUGACUUCUCUCCUAUCACUUUCUUUUUUGUAUUUGAAUUCAUGUUUAGUUAUAAUACAAGUUUGGCUUUGUUUUUCUUUAUAUUUUACUAAAGUUUAUGCCUAGAGUUAUGGAUGAACUUUCUAUAUCUUGUUUGUGGUGUUUACUUGUUAUUUGAUGCUGUUAUAAUGAACAAGUUAUUUAUCACUUUUUCUUAUCUAAUCAUGAUUAACUGGCCAUUAAUUGUGAUAAUCUUAAGGUGUUAAGUUUGCAAUAAAAAAUGGAAUUUAGCACUAGUUCAAGAAAGUGAUAAAUCUAGGGAGUACACUCACGAAAGUAAAGGUGCACCUUUGUGGCUUUAAUAACUUGUUUCAUAUAAUUUCAUAGAAAGAAUGAACUUAUAGUUAAUUUCAUAACCACGAAAGUAAGUAUGAAUUAACUAUAAGUAUAGUUGGUACACCGGCGAAAGCGGGUAUCACGUAUAUUAGGAAAUUAAGCCAUAAGGAGCCAAGAUAAUAGCAUUAAAUUAACCGAUAAUGUCAUUUGCAAGAUUAGUAAGGAAUUCCAUAUCUCUGGGAGCUUUCUAUUGUUAUUUUUAUUACUUUUAUUUGAUUUCAUAGUGUAGUUUUAAUUUCUUGCACUAGUGAUAGUCUAAAUAAUAAAGGAAUUCGAAAAACACCGGUAAUUGAAAUUUUCUCUGUGGGAUCGACACCUAAUACCUUUAUGCUCAAUAAACGAUUUGUAUAUUUGCGAAAAAUCGCAUGUGAGGUAUUUAGGAUUUAUAAAUGUAAAACUUGAUUGUGGAUGAGUUUAUUAUAUAUGUAUAUCCCGCGCACGUCAUCUACAUUGCAGACAAUUAGGCGUGUAUUGGUGUAAUCUAAGAAUGAUUUGUAAUUUCGAACUUUGGUCCAAUUUGUGCGUGCUUUUAGUUUAACGAAUACCAAAAUCUACAAUGUUUUUAUACUCAAUCGAGGGUUUUCUUUCAAACUAUGUGCCAUGCAAAUUUAGUAUCUUUACAAAUACCAAUAAAAUGGUUAAACACUACGAACUAAUAGGUAGUUUUAUCAUAUCCAACCAUAGAUGACUGAUCACUAUACCCCAAGUCCCAAAAUCAGAAAGGCUUCUAUAAAUGCUUGAGGACAUUUGAAAGCAUUUAAACUGUAAAGUACAAUUGUUUGAGGACAUUUGAAAAUAUAAAAUAUGACGCUUUAAACUGGACGAAUGUGGUACUAAUUUCAAUCGUACAUUUAAAGCAUUAGUUUUGUUCAAUUUAAAAUAUCAUGUUUCCUAUUUUGGAAUGUCUUCAAACUUUGUCAUCUUAUCAAAAUCGAAAUUAAUAUUAUUUCAACCUUUACCUAUGCUUCAUCCUAGAUUCUAAUUUGAAUUUCAAAUUUUGGACAAAAAAAUUGUAAACGAAAACACUAAUAUCAGAAUUUAGACACUAUUCUUAACAAGUUGAAAUUCUGAAAUACGACAAACACUUUGGGACAAAGGGAGUACAUGAUUUAAAAGGUGAAAUUUGUGGCCCUAAAAUAAAAGGACGAAAUUAGACUAGACAACAAAUGUCUUGCUACUGUCAACUGACAUGGAGGACUCAGCCAAUUCCCUAGCAAUUAACCACCUCUGAGGUAAUCAUUAACCCGGUAGCUAGCCAUGGAAAUCCAAUAGAAAAGAAGUGUCUUCGAACCCAUUGUUGCUCAAGGAAAUUGAUUUUGUGAAGGAUGAGAAAGCUGGAGUAGAUUGAUCUCUACUUAUAGGUAAUUCUUUGCAAAAUUGCCGUCAAACGGGUCGUGGCCUCGACCAACGAUGUAGUUGGACUUUAAAGUUUAAACAGAUGAUUGAUUGCUGUAUUUGGUACGAUGUCAAUGUCAAGAAAAUUAGUGAUAUACCAAAUGCACUUAGUGUAGUCACCCUUUCACAGUAAUCAUACAAGUGAUUAAUACAUCAAAAGAAUUUAGCCAGUCCAUCAAAUGUAUGCGAAGUCCAUAUUGCUAGGUUGGUUUUACUUCCGGGACACGUCGAGUCAUUAAAUCCACACAGCAAGCAUGCACGAUUGCAGAAUAUCAGUUGGUGCAGUAAAAGAUGAAUUCGUAUAUGCCGACUGGUACUUGCUUUUACUCUUUAAAGUGUCCAUAUAAUUUUUCCGACAAAUGAGAAUGAAUUAUGUCUUUUCUUAGUCAAAGAUUGGAUUCAUUUUAUAAAGGGUAAAAAGAGUGAUAUGGCAAUUUUAAAUAUUAAUAUUAAUACGCAUUUACAAUUUGACAUAAGAACUUUAUAUCUUUUUUUUGUUGCCUUAUGCUUCUUUGUGACCGAACCAUGCAUGUUCGGCACUAGACAAUAAUUAUUAUGCUCACAACCACUAAUGCAAAGAAAAAAUGAUAGGUUGCAAUUUUAUUAUCUAUUUUAUUAUUAAUUUUUUCUAUUACCUGACCUGAUGUGAAUUAAUUAUUAGAUUCUACUCACUUUUCGUAAUUUACAUUUAUUUCAGGGAGUAGAACAAAAAUAUCACAAUCACGGCCAAUUUGACAGUCAUCGGGAAAAAAUUCAAAUAGUAGACAAUCAAGAACAUUCUUGGAACAAAGAGAUGCAUGACCUUUUUGAUAAUUUUGACCGAAGACAGCAACUAAAAAAAGGGAAAAGAAAGCAAACCUGGGGGCGUCGAGAGGCUUCAUCCUCUCCGCAACGCACAGGAGCCAAGCAUUAGAGCAGCUUUGAUUUUUCCUUUCUUAGCUUUUUGGUAGUAGUUCUCUCGUUGGUGAUGACAAGGAAAAACAAUAGAUUUCCUUUAGCUUUCUUUGACUUUUUUCUUUCGUCUUUUGUGGUUGCCCCCUGCGGAUGUCAGGAGGAAUGAAGCAUCAGCCUUUGACUUUUCCUUUGUAGCUUUUGAUUGUAUUUCUUCCUUCGCAUGAGCCGACAACUCUUAUUUCAAUUUUGCGUGGGCAUUGUUUACCAAGAAUGAACUAAUUUCCUUUGUCUAGUCAAGGAGUAACGGAGGCUUUGAUUCGUCUAAAAAUUGUGAGAUCGAUUUAAUUUUAUCUUUUUUUUUUAUUUAUUGGUAUUUGCAUAUUCCUUGGUUACGGUGCUUAUGAUUGUUUAAUUAAUUGAUUGUCUUGAAUCUGAAUAAUUAGUUAAUUUGAUAAUCUAUUGUCAAUUGGGACGUUAAAUCCGUAAUUAUUUAAUUGUCUCAAAAUAGUGAUAACUGGCAUGAUUGGGUUUGUGUCAGGAGAAUACGCGGGCUAAUCUAAAGUAACCCUGGUAGUGUGUUAUUUGAUUAAAAUAAGCCUCCUCUAAUACGUAAAGUAAUUGGAGAAUUAAAUCUUACGAGCAUAUCUAAAAUUAUUUCUCAAUUAGAGUAGUAAUUAACGGGCGUACCUUAAUCACCGACACAGUAAGGAGGGGUUGACUGCCAUCGUUUGUUUGGUAGUUAUAACCUAUUUAUUGAUAAAUAAUUAGAAUUGCCUUUGUUUCGAUGAUCAACUGGGUAAACCAUUGCUGAAGUUAUUUCUUGGCUAGAUCCUUAAUUAUCCCUCAUUUGAUUUUAAUAAAUUGUUAUUUAAUUUAUAGUUGGUUAUUUUAUUUUUAUUAUUUUACUUUUAAUUGAAUUGCUUAAAUUGUCACCCCUGAUAUAAAAAUACCCCCCUUGUCACUGUGAAUUUGAAAAGAAACAAUUACUCCAAGUCCCUGUGGAUUCGACCCUACUCACCGCUAUCUACAGAAAUUACUUUAAUUUGAGCAGGUUUUAUUAUUGCACAGGCUUCGACAACCUGUCAAAAAAAUAAAUAAAAAAUACACCAUCACAGGUUUUUGGGUUAAUAUUGUCAGGAAUAUCAAAUAUAUCAUCAAUGGCGUCUCCAAGUCUAUUGCUUACCGAUUCUUGAUUGUAUUUGAACUCAAGACAGCAUUUUCUCAAACGCCUACUAUUUAUGUUUAAUAGGAAAUCCGAUUUUUCCGACAAGUUAAAACUUAGGAUAAGUAUCAGCAUUCAACCGGACUAAUUUAAAAUUACUUUUGAGUGCCUAGUCUUUGUCUAUCCUUUACAUUUUUUCCGGUUGUUGUUAUUUCUUUGAAAAGUAAACGAAGAAUUUGUUUGCACACUUACAGAAAAGAAAAGAAAAGGAUUUUGCUUGCACUCUUUCGAAUGCCCUUUCUUUGUCUAUCCUUUUCAUUUUUCAAUUUUACACUUAAAGCAUGUUAGUUAUUUAAUCUUCUUAUGCCAACUGGUUAUUAAAUUAUUUUUGACAGUAUAAUAAUCAUUUAGGCAAAUAAUAUAUAUAACCAAUAAAAAUCUAAGUCUAUAAUGACAACAACUUGAACAUAUAUAUUUGAAUUUAAUCACCCUUAUCCUUUCAAAUUUCUAAGCCCCUCUAUACGAACUUUAUACUAAAUAAGCCUUACUAGAGCUAACAUUUACGUAGGCAAAAAAAAAAGAGUUGGAAGUGAAAAUGCUUAAUAUCCCCAGUCCCCCAGUUUUAUGUUUCUAUACCAAUACUAUAUUUACUCUCACUUAAAAAAAAAAAAAAAACUUUACGCAAAAAAAUUUGAAAAAGAAAGCAAAUUCUAUAAGAUUUGACAAUUCCAAUUAUUAUUAUUUCCUUAAACACACCCUCCCUUGACUUUUAAUCUUCCUAGUCCACCAUAUAUCAAAUUAUGCUCAUUAUUCUAACUAGAAAAAGGAAGAUAAUAAAUUCAAAUAUAUUAAAAUGUAUUAAAAUGGCUAAUCUAAUAAUUGUUGAAUGCUAUUGUCUCUCUUUGCCACAUUUUAGUCUUCAUACGCCAAUCUAUAAUUAUUCUGACAAUUACGUAAGCAAAAUAAAAUCUAGUAAAAGCAAAAAUUAGAAAAAAUACUAUUCUAUCAAUUAUUAUUGCACUUAACACUCUCUACCAAUCUUUUUUAGUUCUUCCUUGCAAAUAUAUGUUAGAAAUCAAUUUGGUAAAAUUUCAAGAUAGGACAAUAGAAAAGGAUAAAGUUGGGACAAAUACAAUCUCUCAUUAAAUGAUGAUUGUAAGUAUUUUUAUGAUGUAGGAAUGGGUUUGUUACAAAAAAAAUAUAUGAUUUUUGUGGAGGUUAGUGAUAUUUUUAAAACUUUAAAACAAGUAAUUGAUAUUAGGCAAAAAAUCAAGAGAGGUUUCCAAAUUAUUCCUAUUAGGCUAAAAUUUGUACAUCUAACGAUGUCGGCAGUGGUAUAAAGUUGCCCGACACCUAAAACUAUUUGUGGAUUCCAUUUACUUGUUCUUCAACAGGUAUAAUAAGAAAAAUAAAAAAUAAAAAAUAAAAAAGGACGCCUUCUUUAACUUGCAAGAGAUUAAAUCAAGGAAUAAUUUCGAAAACCUUCCUUAAAGUGCUUUGACAAUUUUGAGAAACUCUCUUCUGAUUUUAAUACAUUACACACCUCCCUUUAAUGUGCAAAAGUACUCCUGUAGCCCCAUUAUAUUUACACACAUAUUUCCCAAAAAAAGGAAAUGAAUAUCGUCAAUUUUAUGCGACUUUUUCCUUAAAUAUCACGACCAAAUUGUCAAAAAAAUUUCCCUAUUUCUCUUUCCUCUUUUCCCUUACCCAACACCCUCCUUAAAAAUAUUGCCAGUAUUUGCUAUCUUUCCUGCUCUUUUCCCACUCCUUGUGGCCCUCCACCUUCAUCCCUCCCCUCCAUCUUCCUUAAUAUACUCAAAUAAGUUGGUUUUUUUUUUCCUUUGGGCUGAUAGAAUUGGAUGCACUAGUCUUAUCUGUAUAUACCUUAGUCGCAUAAUCAUUGUUAAUCGUUCUUUCGUGUUAUAUAGGUUAUAAUUAUUUUUAUUAACGAGUCGUGUUGAAGGGUCUAUUGGAUCAAAGCCUCCUAGUUAUACCAAAUUUCAAGAUAUAUAAAAAUGUGAUAUGAGUAGCUUGUUUUUUAAGGCUUCUUGCCUUGACUGUGGUUGAAUUUGGGGACCAUUUGACCGUUUCAAACGGGCAUAGAGAUGAAAUUUUAAAUGAUAUGAACAGACAAUUGAUCCAUGGUGGACCACAUAUUCUGCUUGUAGCCAAAUAGGCACUAUUUGUUAAGGUCAGUGUGACUUCAAACUCAGUGGUCCUUGCCUUCAUUUCCAGCUUAUAUUGUUCUCAGUUGUCAUCUUUAAUAAUUGAAAAUAUUAUAUAGAUGUCGUGCUAUAUAUGUCUCCAUCAAAUGCACCUAAGAGAAAAGUUUUGAGGGGAAUUUUUUUUUUUUACCACAGUGCAUUAUUUUUAAUAUAGCCCAUUAAUCUUUUAAUAUAGCUUAUUUUUUUUAUCUUCAUGGCACAGAAAAUUGGUAGUGCGAGCGAAAAAUCCAAUGCAAGAUGGCUAGUCUGAGAAAAGAAUAUACUAAUAUGCAUUUGCAAUUUUAAAUGUUCAUUCACAGUUUACCCCCUCGAACGAGGUGGUACUCUCAUUUUACCCCCCAAAUAUAAUUGAUGUUGUACUCUUUUAUUUACACUCUAAAAAGCAUGUAACUUUUUUUUCCCUGUUUUUUCUAAUAAUAACCAGCAGCCCUUACUUCUUCCAAUGAUUUGAUAAAUACUUCCUAAGAACAUGGCCUAAUUUUGAGUAAUAGGGUAGUUUUACCCUAAUUUCUAUAGAUGCCUCUCCUUAAUCCAUCCUAUUUCUUUUCUCUUUUGUUAUUUCUUUGCAUCUCGUAGAACCUGAGUAGUGUUUUUGGUCAUGCAUCACCGAAACAUUAUUGUCAGUUUAGUUAUCAAAUCAAUUCUUUUAGUGGGGUUCAUAAAUUAGUUAACAUCCAAUCUUAAAGAGGACAAGAUAUUAUACUUCUUUAGUUCAAGGGGGGGCAAAAUGUGAUCACUGACCCUACUUUAGGGUAGCAAAAAUGUUAUUAACCCUUAUUAAAACUAGUAAUAAAAGUCACAGGUUGAGACAGAGCAAGUUAAAAUGUUUAAAUUCUUCUAUGACUUCUUUUACACAAAUAAAAAAUGUGCCUACUAAAAAAAAAAGACUAUGAAUUUGCCACUUUUGUGCGAAAUUUGAGUAACUUUGUAAAUAUAUUAUUGAUUGCACUGUGUGGUCACGCAAUUUGUUUUGUACACAUAUAGAAAGUGCACAAAUAUUUUUGAUACUUGUCUACGUAUUUCUGGUGUUUACAAUAAAAGUAGCAGGCAAGUUUGAAACUUCCACUUCACUGCUGCUCCCAAUCAAUCCCAAUCCCAUAUUAAAACAGGCAGUACCAGUAGUAAUGUACGGCCAUUCAUGAAUUAUGACCGUAGAAUACAUGGGCCGUGGGCCAUGUCCCAUCCACAUGGCUGACUGGCUACCCGUAGACAUGUAUACAAAAUCAAUUUUAAUAAAUGCCAAUAAAAUUAUGGGUGUACAUCUUGAUUCGAUAAUUCAUAAAGUCUAGUGAUCCGAUUCGGCUCUUAUCUGAAUUUGCAAAUCUUCGAUCCAUCCAAUCAUACGUGGAUAAAAUCGCAUGUUUGUUUUGAGUUUGAACAGGCAGCACUUCUGCUUUAAUUCCCAAAACAUAGUCACAUGCCUUUUUGUCUUUACUUUAUCCUCUUCAAUUUUUUUUUUUUGGUUUUGGAUUCAUUGUCCAUAUAUGAUGCCAGCUUAUUAUUCUUUUUCUUUCAGCUAGUUUGUUUGAAUUAAAAUUCAACAUAUAGGUAAGGAACAGAUGGAUGUUUGAUUCUUUCUACAGGUUAAAAAAGAAAAUUUUGAGAUAAAAGAGAAAAACAUGUUUUUGACAACAAUGUCUAAAUUGUGCCAAAAAUUAUCAACGAAUAUUUGCCGACAAAUUCUUUUAGACAUUAACAAGAAAUUCACUAAAGGUGAACUUCGAUGCAGCUAUAUUCAGAGGGUUGAAUACCUAUGGAAUAAGAGUAGUUGUUAGGGAUCAUUGAUAGGUUAUAAUUUGUUGCUAAAUUUAUAAUUACUUUUCCCUUGAUUUUAAUCAAAUAUUAUUUUAAUUGAUUGAUUCUACUUAUAUUUGGUAUAAUGGUGCCAAUUGUAGGAAAAUGAGCAAAAUGUGAUAAAAGAGGUAAUUUUUCAAGAAUUACUGUCAAGUCUAGAGAUGACGGGAUUCACACAUGGCAAUUUCCGAAUUCAAGCCGAAGACUUACGAAGCAUGUUUUCAAAUACAGUUGGGAAACAUCUUAGAUUAUGAGGAAAUAUCCUCUUCUUAGGAAAAUUAGGAAGUUCAAUGUAUUUGGGAAACUAGAAAAUAGGAAAAGAAAAGGCCAGCUCCCGUUUGAUUACUACUUCUUAGGAAAGAAAAAAGGAAGCUAGGCUAUUUUUAUUCCUUCUUUCACGUUUGGAAAGGAACAGUGAGUAGUAGAAGCUGAAUAGGAAACAAAAAGAGAGAAAAAGCCAGGAUCCCGCGUGAUUACUACUUGGCCAAGGAAUAAGAAAAGGAGACGACGGCAGCCGCUUGGUUCUCUGCUCCGCGGAAUAGUUCUUCUAUUGUCAAACAUUGAUGCAAUUUCCUUCAAGGGAAUUGCGUGAGAGUAACUAAUCUUGUAUUCACGUAGGCUAUUUGCUAAUUGAGAGUAGUUGAAUCCGUAAUUGUUCAACUACUUCCGUUCCAGUAGCAACUGGCAUAAUUGGAUUUAUAUCAGAAAAACAUACGAUCAAUUUAAACAAACCCUUGUAACGUGUUUGUUAGUUAGUGUUUGGUUUUUCUAAUUCUUAAUGCAAUUUAGAAAUUAAACCCUACGGUCAUACCUAGGGUUAUUUCUUGGUUAAAGAAAUAGUUAACGGUCGUACCUUGACUAUCGAAAAGAUAAGGAAAAGUUGGUUGUUUAUCGCGUGUAUGACAGCUAUAACCAAUCUAGUAAUGAAUGUUGGAAUUAUAUUUGAAUCGAUGAUCAGUUACAUGAACCAUUUCUGAAGUGUACUCUUGGCUAGAGUUUUCCCAUUUAUUUUUGUCAAUUAAUUAUUUAUCGCAUUUAAGUUAUUUAGGUCAUUAGCAGUUAAUCCUAAAAUCCCCCAUUUAUCUUGACACGAAAAGGAAACAAGUUUCUCCCCAAUCCCUGAGAAGACGACUGAUAGGUUGCAAUUUUAUCAUUUAUUUUAUUAUUAAUUUCCCCUAUUAUCUGAUCUAAUGUGGAUUAAUUGCUAGAUUCUACUCACUUUUGAUAUUUUGCAUUUAUUUCAGGGAGUAGAACGAAAAUAUGAUAACAAGUGCCUAUUUAACAAGAAAAGAGCCCAAAUAAUAGAGCUUAUCCCAGGGGCAUUAUUGGCAAAGGAAGACUUUUGCCCAUUUUAGUAAUUUCAAAAGAAGAGAGCAGGGCAGAGGCUUCUAUUUUCCUGGGGGGAAGCCGCCGCACAGUAGCAUUAGAUAGGGAUUAGAAUUAGUACCACCUUUGGGUGGUUUUUGGUUGACUUUUCUUUGUUAGCUUUAUAGUAGCUUUUUCUUUUGGCAUGUCAGGCGCAAUUAGGAGAUGGAAUCACUUUCCGUAGUCCCUCGUUUUUCUUUAUUCCUUCGGCCGAAUUGAAUUCGUACGAGCAAGAACAAUGGCCGCAACUGCUGUUUCAAUUUUGCAUGGGUUUUCCGCACCAAAUAUGAACUAAUUUCUUCGCUCUAGUCAGGGAACAACGGAUGUUUUGAUUCGUCUAAGAAUUGUGAGAUCGAAUUAAUUUUAUCUUUUCCUUUUAUUUAUUGGUAUUCGCAUAUUGCAUGGUUAUAGUGCUUAUGGUUGUUCAAUUAAUUGAUUGUUUUGGAUCCGGAUAAUUAGUUAAUUUGAUAAUCUAUUGUCAAUUGGGACAUUAAAUCCGUAAUUGUUUAAUUGUCUCAAAAUAGUGACAACUGGCAUGAUUAAUUUUAUGUCAGGGGGAUACGCGGACUAAUCUAAAAUAACCCUGGUAGUGUGUUAUUUGGUUAGAAUAGGACUCCUCUAAUACGUAAGGCAAUUGGGGAAUUAAAUCUUACGAGCGUACCUAAGAUUAUUUCUCAAUUAGAGUAGUGAUUAACGGGCAUACCCUAAUCACCGACACAAUAAGGAGGGGUUGACUGUCAUCGCUUGUUUGGCAGUUAUAACCUAUUUAUUAGUAAAUAAUUGGAAUUGCCUUUGUUUCAAUGAUCAAUUAGGUGAACCAUUGCUGAAAUUAUUCCUUGGCUAGAUCAUUUGAUUUUAGUAAAUUGUUAUUUAAUUUUUAGUUGGCUAUUUUAUUUUUAUUAUUUUACUUUUAGUUGAAUUGCUUAAAUUGUUACCCCUGAGACAAAAACACCCCCUUGUCACUGUGAAUUUGAAAAGAAACAAUUACCCCCAGUCCCUGUGGAUUCAACCCUGCUCACCGCUAUCUACAGAAAUUACUUUUAAUUUGAGUAGAUUUUAUUAUUGCACAGGCUUCGACAACCUGUCAACGACCCUACUGGCCACUGUUAACUAGUUAGUGAAUUUAGUCAUAUAAUUAAUUCUGGUAUAUCGAAUUAAGCAAACUUUUCGGGAACAGGGUGAAUCAAGUAACUCAUUGCACACUUAGAGUCCCUGCUCCAGUAGUUAGAAUUGAUUAUUGACUGCUUUUGAUGGUAAUUAAGUUUUAUUUAUUAUUAUUGCACAGAUUCGACACCUGUCAAUUUUUGGCGCCGUUGCCGGGGACUGCGUUCGUUAAUUCGUUUUCUUUUUUAGUUCAUUUUAUUUUUAAUUUCUUUUUUUGUAUUUUUUUCUUUCGAUUUUAUGUUUCGUUCCUCUUGAGUAGGUGAAUUAAUUUUUGACCAUGAGAUAAAGAAAACUGUGUAUAGUGCCAACUCGAGCGAUUCUGAUCAAGAAGGCGUCGCCAUGGCUAAUGCUCGAAUUUUAAGGGAGUUGGCUACUCCAAACUUUAAUCAACAGUCAUUAUGCAUUACCUUUCCAAAUUUAGAUAAAGAAACUCCUUUUGAAUUAAAGUUUGGCCUAAUUCAUUUUUUACUUUCUUUUCAUGGUUUUUUAGGUGAGGAGCCUUACAGGCACUUGCGGGAAUUUGAUGUAAUAUGCACAAGUAUGAAACCCCGGGAUUACUGAGGAGUAGAUAAAAAUGCGAGUAUUUCCCUUUUUCCUCAAGGACGCGGCAAAAGAUUGGUUCUACUAUCUACCACCAGGUAGUAUAACAACUUGGAAACAAUUAAGAAGAAGUUUUUGCGAAAAUAUUUUCCUGCGUCAAGAGCCGCCAGUUUGAGAAAAGAAAUAUGCUGCAUUACACAGCAACCAUGGGAGUCUCUCUAUGAUUAUUGGGAGAGAUUAAAAAAACUGUGUACUAGAUGCCCCCGACACCAGAUUAGCAAGCAGCUCUUGAUUCAAUAUUUCUACGAAGGUUUGUUUUAUACAGAUAGAAAUCUUAUAGACGCUGCGAGUGGAGGUGUUUUGAUGAAUAAGACCCCCCAAGAUGCUUGGAAAUUGAUAGAAAGGAUGACAGAAAAUUCUCAACAAUUUGGCUCAAGGGAAGAUGUCCAUACCCGUCGAGUAAAUGAAGUAACUGUCUCAUCAAUUCAACAACAAAUAUCUGAAUUAUCUUCAGCUAUUCGACAGUUGGCUGUAGGGAAUUUGCAGCAAACCAAAAUAUGUAGUAUUUGUAAGGACACGAGUCAUCUCACAUAUUGGUGUCAAGUGUUACAAGAUGAAGGAGCUGAACAAGUGACCAUGGCUGGCAACAUGCAGUAUGACCCUUACUCCAACACGUAUACUCCGAAUUGGAGAGACCAUCCGAAUUUCAGCUAUGGAGGUAACAAGCAGCAAAAUUUUUUUCCCAAUAGGCAGCAAGGUUUUCAGCCGCAGUGCCUCUCGAAAUCUCAAUCUUAUUCAUCAAAUGCUAACAUGUCUUUGGAGGAUAUGGUCAAGACAUUGGUUGGCAACACCACACAAUUCCAACAAAAUGCCGUUCAAUACCAACAAAGGACAGAUACGAGCAUAAGAAAUAUAGAAAAUCAGUUGAGUCAGAUGACCUCUACACUACAUCGCUUGGAGUUUCAAGAGAAAAGAAGACAUCUAUCUCAGCUUAAAGUUAACCUAAAGAACGUGAGCGCCAUGACCGUCAGAAGUGGAAAAGAAAUUAAAGGGCCUACGGUUCUGGAUAAGAGUCAGGAUCAAAUUCAAAAAGAGAUAGAAGAUAAAAGGCAUGAAUGGGUAUCUACAAUGAGCAAAUUGAUUUCUCCAAUUUAUGAAGAAUUGCCCUCACAAACCAACAUCAAUUUUAAAGAAGAUGAGAGUAUAAUUAUCCUGACAAGUGACAUGGAACUGCAAGAGUCUCAAGAAGAAGAAUCUAAAGAUACAGUUGAAAAGGGAAUUAAAGUACAAGAAAUGAAUCCCCAAUAUCAAAUUGUUCAAGUGGAUGAAUCCAGUGAACAAUCUCCAAAUGCGGUGACAUCUGCUCCAUUCCUUAAUCAAUAUCCUCAUGACUCUUAUUCUUUAAUUCCUAUUUAUGAGAAUGGCUUUAUUAUACCAGAAGAUUUUGAAUUUCAUGAUAGGAAUAAGUUAAGAGUUGCGAUGACAAAAUAUUUUGAACCAGCAAGAACACAUGAUGGAGGAGUGAGUGAAGAAUUAAAAUUCUUGUUGACUUGUUUGGCGCCAUCUACUAGUCAAUGGAAGACUGUAACUUGUGUGCUCAAGGAUGACUCUAUUUACGAGAGCUAUCAGGAUUACAUAGAAGAUGAAAGAUUGAAACGAGUUACACAAUUUUAUCCUCCAUGAAUAAACAUGAAAAUGUCUAGUUAAAGACAUUAAAGAAAGGCGCUGCUUGGGAGGCAACUCAAAACCCUUUGUUUUAGUUUUCUUAUAUUUUUGGAGUUUUUGUUAAGUGUUAGUUGUGUUUAGUAAUUUAUUGCUUUUGUUGCAGGAAGCUGACAGUUAGACGCGCCCACGCCAAAUGGUCACGCCUAAGGAAGAAGGUUUUAAUUUGGCAGACAAAAGACUACCUAGUACUUAGACGUGCCCAUGCCAAGUGGUCACGCUUAAGGAAGGCAAUUUGCACCUGCGGGCAGAAGACUCUCCAUUAGUUAAGUGUGCCCACGCCAGGUGAUCACACUUAAGGAACUCAAUUUUCAAAAAUUGAUCAAAAAACUCUCUAGCAGUUAGGCGUGUCCACGCCAAGUGGUCACGCUUAAGGAUCUUAAUUUCCAUGAAUUGGUCAGAAGACUCAAGAGCAGUUAGGCGUGCCCACGUCUAAUGCAGUGGUUAAAAAAAAAUUUCCUUUCUUUUCUUUUUCUUUUUCCUUUUAUCUUUCUUUCUUCUUUCUUUACCUCUUUUCUUCUUUUCUCCCUUUCCUUUUUCUUUCUUUCUUUCCUUUUCCAGUUGCAAUACCACAACCUUAGGACCUCAAACUCCGCUGCUUGCGCCAUUUUUGCUCGUUACUAUUGCUACCACACUAUGCUACCACCGCUAGCCACCCCCCAUGAUCAUCUCCAUUUUCGCUAUCUAUUGGCAUCUCCAAUUUUGGUUUGGGGGUAGUAAAGAUCCACCAUGUUGGCUUCACACUACCAAUCCCACUGAUAAGUGACUAAUUUACGUAAUAAUUGUAUGAUAUUUUAUAUUAUUUUUAGUCACUUUGGGUAUAUUAUUGGAAGAAUAUGAAUCAUUUUGGCUAUAAUUGGUGAAAAAUGCUUUUAAGUGGUUAAAUGAGGUUUUUAUCAAUUUUUACUUGGAUUUUGUGUAUUUUGACAGUUUUGACACAUUUUCGUAUUUCCGCUAUAACUUGAGUUACAAUGAUCGGAUUGGGAUGAUUCUUGAACCCAUUUGAAGAUAAGAGAUAGAUCUACAACUUUGUUGAAGACAUCUAAAUCCAGUUUUAAGGUUUUCCAGGUCAAAAUGCCGAAUUACAAUAGCAAAUUUCUACUGGUCGAAACUGGAAUAGGGUAAUGAGCAGGUAAGGGUAUUUCGGUCAUUUUUCAGCCUACACAGAUCCAAAUGAGGUGAUUCUUGAUGCAUUGGAAAGCUAACUCAAAGGGCUACAAGUUUUAUGUUUUGGUUAAGAGCUAAAUCAGCUUUUAUCAUCAAGAAAAGUUCAGUUGAAGUUGAGUCAAAAUCGGAGCAGAGCUGGAAAUUGAACCAGAAGUGACCAAAUGGUCACUGUAUCAAUCCGGCCGGAAUUUGGCCGGAUUUGUGGCCGGAUUCCUGGCUGGAUUGUGGUCAGAAAAAGCUGCUUUGUACGCGUAAAACUCAAUUUCACCUCCACCAACUCACAUGCGAUGCUAUACAUGUGAGAAACAUUCCCAGCUGUAAAAGAGAGAUGUAAUCCUCAUUUCUUGACCACCUUUCAUCAUAAAAGAGCCAAAUUCAUUGCAACAAAGGAGAAGAGAUUGGAGUAGAUAGCAGAGAUUGGAGUUUAUAGCAAAAAAAUAGAGGAGAGACAUACGGGAGAAGCUUGGAGUCUGCAGAAAUGUAGCUCUUUCAUCUCCCUAGUGUUAGUUUAGCUUAGUAUAGAGUAGUGUAGUUUUUCCAUUCUUGUUUAUUAUCUAGAUUAGGAUGAAGAUGGAGGAUGAAGAAUGCAAGGAAGAAAGCUCAUGUGACAAGGGUUGUAUUCCUUCCAAACUCUUUAUCUUUUGUAUUUGAUUCCAAGUUUAGUUAAUAUACAAGUUCUGGAUUUUGUGUUUAAUAUGUGUAUCUAAAGUUUAAGCCUUGGGUUUGGUUGAACUUUCUAUAAUUGUUAGUGUUUAUUAUUUGGUUAUUUGACUGCUAUGAUUUGAGCAAGUUAUUUAGCACUUUGGCUUCUUAAAUCAUGAUUAAUCUGGUACCAUUGAUUGUGAUUAUCUAAGGUGUUGUUUCUGCAAUGAAAAUUGAGAUUUAACACUAGUUCAAGAAGUGCUAAACAUAGGGAGUACACUCACGAAAGUAGAGGUGCACUUAUGUGGUUUUUAGUGAUUCAUUUCAUGUAAUUUCAUUGAAGAAAUGAACUUGUAGCUAAUUUCAUAACCAUGAAAAUAGGUAUGGAUUAGUUAUGAGUAUAGUUGAUUCACUACGAAAGUAGGUUUCACAUGUUUAAGGAAAUUACACUAUAACUAGCCUAAAUGUAGUAUUCAAUGAUCCAAAUAUAGCACUUGCAUGAGUAGUUAGGGAUACCACAACCUAAGGAGCUUUUAUUUGUUAUUUUGUAUAAUUUCAGUAGGUUAAAUUUGUUAUAAUUCAUUGAUAGUCUAAAUAAUAGAGAAGCUUUAGUAAUACCGGUAAUUGUUCACUCUUCCCUGUGGGAUCGACCCGAUAUAUACCCUAAACUACUAGUUGAUCUGUAUACUUGCAGUGAACGGGUGUAAUUCGGUUUUUUUUAACUUGCAUGUAUGUAAAAUACCCGUCAAGUUUCCUAUGCCAUAACUUCUUGAGACCCUCCAUUACGUGCUCAGGGAAGUUUCGUUGUCCCUUUUAUUUCGUAUUCUAUUCUUUAUCUCUUACAUUAGAAACAAUGUAAGAUUUAAGUGUGGGAGAGAGUAGUAUAUUGAUAUUUUAUUGAAAAAGUACAAGUGUAAGCAUUUUUGUUGGAAUUUUUUUUGUUUGACUUUGUCGAAUUUUAUCCAAUUUUUGCCUUUCUUUGUGUAUAUUUGUGAUUGUUCCUGAUAAACGAUAGUUAGAUGUUUCAAAUUUUUCUAUUGCUAAGAUUUUACACUCUAAAGUAUUAAGUAUGAUAUGGUUAAAUCUAAGAGUAUCUUUUUUGGUCAAUAUUUGAGAUUUUGUGCCUUUUGCACUUUUUGAUUAACUUCUCUAAGUAUUGUAAAUAUUUAUCUAGCAUUUUUUUGUGCAAAUUGAUUUAGUUAUUAAUCUUAGUUCUCCAUAUUUAAGAAAUAAAGCGGGUUUGUGUAAUUUCUAAUUUUAAAUUGGUGCUUAUUUAUGAACAGUAUUCGGUUAUACUCCGCUAGUAUCGUUGCCUAGUAACCGGAGGUCUUAACCAUAAAUGUCGAUUUUCGCGUCAAAAAGCAACGAUAGCUAUGAGUAUGUGAUCCUUUAGCGAUAAAAGUUGAGUAAUUGGACUCCUUCAUUUGGCCAAUGUCGGAGUUCGCAUCAAAACGCUUAAAUGGCUAAAGACUAAGCAUUUCCCCUGAAGAAAAAAAAAUCAAUCAAGUGUGGGGAUAUUUUAGAAAAAAAUGUGCUAAUAGUGAAAAAUGUGGAACUAUUUGAAUGAAUUGUUAGCCCGCUAAUUCAUGAAUUUUAAUGUUGAGAUUUUGCUUAAUAGUCGAACCAUUUGCUUAUGGAUGCUGGUUGAAUAUUUUAUAUUCUUAGAUUAGUUAGUUAUAAAUUGAAAGAGUCCUUGAUUUUGAAAGCUAAUUGGAGAGAUAUUUCUUGAAAAUUGCUACUAAUACUUGAUAUAUGUUUUAAUUAUAUCUUGGCAACAAAAGAUUUAAGCAAUAGCCAUUGUUUGAAUUUGAUUGCUUGAUUUGUUGUUUUCAUGCUUGGGAACAAGCAUGGUUUAGGUAUGGAAAAAAUUGAUAGGUUAUAAUUUGUUAUUAAAUUUAUAAUUUUUCCUUGAUUUUAACCAAAUAUUAUUUUAAUUGAUUGAUUCUACUUAUAUUUGAUAUAAUGGUGUCAAUUGCAGGAAAAUGAGCAAAAUGUGAUAAAAGAGGUAAUUUUUCAAGAAUUACUGUCAAGUCUAAAGAUGAUGGGAUUCACGCAUGGUAGUUUCCUAAUUCAAACCGAAGACUUACGAAGCAUGUUUUCAAAUACAGUUGGGAAACAUCUUAGAUUAUAAGGAAAUAUCUUCUUCUUAGGAAAAUUAGGAAGUUCAAUGUAUUUGGGAAACUAGAAAAUAGGAAAAGAAAAGGCCGGCUCCCGUUUGAUUACUACUUCUUAGGAAAGAAAAAAGGAAGCUAGACUAUUUUUAUUCCUUCUUUCACGUUUGGAAAGGAACAGUGAGUAGUAGAAGCUGAAUAGGAAACAAAAAAAGAGAAAAAGCCAGGAUCCCGCGUGAUUACUACUUGGCCAGGGAAUAAGAAAAGGAAACGAUGGCAGCCGCUUGGUUCUCUGCUCCGCGGAGUAGUUCUUCUAUUGUCAAACAUUGACGCAAUUCCCUUCAAUGGAGAGUAACUAAUCUUGUUUUCUAGUCAAGGGACAACUGAAGAUUUGGUUCAACAAUAACUGUGAGAUCUAAAUUAUUUUAACUGUUUCCUUUAUUUAUUGGUAUUUGUAUGUUUUCUGCUUUUAAUUAUUAUAGCUAUCGUGUAUAAUUGAAUAGAUGCGUAAUAUUUAAUUAUUUACGUAGGCUAUUUGCUAAUUGAGAGUAGUUGAAUCCGUAAUUGUUCAACUACUUCCGUCCCAAUAGCAACUGGCAUAAUUGGAUUUAUGUCAGAAAAACAUAUGAUCUAAUUUAAACAAAUCCUCGUAGCGUGUUUGUUAGUUAGAAUUGAGUUUUUUCAAUUCUUAAUGCAAUUUAGAAAUUAAACCCUACGGUAGUACUUAGAGUUAUUUCUUAGUUAGAAAAAUAGUUAACGGUCGUACCUUGAUUAUCGAAAAGGUAAGGAAAAGUUGGUUGUUUAUCGCGUGUAUGACAGUUAUAACCAAUCUAGUAAUGAAUGUUGGAAUUAUAUUUGAAUUGAUGAUCAGUUACAUGAACCGUUUCUGAAGUAUACUCUUGGCUAGAGUUUUCUCAUUUAUUUCUGUCAAUUAAUUAUUUAUCGCAUUUGAGUUAUUUAGGUCAUUAGCAGUUAAUCCUAAAACCCCCCAUUUAUCUUGACUCGAAAAGGAAACAAAUUUCUCUCCAGUUCCUGAGGAAAUGACUCUACUUGCCACUGUUAACUAGUUAGUAAAUUUAGUCAUGUAAUUAAUUCUGGUAUAUCGAAUUAAACAAACUUUUCGAGAACAGGGUGAAUCAAGUAACCCAUUGCACACCUAGAGUCCCUGCUCUAGUACUUAGAAUUGAUUAUUGACUGCUUUUGGUGGUAGUUCGGUUUUAUUUAUUAUUAUUGCACAAGUUCGACACUUGUCAAUCAUGCUAGAAACCUCAUAGCAGGAAUGGCUAAGCAAUUUGUGGGAUUUUGCCUCUUCGGAAAUGGCAGGGAUGAAGGCAGAUAUGGAGGCGCUGGAGAUAUGUUUAAUGCAGCUUUGGUUUUCCUGCAUUUUUUUGAAUAAUAUACACUCAACACUAUGCCAGCAGUUAAAUCAUAGGGAGGAGGAUUUGUCAGAUUUAGGUAAUUUAGUUAAUGAUAAUUUGUGAGAAGAGUUUACUUGAUAUCACAAAAAUACAUAAAAGCUGUAAAUUAUUUAUAUAUAUAUGAUCAUUUAUGAACGGAAAAUGAUCAAUUAUGAAUUAAUCAUAAAUUAUGAAUAGAUCAAUUUAUGAACGGGCUAUUGUGCAACAAACUUCAAAAAGGACAAAGUUUGUUCUUGGAGAUUAAUUAGUUUUUUUGUGGUGCUAAAGUUCAUGAGAUUAGAUAGUUCUAAUGUUUUAUAAAAACUAUUAUUUUGCCUUCUAAACAUGCUGAUGUGCAAGUGUUAUACCGAAGUCUCAAAUUCUGUUACUCUACCUUUUUAUUUUUUUGGUAUAGUUGCCAAUAGCACAAUAUUUAGUCUUUCACGGACUAGUCAAGGGAAAGUGAUACAAGUUCGAGGCUACAGAUUUAACCACAAUUAGCCUUGAUUUUGUUGUAUCUCUGAAAUACAAACAUUAAACAUUUUUCAGUGCAAAGCUACUAAAAUGACUUCAGAUUGGAUAAGAAUAUUUUUCCAUCACACCAAAAAUGCUCAUAAAAGAGACACAUAAUUACACGUUAAUUGUUAGGUCUGACCCAAGAAUAAACAAACUAAAGUUAGAACAAAAUAAGUGGUAUAACCGACCAUAUAAAGGUUAGGCGGUAUAAUCGACCAUAUAAAGGUUAGGCGGUAUAACCGGCCAUAUAAUGAUUAGGCGGUAAAAUCGACCAUAUAAAAGGGUUGUGGCAACCCAAUAAAGACAAAUAACAAAACAAAAUAAAAGAUACAGAAAUUUACGUGGUUCGGUCAAAUCGACCUACGUCCACGGGCGGAGGAAGAGUAAAACUUCACUAUAAAGAAGAUAUACAAAAGCUGUAGGAAAAUAGUUUCUAAACCAAAAGGCACUUGCAAAAGAUUUAGGAAAUAUUCCUAAACUCAAAAUAACAGAGGCUAAAAUAUUUGACUACAAAUGGGCUAGAUGACCAAGAAACUAAUAGCCCAUAUAAUGCUCUCUUGAGUGGUGCAAUUGAUUCCUUCAUAGAAAGCCUUUAUUUAUAGGUAUCAAGAGAGAAGGCUUCUAUUGCUGGUCUUCGAUGUGGGAUGAAAAAUUUUGUCACCAAAGUCAAACCUUACGACUCAACAAAUUUCCACCUUGGCGUAAUUUUGAGUCCCACCAAAAAACGGCUUCACCUUCCCCACAUAAGCCCCAAUGGGUUUAAAUCACCAACAAUGAAUACCAACCAAGUCCAAGCACUGCUUGAACUUAUAAACUGGAAGAGGUUUCUUGAACAUGUCAGCAGGAUUCUCCUUGGUACUGAUUUUUUGAACAAGAAUUUUUCCUUCAGCAAUGAUAUCCCGGAUAAAGUAAUAUUUCACAUCAAUAUGUUUCGUCCUCUUAUGAUACAUUUGAUCUUUAGUCAAGUAUAUGGCACUUUGACUAUCACAGUGAAUAACAGUAACACCUUGAUGUAGACUAAACUCGCUAAACAAACUCUUCAACCACAAGGCUUCUUUGAUUGCCUCGGUCACAGCCAUAUAUUCUGCUUCUGUAGUAGACAAAACUACGACAGGUUGUAGAGUAGCUUUCCAACUGACAGCACAACUGCCAACGCAAAAUACAUAGCUUAAAAGUGAUAUUCUCUUGUCAAGAUCCCCAGCGUAGUCUGAAUCUACAAAACCAAUCAAAGUGUUAUUAUUUCUUCCAAAUAUAACAUGCAUUUGAAGUACCUCGCAAGUAUCUGAAAAUCCACUUCACAGCCUGCCAAUGUGUUUUUGAAAACAAGACAUAUAUCUGCUAACAAUACUGACUGCUUGUGCAAUAUCUGGACGAGUAUGAAUCGUUGCAUACAUAAUACUGUCGACUACACUGGAUUAAGGGAUCCGUGCCAUAUAAUCUUUCUCUUUAUCUGAUUUUGGUGAUUAAGUAGCAGAUAUCCAAAAAUGGCUAACAAAAUGAGUAGAUACUGAUUUAGUAUCUUUCAUGCCAAAACGCUCCAAGUCUUUCUCAAGGUAAUUUUUUUGGGUCAAGAACAACUUCCCUACUCCUCGAUUUCGCUUGAUAUUUAUGCCAAGAAUUUUCUUAGCUGCUCCCAAAUCUUUCAAUUCAAAUUCACUAUUUAACUGCAAUUUCAAAAUGUGAAUUUCUGACAAAUUCUUGAUAGCAAUGAGCAUGUCAUUAACAUACAACAACAAAUAGAUAAAAGAAUCAUCAUCUAACUUUCGAAAGUAAACACAACUAUCAUACAUGUUCCUUGAAUAACCAUGACCUAACAUAAAGGAAUCAAACCUUUUAUAUCAUUGCCUUGGAAACUGCUUCAAUCCAUAUAAAGAUUUCUUCAAUAAGCAAGCAUGGUCUUCUUUACCUUCAAUCUCAAAACCCUGGGGUUGCUUCAUAAAAAUUUGUUCUUCAAGUUUGCCAUGUAAGAAAGCUGUUUUAACGUCGAGCUGUUCUAACUCCAAAUUAUAUAUGACAACUAAAGCUAGCAAAAAACGAAUAGAGAUAUGUUUAACAAUAUGUGAAAAAACUUCAUUUAAAAUCAACAUUUUAUAUCUGACUAUAGCCUUUUGCAACUAAUUGUGCUUUUUACCUUACAUCUUCAACCCCUGGAAUACUUUCUUUUUUCUUGAAUACCCACUUGCAACCAACUAUUUUCUUAUUUGACGGUGGCUUUACAAGAACCCAAGUUUCAUUCUGAUGAAGAGAUUCAAUUUCUUCAUUCAUUGCAAUCAACUACUUUGUAGAAUCAUCACAAGAAACUGCUUCUGAAUAGGUGGAAGGCUCACCAACUGCAUCAGUUUCUUCUGCAACAGACAAACCAUAUGCAACUAAAUUUGCAUAUCUUUGUGGUGGUCGAAUGUCUCUCCUUGGUCUAUCUCUGACUAUGGAAUACUCCUCUUCAUCUGUACUAUCUUCAAAGUAGAUUCAGGUGCAUCUACUGGCAUUUGAUGAAUAGAAGAUUUGGUUUGAGAAGAACCAGAACUAUCAAUAUCAAGCUCCACUUGCUUCUGUGUACUAUCAGUAGUACAAGGACUAGAAGACUCCUUCUUGGAAGAUAACAUAGACAAUUUAUCAAAAGUAACAUCUCUACUGAUUACAAAUUUUAGAGAUUUGGGAUUAAGACACCAUAAUCUGUAUCCUUUCACCCCAAAAGCAUACCCAAGAAAAAUGCACUUUUUAGCUCUAGGUUCCAAUUUUCCAUCACUCACAUGCAUGUAUGCUGGACACCCAAAAAUUUUUAAAUUGGAGUAAUCAACAGGAGUACUUGACCAAACUUUCUCAGGAGUUUUGAAAUCAAGAGAUGCAGAAGGGGAACGAUUGACAAUAUAACAGGCCAUAUUGAUUGCGUCUGCCCAAAAGUCGUUUGUCAACCCUGCAUUGGAGAUCAUACAUCUUGCUCUCUCCAAAAGCUUUCUGUUUCUACGUUCGGCCACACCAUUUUGUUGAGGCGUCAUUCUGACAAUGCGAUGUCGAACAAUUCCUUCAUUUUUACAGAAUCUAUCAAAUUCACCUUCACAAAAUUUCAUGCCAUUAUCUGUUCUCAAUGGCUUAAUAUAUUUUUCUGUUUGUUUCUCAAUCAAAACUUUCCAUUGCUUGAAAGUUAAAAAAAUAUCAUUUUUAUGCUUAAGAAAAUAGACCCAAACUUUUCUUGAAUAAUCAUCAAUAAAAGUCAACAUGUACCUGGCACUACCUUUAGAAGGAGCACGAGAAAGAUUCCAUAGAUCUGAAUGAAUGUAAUUAAGAGUACCUUUUGUCUUGUGAAUUACUGUUGAACUAAAGCUGAGUUUUUUUGCUUUUCAAAAAUACAAUGCUCACAAAAUUCCAUCUUUCCAAUACUUUGACUACCAAGAAGAUCUCGUUUGCAUAAAAUAGAUAAGCCUUUCUCGCUCAUGUGCCCCAAUCUCAUGUGCCACAAUUUGGUGAUGUCUGUAUCUGACAAAGAUGAUGUUGAAACAGCAGCAGCACCUGUAACAGUAGAUCCCUACAAAAUAUAUAAAGUACCAGAUCUAUGUGCUUUCAUAACAAUAAGAGCACCUCGAGCGAUUUUGAGAACUCCAUCUCCACAAGAAUAGCUCACCCAAUAGACUUAAGAGUGCCCAAAGAGAUGAAAUUUUUCUUCAAAUAUGGAACAUGUUUAACAUUUGUGAGUGUCCUCACAAUACCAUCGUACAUUUUAAUCCAAAUUGUGCCUUUGCCAACAACUUUACAUACGGCGUUGUUACCCAUUAAGACAACUCCACCUUCAGUUGAUUCAUAUGUUGAAAACCAGUCCCCAUUGGGACACAUAUGAUAUGAACAAUCUGAAUCUAUAAUCCAUUCAUUGUUAGACCUAAAAUUAUUUUCCGUUGCAUAGAAAAUGGCUCUAUCAUUCUCAUUAACUGUACUACUAGCCUCGACGGUCUUACUCUUUUUCUCCUUUUACUUUUCUUUAUUUUUCAAUUUAAAUCAAUCAGAGAUAACAUGACCCUUCUUUUUACAAUAGUUGCACACUACAUUUUUAUCUCUGAAUUUGGAUCUAUUUCUAUUUUCUGUAUUUCUCUUUUCAGAUCUACCCCAAACAAACAAGCCAUUGGCUUGACUCCCACUAGUUUCUCCAGUAAUAUCUCUAUCUAUCUGCUCUUUAGAUUUUAAUGCAGAUUUAAUUUCCCGAUAUAAAAUUGUUUCCUUUCCAUAAAUUAUAGUAUCACGAAAAUACUUAAAGGACUGGGGAAAGGAGCACAAAAGUAAUAGGGCCUGAUCUUCAUUAUCAAUUUUUGAAUCUAUAUUCUCCAAAUCCAUAAUAAUAGAAUCAAAUUUAUCAAGAUGGGAGAGUAUAGAUGUACCUUCAGACAUUCGAAACAUAUACAAACUCUACUUCAGAUAUAGCCGAUUCUUGACUGUCUUUUUCAUAUACAAGAUUUUCAAUUUAUCCCACAUAACUUUGGCCGAAAUCUCCGUUGCUACCUCACGCAAUACCUUAUCGGAGAGAUUUAAGAUUAUGCUGGAUCUGGCCUUCUUAUUCAUAUCGGCGAAAUCCGUAUCCUUUACAUCUUCAGGCUUUUUCUCAAUUCCCUGAAUUGCCAAAUCAAUUCCGUCUUAAACAAGAAUGGCCUCCAUCUUGAGUUGCCACAUCCCGAAGUUGACAUUCCUGUCAAAUUUUUUGACAACUGUCUUUGUUAUCGUCAUUAUUGCCACAAAAUCUAUAAUUUGAAGUUUGUCUCAAAAAAUUGGUCAAACAAAUAUGCAAGUCUCAUGGGCGGGCCCCACAGGGUGAGCGGUCCCACGAGAUAAGCUGGCCCCACGGGAUGAACGGAUCCCACGAGAUGAGCGGGCCACGGAUAAACGGACCCCAUAGGAUGAGUGGGUCCCACAGGAUGAACGGGCCCACCAAAUGAACCUGUCUUGUAAAAUAUAUCAACCAACUCUGAUACCAGUUUGUUAGCUUUGGCCUAAGAAUAAACAAACUAAAGUUAGAACAAAAUAGGUUGUAUAACUGACCAUAUAAAGGUUAGGCGGUAUAACCGAUCAUAUAUUGAUUAGGCGGUAAAAUCGACCAUAUAAAAGGAUUGUGGCAACCCAAUAAAGAUAAAUAACAAAGCAAAAUAAAAUAUAUAGAAAUUUACGUGGUUCAGUCAAAUCGACCUACGUCCAUGGACGGAGGAGGAGCAAGACUUCACUAUGAAGAAGAUAUACAAAAGUCGUAGGAAAGUGGUUCCUAAACCAAAAGGCACUUGCAAAAGGUUUAGGAAGUAUUCCUAAAUUCAAAACAAGAUAGCCUAAAAUAUUUGACUAUAAAUGGGCUAGAUGAUCCAAGAAACUAAUAGCCCAUAUAAUGCUCUCUUGAAUUGUGCAAUUGAUUCCUUCAUAGGAAGCCUUUAUUUAUAGGUAUCAAGAAGAAAGGCUUCCGUUGCUGGUCUUCGACGUGGGAUGAAAAAUUUUGCCACCAAAGUCAAACCUUGCGGCUCAACAUUAAUUAACACAACUGAAAUAUUGAACUAGCAAGCAAAUAUAUAGAAAUUGCAUAUUACAAAAUGCUAAUUAUAUUUCACACGACAAAGUACAUACUAUCACACUGAGCCUGUUUCAUUACCGAGCUAGAAGGUGGCUUUUUUAGUUUUCAGGCUCAGCAUCCACAGCCUGACCAGGAUGAUAGCAGCACCUACAGCCGCCACCGCAAUAACUUCGGCCACAGCACCCAAAGCUGCAAUAUCCACCAUAACCGCCAAGACCGGGAUACCCUCCAUAUCCACCCCCAGGAUAUCCACCAUAACCUCUUCCUGGAUAGCCCCCAUACCGGCCACCUGGGUAUCCUCCAUAACCACCUCCAGGAUAGCCUCCAUAACUUCCUCCGGGGUACCCUCGGUAGCCUCCAGGGUACUUGGCUUCUUCUAAACCAGUUGUCUCAACUGUCAUGGCUGCAAUGAGGAUAAAUAGGGCAUCAAGUUAAUUACUGUACUGGCAAUUUGGAAUUGUGAAAUUUGCACCAGUUUGUCUACAUGCUUCUAAGUCACCUAAUACCUCAUUGAAAAUAUCAUAGCCAUUUGAAAAUUUGCCUUUUAAUGUGUGAGUGAAAAUAUCUUAUAAAACUUAAAAAUGAUUCAUCACUGUGGAUUGAUAGCUAGUUUUAUUAUCUCAAACCGUAGUUACUAAGUUUAAUCUUACGCGAUUAGUGAUUUUUUUUUAAUGCCAGCAGGAUUUGAUACAUGUCAUAUGUACAAAAUGAAAAUCUCAAAUUUAAAUAAAAGUGAUAUUUCAUCUAUACAGACAUGUUAGAAUAAUAAAAAAAAAUUACGCUAAAAGUACAGGGACAAGAAUUUAUUCUAAUUACUAACCAAUACUCCCCAAGAUCCACUUCUCGUAAGACUUAACAAUUUUGACUUUGGAGUGACUACGAUCGUUUAUAUUUAUUACAUGUUGAUUGAACAAGAUUCCAAGUUGAUUGAACAAGUAGCCCAAAAAAAAUUUUCUCACCCAAAAAAAAAAAGUUGAUUAAACGAGUCAAACAUUUUUUGAGAAAGAAAAGAAACGAAGAAGAACAUGACAAACUUUGGAAUAGGUUCAAAGAAGAAUGGUGGGCUGUAUAAUGAUGUUACAUUUUGCAUUACAAAAGAACAUAUGUUUAAAGAUCGACAUGUCAAGGAACUUUUAUUUUGUAUCCCAAAUGUAAGAUUAAGAUAAUGUGGAUAAAGCCCUCGUCGAUUAGCUAGUGGAUUUCCUUCAAAAGCCUAUAGUAUUAGUGUGCUAUAUCUAACUUUUACGUUCAACAAUCCAUUCAUGGGGUAUUAAUCAACAUUUUAUCGUGUCUCCUUCCUACUUCCCAAUAUUCGAACACUGUAGUGGAAAAUGAAAUUUUCUUAUUAUGAGUUUGACGGCAUAAUUUAACGUGGUGCGGUGAUCAAUCAGUGGCGGAACCAGAACCUUUGUUUAGGAGGUGCAACACUAAUAUUAGUCGAAAUUUAAAGUGUUGGUUCGGAAUUUUUUAGUAUAACUAAAUAUUUGUAAUAAGUACAUCAAUUAAUUUACUUAAUAUUACAAUUAAAAAAGUUAUUUAUUGCUUGUGAUUAAUCAUUUGCAAUAAUUAUUUAUUUGUAAUGAGUUUGCAAAAGUUAUUUUAUAAGACUGCACAAAAUUUUAAAAUAUACAUGAGACUACAAGAUGUAAAGAUCUAGUAUGUAAAUUAGGCUAACAAUGCGUACAGAACUGGAUGUCUAACUGGUAUUAUCAUUCAUUAAAGCAUUGACAAAGACUUCACGGUUGGGUUAAAAAAUAAUAAUAAAAAGAAAAAAAUUCACACAUGAAUGAUGUCGAGAACAUUUAUCUAUUUGGAGAAUUUACAAGGAAUUAUGAAUCUACUAUGCUUUUGUCAAAAUAGAGACAUUUAUAAUAUAAAUUUAUACUUCUUCAUUCAUCUUAUUCAAUUUUCCAUGUCAAUAUAUAAGUGAUUAACACAUCAAAAGAUAAUUGGUGCAAAUUAAUUAGCCAGUUUAUUAAAUGUAUGUGAACUCCAUAAUGCCAAGAUGGUUUUUCAUUUAAUUCCUGCGGACAUGUUGACGCCGCAGCAGAAUUUAAUAAGCUUUAUCUACUUUUCCUAUCAGGAGGACCUUUAUAUUGUCUCCGUUUCCUGUCUCGUGUAGCAAUUAAGGAAGAAGGGGAAAAAAUAAUUACUUUCUCCAUAUCACUUUAAUAGUUUUAUUUUUAUUUUUCAUCCAUUCUAAAUUAUAGUCUAUGUUUUUUUAGUAUAUGUGAGAGGGUUCAAAUCUGAAACAUCUCAUUUACACUUCCUCCCGAUGAACCGCUCAAUUCAUCCUCAAACCCGAUACAUUUCACUUACAUUCUGUUUCCACAAAUCAUCCAAUCCAUCCCUCCCCCUAUAGUGCACCUUCUCAUUGAAGAAUAUAGUUAACUUUUAAUUUCUUUAAAAUACUUUUAUUCAAUAUACUUUGUUAUCGGUAAGUAUAGCUUGUCUUAUUUAAUAUAGUCAAUUUUUUUCACCAAUAAUUGCUUUAUGUCUUGAAUGGUGCAAUACACAAUCAUUAUUGUUGUUGUAAUUAAUGUAAAAGUAUAGUGAUUAGUGAUACUCCUAAUAUUAAUAUAUGGAUAUUUUAGAAAAAUAUUAGAUUAAAUUUAUUUUUUCAACAAACUUAACUAAUUUUUUUUUUAACUGUGUGCGAAAUUAGUAUGGAUAUAGAAGGAAUUUGUGGCUUCAACAAAUAUACAGCUGGUCAUCAGUUUUCGGUGUCGUACAAAGAAGCGAAUCAGUUGGUCGCUCGAUAUUUAUUGCAGAAAAUGACUCAACAAUACAGCGACGAGUCCAUUAAGAGUUGAAUUCGUACAUGCCGAAUAAUACUUGUUUUUACUCUUUAAAUUAGCCAUACAAUUUUCCCCACAAAUAAUAUUUCCGGAACACCAAUUUUAGUUUCGCAUGGCCAAAUUUUAUUAAAAGACUUCAGCAUUUGUUAUUCUUCAUAUUAUAUGUAUCAAUAUAUUAAUUGCACAUCAUUUGCGGAGCUUAGUUACUUUAUAUGGUUAAUUGAAAAGGAGAUAGGAACAAAUGAGCAUAAUAAAUAAUUGGUGAGUAAAAACAAGCCAUCGUUAAUAAUAAACAUGGUAAGUCAUUAAAGAGUAAAAUAAAUCAAAACACUGUGUAUCCAUCAACAUUUUUUCUAUCUCCCUUUUUUCUUUGGCCCUUAGUUAGAUUCAUUCCACGUUGAUUAACCUGCCAAACGUCUUUGUAAUAAAGAAAAAUAACAAAUGAAGAGCAUCCCAAACUUUGCAAUGCACAAAUAGUUGCAAAAAAAAAAAAAAAAAACUCUUAAUAGGCAGCAUAGUUCUGAAGCAAUUGCAUUAAAAAAUUAAUAAUAUCUUUUAUAAAAUAUGUUAAAGAUUUGUAUUUCAUAGAAUUGGCCAAUGCCAUUUUGUAUCCCAAGUGUAAUGGAUAAGAUAGACUUUGUAUUUCUUUGGCGAUAAUGAAACUGAACGCUAGGAAGAUUCCCAUAACAAAGUCUACUUGUCAUCUUGUAAUGGGGUGGGGAGUAUUUCAUAAGUGUUUCGAGCUCUUGAGCUGUUGGUUAUUAUUCUUCUAUACAAAGUGGAAUUAUUUAGAAUGGUAAUAGGAUUAUUUCCUGAAUUAUUGAGCUCAUUUGCUUUUAUUUAGUGUGCUAUGUUAUUGAAGUUUAUGAAAUUGGAUUGUCAUGUAGAUGACAAACAAUAUACUAGAAUUAAUUAAAGCCCUUUCACUAGAAAUGCAGUUUUGAUCCCUAAUAUUUAACACGUGUGUCAAUCUAAUUCAUAAUGUUUCGACUUAAAAUAAAUACGGCCACCAAAGUUUUUAAUAUUAGGCAAAUACAAAAUACAUGCAACAUUGUCUAACGGUCAAAAUUUAAAUUGUCAAUAAUCAACAAUUUCAAUUAUGUAUUUUUCGUGUCAAUAUUUUUAGUGUUAAACAAGUAAUUCCUCAUCCACUAUCAAAGACCAACUAAAGUUUUUUUUUUUUUUUUUUAAGUUUCAGGUCGUCUUGGGCCUCUAACUUUAUGCCAAUCGGUUUGGGAUGGAAGGUCAAGUUCAUCUAACAUAUGCUGAUAUGUAUCAGAUCUAGUUCUUGAUUGUUUCCCAUCAACACAGGACUUCGACUCGGCACAUUGGGUUUGGUUUCAAUUUUUGCCAUGCUACUAGUACAAUUCAAUUGGGCGACUGCGGCUUCUAAUCUUGAAUACUUGGAUUCUAUCUAGUUAUUUCAGUCCACUUGACUUGUUUAACCCGAGUCAUUUCUGAAAGGAGUUGUUAAACAAGUAAGCAAAAACACAAGCAAGUUUUCCAAAACCCUCACUUCUGCCAGUUAGUUAUGUUAAUAUGUAGGAUUUAGAUUGGAUUCCUUUGAUCCAAAUUUAGAUAUAUUAAAUUUAGUUAGUCCCAAAUUCAGAACCAAACCUUUAUGAGUUUGAAAAAAUAAGUCCAAAUCCAAACUCUCCUGGAUUUAGAUAUUCAAUGGAUAUUCGUUGAAUUUUUGUAAAUGCACUAGAAUAAAAAUAUAUUUAAAAUACAUAAAUUUCAAAAAAAAUAUAAACGCCAUCCAAUUUUUAUUUCCAAAUAAUAAAAUUAAUAUUCAAGAAGUUGAAUGCAAUAUUAAGAACUCAAAAAAAUAACUACUAUCAAUUGUGGUUUAGCCUUUUUUUACAUAACCCCCCUAUGGUUUUAAAAACUAUACAUAACCCCCUUAUGAUUUGAAUUAAAGUGUCAAAGUGACGGGAAUGAUCAUUCAUAACGGCGUUACCUAAAAUGUCAAAAUUACCCUUAUGUAAAAAAAAAAUAAAAUGGCUCAUCUAAUAAUUGUUGAAUGCAAAUGUAUCUCUUCACAACAUGUUUUGUUUUCAUAUGCUAAUCUUUAAUUAAGUUUCUUUGUUAUUCUAACAUUUAUGGAAGUAAAAAAAAUCUAGAAAAUGCCAAAAUAGAAGAAAAUAUUAUUGUAUCAAUUAUUAUUGCAUACAACACUCCCUUCCAAUCUUCUUCAGUUCUCCCAUGCAAAUAAAUGUUAGAAAUCAUUUUGGUAAAACAUUCAAGACAUGACAACAAAAAUGGGUAAAUUUGGGACAAAAAUACAUUUCUUUCUUUAAAUGAUCAUUUUAGGAAUAAUUUUAUCAUGUAGGGUGAGUUUGUUUCAAAAGAUUUUAAGAGAGGUCAAUGAUAUUUUUUAAAAUAACUUUAGGAUGCUAAGUGAUAUUAGACAAAAUCCGAAGGGAGAUUUCCAAAAUUAUCCCUAUUUAUGUAGCUAAAAUUUGCAUGUCUAACGAAUGAUGCUAAUUGCUACAAUGUUUGACAAAUACAAUGUCGGUACUAGGUACAAAGUUGCCCCACCCCCAAAACUGUUUGUAGAUUCCAUUGACUUGUUCUUCAACUGGUAUCAUGCAUAAAAAAAUUUUAGAUAAAUUUUUUUUUUUAAAAAAGGAUGUCUUCUUCGACUUGCAAGAGAUUAAAUCGAGGGUUAAUUUUCAAAACCUCCCUUAAAGUGUUUCGACAAUUUCAAGAUCCUCCCUUCUAAUAUUUAAUAUUAUACAUACCUCUCUUUAAUAUUCAAAAGUACUCUUAUACCCCCAUUAUAUUUGCACACAUAUUCCCACAAAUGGAAAUGAAAAGUAAAAAAUGAAAAUAAUCACCCUUACCCACUCUUUCCUUUACUCUCACGAUCAAAUUGUCAAAAUGUCCCCCUGUUUCUCUUUCCCCUAUUCUUUUUCCAUCUAUUACCCAACGCACUCCACUUACCUUCACACGUACAAGUGUUUAGUAUUUGCUACCUUUCCUGCUCCCUUAUCCUCUCCUUGUGGCCCUGCACCUCUAUCCCUCCCCCCCCCCCCAAAUCUUAGUUAAUAUACUCGGGUAAUUUGGUUUUUUCUUUUUCUUUUUAUGAGUUUAUGGGCAUAUUGAAUUGGACAUACUUGUCUCAUUCGUACAAACUUUAGUCGCAUAAUCAUUAUUGCUCUGUUAAACAUUUCUUUGUGUUAAAUUUCUAGAUAUAUAGGAAUGUGAUAUAAGUAGCUUGGUUUUCAAAGGUUUCCUGCCUUGGCUAAGGUUGACUUUGGGGACCAUUUGACUGUUUCAACUUUCAAAUGGGCAUACAGAUGAAAUUAUGAGAUGAUAUGAACAGACAAUUUAUCCAUAUUAGACCACAUAUUUUCCUUGUAGCCAAUUACUAGUUAAGAUCAGUGUGACUCCAAAUUCAGUGGUCCUUGCCUUCCAUUUCCAACUUGCAUUAUUCUCAGUUCUCAUCUUUCAUAAUUAGAUCUAUUAUAUAGAUGUCAUUGUAUAUAUACCUGCACUAAAUGCUCAGUAGAAACAGACCAUUUUGUUACCCUAGGAACAUGACCUAAUUUUGAGCAAUAGAGUGUGAUCACCGCUUAAUUUUGAGUGAUAGAUCCUUUGCCCUCAAAGUAAAAUGUUUGACUCUGUCUAUGUUGGAUAUUCUAUCACAUAUUGCCGUCAUAAAUAUCUUCAACUACAUCUAAAUCAUGGGGUCAACACAUUUCCAUGCGUAUUUUUACCUUUCCCUCUUCGAGAACCGUGUCAAGUAAAUUUCCCUAUAAAAAGAGAAGAGAUGCUGCAGCUUUCUCAUCCUUGUCAAUGUUUUUAAUACCAAAUCUUGAGUUCAUAAACCAAGUUGUGUGAGGAAAACAAAAAUGGGUUCCGACGCAAUUCUCUUCCUAUGCCUUUUGGCUGUAGUUCUGAUGAUUGCCUCGGAGGUGACAGCCACGGAUUUGGCCGAAAAUAGUAAGCUAUUUAUUCAGGGACUUAUUCUUUCCUUUUUCAACAAUUUUAUACCUACAAAAUAUAGACUUUUUGGCACAACAUGAAUUACUAUAGGCAAUUUUUUUUUCCUUCUUCCUUUUUUUAAGGAAAAAAUUUACUACGAUGCAUGCAGUAACUAGAUAAUUCUGCAUGAGCCCGUGAUCAUUUGCAGCCAAUGCAGCAAAGAAGAGUACUAAUGGCCCGGAAGAAUCCAAGUACCGUGGCCGGCGGUGGAUAUGGUGGAUACCCCGGGUAUGAUGUACUUUUUUCUACUUCAACGACGUGAAAGUAAAAUCUUAUGUGAGUUUCGAGUUUCAACAGCCAGUUGUUCUGCCUGGAUUCACAAAUAAAUUCACAUGCUUCAUUGUCUAAACUAUAAAUUCACAAAUGAAUUUACUACCUAAUUUUAUUAUUCAAUUAACCUAAACUCGUUAUUUUGACCAAAAAAAACCUAAAUUCAUUAGAUUAACAAAAUAAUUUUUUUAUUAGUAACAAAAUAUUCUUGAAAAAAUUAACACUUUUAACCCAAAUUAUUCAAGCAAAGAGAAAAGUUAUGUCCUUUGGAUGUAUUUAGUAAACUGUGCUAUUAAAGUUCAUGAAAUUAGAUUAGUCAUGUGACUGAUAUUGGUGACAGAUAUUAGAAAUGACAUACUACAAUUAGAUUUUUUACGAGCUUUUGACAUGAUUUCUUGUAUGGCUAGAUUAUUUGGUUUUAUCAUUUCUUUUCAGCUUGUAUACUAUAUUUGACAAAAAGGGGAUCGAGGUAAGGGUUUUUUUAAUCUAUUUUUAAUUAAACCUAUAACUAACUGGAUAGAAAAUGAGUCUUCAAAAUCUAUUAUCACAGAUAUCUGGAUUAGAUUAGUUAAUUAUGUAUACCCAAAAUUGAAUUUUUUUUUUUUUUUUUUAAAAACACCACUUUGAUGAUAGCUAAGCCACGAACUUAGAUUGGCCGUCCAACCGGUUGAACAGGAAUUGGACAUGUAUCCGGUUCGAGUGAUAGUAAAAAUCCUUUUAUCUAAGAGUCGACCAAAUCGAUUUUGAAUUGGACACCGAAAAAGGGUAAAUUUCCGGGUUUUUCUUUUUGUUUUCGGGUUUUUUUUGCCUCCUUCUGCUUUGACUUUCCUUUGACUACCCAAACGAAGCCUACAUCUUCUGAAUCACUUCGCAAAUCGCAAGACGCAACGUAUCUGGUCUUUUUUUUUUUUUAUGGCUUUUGCCAAUUCUUUUUGGUUCUUUUUCCCUGAUUUCGUCCUCCACCGAUCGAUCGAGAAAAGACGGCCAUGGGUGAGCUCAUCACUGUGUUCUCCUUCUCCAAGACUCGAUUAAUGUCACAAAGCCACUCAUGGCUGCUAAAUCGUUGAAGGCUCUUAGAUCCAGUAAGAGAAAAGAUAAAGAAAAAACACGGAAGAUAUGAAGACGAUAAACACAAGAAUGUGUGUUUGUGGCUGUGUGCAGCGGGUGGGGGGGUUUGUGAGGGAGAUUUCAAUGAAAGCUUGCAAAUCUUUACUAUACUAAAAGCGUCAGUUGGCUUAGCUACAGUGAAAAUGGGCCGAUUAUAGCGUGAUUUGUGUGAGCUUGAGGGGCAGUUUGGUCUUUUGCCAUUCAGUGGUGGUGGCUUUGCUGGAAAUUUCCUGCUAUCCGCGUGGCUUUGUUGUGGGCGGCGAGUUUGUUGCUAUCAGCUGUCUGCAUGGCUUUGGAACUUCGAUGCUGUCCUCGUGGCUUUCUUGUGGCCGGUGAGUUUGCCACUAUGAGCUGUCUGCAUGGCCUUUGAUUUGCCGCUGUCCGCACGGUGGCUGUGUUCUUGCUCAUUCUUAGCGAAGUAGUUAAAUCUAAGUGUUCUGGACAAAGUGCAAGAACCGGUGCGCGCAGGCUUUGCAAUCUCCAUUACUGUGUCUCGUUCGUUUCUUAGAUUUAAUUUCCACUUCCACUUCCACUUCCACUUCCGCUUCACUCUCCCAGUACCUGCUACUUCAGACACCCUUCCGAUUAACUUCAAUCCUACCUUCCACAGAGACAGCUUGCUUAUCAGAUUAGCUAGGCGAAAGGAUUUUUGGGCGAACUACAGCUUCUGGAGAUAUACGGGGACAUUCGACAUUUGUGGUGAGAAUGUUACUAUUGAUUUUUGCUUCACCUCCUGCCGUGAGUUUUGUUUAUUUGCAUGUUUGAAUUUACAUGUAUGAUUGAUUACAUUCAGACUUCACAAAUCUGUGUUUAUAGUAAAGCUCGAAUAGAGAAGUUACUUGAUGUUUUUGAUUGGUUAAAUGUAAUUCUAUCAGUGCAUGCUUCAUUUGCAGUCCAAAUUAGCGGUGUGUCUCCCUCAAAACAUUGCUUUUUACUUGUUGGUAGUAGACUACCCAUGUUGAUUUGUCAAGUAUUUUGUUUAUUUACUACUUUUAGCAUCUGGGUUCUUGGAAUAUGAUCUGCCCAUCUGGAAAGAAUGUAGACUGGAAAUUGCAAUCUUGUAAGUCAAUAGUUCUUGAAUGCCUUAAUAUGGAUCAGAUGGACAGAUUUGAAAUAUCCGUUUAGAGAUUGAUUUCAUCCAAUAAUAAUUGGUCAGUAUAGAUAAUAUCUUACAAUUUGAUAAAUCUACCCUGUUUUGUAAGAUUUGCUCUUUCAUAACAGUAGAACAUGAAUAAAGAGAACAAAAUUUAAGCUCCCAGGUUAGAUGCAACAGCACAAUUCCAAGUGAAAUUAGUAGCUUGUGCAUUGUGUAGAAAUAUAGCUAAUACAAAAGUAGAUCUUUUAUCUGCUUUAGAUCAUUUAGCACAUAGAAAAGUUCAGUUUGAAUUCAUGUAGGUGAUUUUGAAGAGAAAUCUUAUUCUUAUUUUGUUUACAAAAAGAUUGAGUCAUUCACUACUUUUGACUUAUCAGUGAUCAUUUUGUUUCCAGCUAAAAUUUUUAAUGUAUGGCCUCUUUUCUAACAUUUUACUUAAAAUAUCAUUCACUAAGUUCAAGUUGGGUUAAAGCUUGAAGUUAAUGUAAUACAUGUUAUCGAGCUAUUCAGAUAGAAAUUUGAGCACCUAUUGGGAGAAAACAUUGUGUUAAGAAUUACAUCCAAGCAUCUUUUACACCGCAUGAAGCUUGCUCUAUAUAAGAGGGAAUUGUGGAUGUAAUGGGUGGCACAAAAAAUAUAAAUGGUGACAUUGAAAAGUUGAUAAUUUAACUGAGAUAACUACAGAAUUGCUUGAAGUUUCAUCUUUUUUUUUUACCUAUUUUUCUUUGGCCGUUGGAUCACUAUUUUUGGAUAUAAGUUGACUGAACUAUAAUUGCAUUUGUAUGCAUUUUCUAUUUCUUUACUUUGUAUAUCCAAAUCUCCAAGUGUUUUGGCUAAUAUUUACGUUGGGUAAUUGAUUGUUUGUUGAUAUAUGGAUGUAUGAUGGACAUUCUGUUCAAAUCUGAUUUAUAUAGUAGCGAAAAUAUGCAUGCCCUAGAAGAGGACUAUACGGAGAGGAAUAGAAAAGGGUGUGAGUAGCGAGCUGCUUCAAUUCAAAUGUACUAUGGCCGCACGCUAGCCAAUGAGCAAAGUGCAGUCAACCAAUGCUAAUUCCUCCAUAGACUAGCCCAGUGUCCUAAACGAUGUUAGUUUUGCGAAUCCUAAACGAUGUUAGUUUUGCGAAUGGAAAUCACACCUCUACAGUUUCUGGCUAUCAUCAUGGUAGCUUUUCAGUUGUUUCUAUCAGUCUCGUCUUCGAUCACCCUACAUGUUGACCUAUUGAUAACUUAGGGAUGCAAAGCAUGGUAUAUUUAAAUUUGGCAAUUUUUGUUUCUUUAUGUUAAGAUAUAAGAGACCUAAUUCAAUUAAUUAUGCUCUUGUGUAAUUAUAUUUAUUCAAGUAAAUUGUGUUAAGUCUUAGCUGGACAUAUAAUGGAAUUUAGACAUUCUAGAUUCAACGACAGAUGUAUCACCAUUGUAGAUGAAUAUUUGCACCAUUUGUACAUGAAUUUUCAUAUUAGAAAAGUAUUCAUAUUGCAUUAUAUAUAGAAACCGAAAAUUAUGUAUGUUAAACUUAAAACUGGGCAUUGCCGCGCGAAGGCGUGGCAGCCAAAAACUAGUAAACAGAAAAGCCACGACUGAGAAAGAGGAAUUGGGUUUCAUGUUUUAAUAGAUUUUGGGGAUAAUAUCAGAAACCCUUGAGGUUUCUCUUAAUAUCACUUAGCACUCUUGAGAUUUGAGGUUUUGAAAAUAUCACUUACCUCCCCUAAUAAUUAUAAAAAAAAAAACUAUAUUAACCCUCAUUUGACACAUAAUUCACAACAUAUCAAAAAAUGGAGCUCAAAAAUGAAAAAAAAAAAAGAAACAAAAGUCAUGUUCUUCUUAUUCCUUUUUCUCCAUCAUUCUCUCUUACUCAUAUUUUUUGGAUAACUAUGCAAUAUUUGAUUUGUAAAUAUAAUAAAUUAAAUUUUGUUUGCUUUUUACUUUUUGUGAUUGUGAUAAAGUGAAGUAUGAUUUAUUUUCUUAUUUUCAGUUGAUUUUUAUAAUGAUUGCUACAGUUUAAUGAUUUGAGUAAUGGUUGAGAAGUUGUUAAAAAAUAUAUAAAUUCAUAAGAAAUCAGUUUUGAACAUAUAGAAUUAAAUUGAUGCAAGUGUAUUUCUUUUCAAAUAUCUUUUUUAUUUUUCUAAUUUUUAUUUUUAUGGGGUAUGACACUGUGAUGUAGUAGUAUAAUAAGAGAUUGUUUUUGACUUGAUGGUUUUCUUGAAGUGAAAGGUUAAUUUAGGGUUUUUAAAAAUUUUGUUAUACAAAUAAUAAAAAUAAGGUAGGUAAGUAAUAUUUUUGAAACUUUAGGAAUGCCAAGUAAUAUUAAGAGAAACUUCAGGGAUUGUUUUGGCAUGAGAUUGUUUUGCCGUGACACUAAAAGUGCUCAUAGAAGAGACAUAUAAUUACACAUUCACAUAAUCGAAAUACCAAACUAGCAAGUACAUACUGUGGAUAUUACAUCACUUUAGACGACAUUUUUUUCGAAUAACGUUUUUAUACAGAGUCAGUAUAUAAUUUUUUUUAAUAUCAACAGGUUUAGAUUAUUUCAAAUAAUAUGAUUUUAAAUUUAUACACGGUUAGCAUUCAUUCAAAAUUGUUAGUGUCAACAAAAAAUCAUUACACUGUCAACGUCGACGUAUAAAAAGUUAAUUUUUUUUGUUUCUCCUCUUUUUCCGGUUUCAGGAGAUUUUAAUCCUUGUAAAGGUGAGGAAAAAUAGGGGGGGGUUUUGAAAGUGAAACCAGAGACUUCACAUCCCAACCGUUCAAAUGAAAUAAUGAAUCUUAGGAACCCUUUAGAUGAUGACAUCUACUCAUGGAUGAAACAGGGCCAACCCAUUAUUGGUUCCCGGAAUUCCAGUUGGACGGCCCAUUGUCCCCAGUUCCAACUUUUGUUAAGGUGCCAACUCCCAAUUCAUGACAGUGCUAGAAGCUGGCUUCAAUAGUUCCGAGGCUCAACCACCAUAGACCAACCAGGGUAUGAGGAGCAAAAUCUAUAAUGAUUUCAUACUCGAUCAAGAGUUUGUCUUUCAAAGUAUGUGCCAUGCAUAUUUAGUAUCCUUACAUAUACCAAUAAAAUGGUUAAACACUACGAACUAAUAGGUAAUUUUAUUAUAGCCAGCAAUCGAUGAUUAACCGCGAUACCCCAAGCCCCAAGUCAGGGAGGCUUCUAUACUUAAACAGUUAAACGUACGCCUUGACAAAUUAAGGUGAAUUUAAAUAGCAAAGUAGGUCUCAGCUAUGUUUCGUAAUACUCUAACGCUUUAAAUAUACAACAAAAAUAGUACUCCCUUAGCCCAAUUUACAGUGUCAUAUUUUCUAUUUUGAAAUGUCCCCUAAAUGUUUGUCAUCUUAUCAAAAUCAAAAUUAACUUUGAUUUUUUUAAAUAUCAUCCCUAUCUUUACGUUUGUUUUAUAUUAAUGUGAUAAAUAAUUUGGGAUAAAGGGAGCACAUGGUUUGAAAGGUGAAAUUUGUGGUCCUAAAAUAAAAGGACGAAAUUGGAGUAGAGAUCAAAUGUAUUGCAAUUGUCAACUGGCUUGGAUGACACAGCCAAUUCCCCAGCAGCCACCUCUGAGGUAAUCAUUAACACUAUAGCCAAGGAAAUGCAAUAGAAAAGAAGUGUCUUCGAACCCAUUUUUGCCCAAGGAAACUGAUUUUGUGAAGGAUGAGAAAGCUCAUGAAGAUUGAUCUCUACUUAUAGGUAAUUCUGUGCAAAAUUGCGGUCAAAGGGGUCGUGGCAUCGGUCAACGAUGUAGUUGGGCUUUGAAGAGAUGAUUUGCUAAAGAAAGUGGCAAUAUCACUUGGUACACCUAAACUUUGAGAAAUCUCACAUACCUCCCUUAUUUUCAACUUUUUGUAACAUUAUUAAUCCAUUUCAAAGAAAAAUUGUUAUUAAGAAACUAAUAUUUAUAGAAAGGAUGCAUUUUCAUGCCAAAUUGCCCUUGUGUUAGCCUACCAUUUUUCCAAAAGUGAAAAUAAAUUACUAAAAGUUGGAAUAUAAGACAAAUAUUAUGAAAACAUAUUUAUAAUAGAAUAAAUUAUAUGAGUAGUUGUUUUUAAUGUACAAACGACUACAAUUCAAGAGUAUGUUUAAGGUGCUUCAAGUCAACAAAAAUUAUUUCAUUGACUACGAGGUGUUUUCAUUAAUUUGAGGAGUUUUACAAUUUUAAAAAUGUGAACUUUCUAAAUUUUUCUAUAUAGACUGAUGAUUUGAAUAUUAAAAACAAAUACAACAUCUAAAAUUAUGUUUACAAACUCAUUUGACGUGUUUUCAAAAAAAUAAAAGUAACUUUCUUUAUUACAAAAUAUUUUUGGAUGAACUUAGAAUUUUAUAAAUAGUUUAAUUUUUUUUAAAUGUUCUAACACUUUAUCCAAAUCAAUGGUUUGAAAGCAAGAGAAAGGUUAAUUAUUAAUAAUAUAUUUAGAAACUCAUUUGAGGAAUUUUCAAGAAUGCUAUAUUUUCUAAUUAUAACAAUUUUUCUUUUGCAUUUUUUGUCUAGACUAAUGACUCCAAAAAUUGCAAAAUGUCUUUCAUGCUCAUUAAUAUGUUGUAAUUCUUAAGGAUUUAACUUGGUUUGUUAUAAAAAUAAAGGUCCACAAGAAAAGGGAAAUUUUGGAAUAGAAAUAUUUUAUCUCUCCCAAAAUGAGUUUUUCAAUUAUAUAUUUUGAAAUGAGUUGAUAAAGUUAUAAAAAGUUGAAAAUAAGGGAGAUCGAUGAGAUUUCUCAAAGUUCAGAGGUAUCAAAUGAUAUUGUCACAAAUCUCAAGAGAAGUUUCUGAAAUUAUCGAUGAAGAAAAUAGAGAUAUACCAAAUGCACUUAGUCUAGUCACUCUUGUAUCUUAAGAUACUUUGCAGCAUUGUGAAGAGGAUAAGGUUCAUGUCCUUGUCCUGCAUUCAUGAAUAUGUCCAAAUAUUAUGAUCAAUUAAUUUGGACUUUGGAGUGACAUUGAUUAUUUUCAUUCUGAGUUGAUUAACAUGUCAAACUUUGCAAAUCUUAGUAUAUAUGCAAUAUAGUUUUGAAGCAUUUGCAUUACAAAAACAAUAAUAUCUUUUAGGGUAAAUUAUACUAAUAGUUUUUGCAGAACUAAGAGACCUUUUUUAGCACUAAAAGCCCUCUCUUGUCUAUUUCAAAAUAACAUUGACUUCCCAAUUAGCAUUUAUGAUAGUUUUGACUUCACAGUUUUACCUUUUUCUUUUCUUAUUCAUGCUCUUUGUAUUAAAGAAAAAAGGAGUUUUUAAAAUUAAAUGUUUGAAUUCUCUCCUAUGUUUUUUAUUCAUAGAAAAGUAGAAUGGAGAGAUUUAUUUAUAAAAAUUGAAGACCAAUAUCAUUCAUUUCAUUGGCUUCAUAAUUUUGUCAAUCCAAAUAUAGAGGUAUAUAUAUAUGUAUUUAUUCCUAAAAUAAAAUAGAAUAAAAUGAAAGUGAGGUGUGUCCAAUCCAUGCACAAGUCAAAUCCAUUAAUUCAGUGAAAUCUCAACUUAUAUAUACUUGAAUAUAUGCUAAUAGAAUCAAUACAUCAACUAAAUGCUAAAUUCAUGCAGAGAAAGAAAAAAGCUAAUUUAAAUAUUUUAAAAAUACAAGCACUUACUGAAAAAAAAUAAAAGAUAAAAUUGACUGAGGGCCUUUAUAACUGUAAAUACAUUAAGUGUCAUCAAUUUUUUUGACCAUAAAUUUUGAUAAAAAGAAAUUAUAACACAUCCUAUUCUUUUUUUUUUUGGUAGGCUUACUUAAAUAUCAUUAAUAAUUACUUAUCCACUAUAAAAGCAUUAUGGGUAUAUUGAAGUAAAUUUGUUACAAAACUACUUAAAGGAAAGUUUCUUAUGUUUCUAAAUAAAUGACAGGGGAGGUUCAUGUUUUUUAAAAUCAAGACGGGAGAACCCUAAAUUUUGCUAAAACUUGAGAGAAUGUUAGUGUAAUUCACCCUAUCUUUUAUAGCAUAUGCGAAAGGCUAAAGCUCCAUGCAUCUUUAAUAGGGAAAAUGAUAUCAAUGGUCUCUCAAAUUUUACUUUUGUAAUUUUUUUGUCCCCCUACAUUUAAAAUGCAACAUAUUGUCUCCAUACAAAUAAAAAUGCAUCUUUUUGUCUUUAAAGACAUUUCGAGCCAUAUUUUUGCUUGAAAAUGUUUGAACUCAUCACAGGUCCAAAACAUUAUGGGUAAGAUAAGCAACUCAUUUGGUAUCAGUCCACGAUUGAAGCAUGAUAUCUAUGUAAUUAUGGGAAUGCAAAAAGGUAUGUUUCCUCCUCAAUACCUAGGUUUACCACUUAUUAGUACUUGAUUAAGACUAACUGAUUGCCAAGUCAUCAUUGAUUCUGUUAAGAAUAAAUUUAGGGUGGAGUUCAAAAACUCUAUCUUAAGGAGGUAGGCUGCAAAAUCAUUGGAGUAGCAUUUUUAUGCUAUGAUAAGUGUUUAUUUUACAUAUUUUUAAUGCGGUUUAUUACUUAGUUUUUGGUGUAUUUUAGUCAUUUGAUAGUGAUAAGUGACUAAUUUACGUAAUAAUUGUAUGACAUUUUAUAUUAUUUCUAGUCACUUUGGUUAUAUGAUUGGAAGAAAAUGAAUCAUUUUGGCUAUAAUUGGUGAAAGCUUUUUAGUGGUUAAAUGAGGUUUUUAUCACUUUUUACUUGGAUUUUGUGCAUUUUGACAGUUUUGACACAUUUUCGCAUUUCGGCUAUAACUUGAGAUACAGUAUCGGAUUGAAAUGAUUCUUGAACCAAUUUGAAGAUAAGAGAUAGAUCUACAACUUUAGUGAGGACAUUUGAAUCCAGUUUGAAGGUUUUCCAAGUGAAAAAGCCAAAUUACAGUAGCCAAUUUCUAUUGGUCGAAGCUAAAACAGGGCAAUGAGUAGUCAAAGGUAUUUCGGUAAUUUCUCAGCCUACACAGGUCCAAAUGAGGUGAUUGUUGAUGCAUUUUAAAGCUAAUUCAAAAAGUUACAACUUUUAUGUUUUGCACAAAAGCUAGUUCGGUCUCUAUCAUAGAGAAAAUUGCAGUUGAAACGAGGCCAAUUUCACAGAAUUGAAAACGCGAGUUGACAAAACGCGACUCCAAGCAGCGUUUUGUGUAGGCGCGUUUUGAAGCUGAAAUUCUGCAAUUUGCUCAACCAUUUCUCUUGUGUUCAGACUAUUUUUCAGCUAUAAGUUGCAAGGGAAUUCACUGCACAUGCUUCAGAAGACAAAAAGGCAGACAAUAUGGCUUAUUUUCAAGUCAAAAACCUUUGUUUUUUACUAUCUUAAUAAAAGUAGAUUUGGAGAAUCAUAGCAGAAAAUUUGGACUGGUGAGGAGAGGAGCUUUUCAUUAGUUUAUAUGCAGAGACAUUUGGGAGGUUUGACAUUAUCAUACUGGAGAAGCUUGGAGUCUGCAGAAAUGUAGUUCUUCCAUUUCCUUAGUGUAGGAUGGUUUAGUUAGUUAGUUCAUCCUUCUUGUAUAUUAGCUAGAUUAGGAUGAAGAUGGAAAUGAAGAAGGAGGAGUUGAAGCUCAAGUGACAUGGGUUAUCUCUUCUCCAACUCUUUAUCUUUUGUAUUUGAUUCCAAGUUUAGUUAAUAUGCAAGUUCUGGAUUUUGUGUUUAUUAUGUAUCUUUAAAGUUUAUGCCUUGGGUAUGGUUGAACUUCCUAUGAUUGUUAGUGUUUAUUAUUUGACUAUUUGAUUACUAUUAUUUGAGCAAGUUAUUUGGCACUUUAGCUCUUUAAAUCAUGAUUAAUCUAGUACCAUUGAUUGUGAUUAUCUAAGGUGUUGUUUCUGCAAUGAAAAUUGAGAUUUAACACCGGUUCAAGAAGUGCUAAACAUAGAGAGUACACUCGCAAAAGUAGAGGUGCACCUAUGUGGUUUGGUGAUUAAUUUCAUGAAUUUCAUUGAAGGAAUGAACUUGUAGCUAAUUUCAUAACUAUGAGAAUAGGUACGGAUUAGUUAUGAGUAUAAUUGAUUCACUACGAAAGUAGGAUUCAUAUGCAUAAGGAAAUUACACCAUAACUAGCCUAGAUAAUAGUAUUCAAUGAUCCAAAUAUAGCAUUUGCAUGAGUAGUUAGGGAUAUCAUAACCUAAGAAGCCUUCAUUUCUUAUUUUGCAUAAGUUUACUAGGUUUCAUUUCUUAUAAUUCAUUGAUAGUCUAAAUAAUAGAGAAGCUUCAGUGGUACCGGUAAUUAUUCAGUCUUUCUCAUGGGAUCGACCAGAUAUAUACCCUAAACUACUUGUUGACCUGUAUACUUGUAGUGAAACCGGUGUAUUUUGGAUUUUUUAACUUGUAAGUAUAUUAAAAACCCCGUCAGAUAGCUAAAUAACUAGGCAUCUAGUGGAGUUUGCAUUUUGUAGUUAAAGUGAGAAAAAGUGCAUUUCUAUGAAUUUAAGUGAUUAAGACUUCAUAUUUUACAGAUUUUAAUAAUUCAAUCAUCAAUUGGAGUGAAGUGAGAAGAUAUUUGGAUGAUUCUUGAUGAUUUGCAUUGAUUUCAAGUAAACAUGAAGUGUAAAAUAUUCAAAGGAUGAAAUCCAAUCAAGUUCAAAGAAGAAAAGUUUGGCAACCCUGACUAGUUCUAGUAUUUCAGCUAUAACUCGAGGUACAAGCAUUGGAUUGAAGUGAUUUUUGAUUCAUUUUGAAGUUAAGACAUAUCUUAUGAAGACAUCAAAAUCCAAUCUUGGUCAAUAAGCAAAAAUAGAAAAGUGCAUUUUUGCUGUUAAAUCUAAAAUAGAGUUUUGAUCAAUUAGGGGUAUUUCUAUUAUUUCGCAGCAUAUAGAGCUCCUAAUGACAUGAUUCUUAAUACAUUGAAAAGUUAACUUAAAGGGUUACCACUUUUAUGUUUUGUGCAAGAAUUAGUUUAGCUUUCAUCAUUGAGAAAUUUUGUAGUUCAAAUUGGUAUGAAAAUAGAGCAAAAUCGAGGGUUGAUCAAAAAGUACAAAACCUACAAAUAUGUGGAUACGUGGCUCGGAUACCUAAGCUAGGCUUGCAUUUCCUGCCUUAUAGAUCCUAACUCUACAAGUUGCAAGAACUUGGGGCUUGUUUGCACAAACUUUUUGGCAACUUUUUAUGAAAGAACAUUGGUGGGAAUUGCCCAAAAAAUCAUAGAGAUUUCAAGAAUCAACUUUUGGCAAUUCCAAAAGCUAACUUUAUCAACUUUAACAUGAUUGAUUGAAGUUUUAAUCUUCUAUAAUAGAGGCCUUGGAGAACAUCUCUUACAACUUUGAAUGGCUAAGAACUAUCACAAAAAUGUAACUUUCACUAGUUCUCCUUAAUUCAUUAGUUUAGUAUAGAUUAGUGUAGUUUAUCCAUCUCGUAUUGUGGCUAAACAAAGAUGAAGUUGAGGACGGAGAUGGAGACCUCGGAGAUCAAGUGAUAAGGGUGACAUCUUUUCUAUCACUUAUUUCUUGUAUUGAUUCUUAUAUUUAGUAAAUAUACAAGUUUGGUUCUUGUUUGUAUUUCAUUUAUGUUUUGCUAGUUGUUGAACAUCGAGGAUGGAUGAACUUCUAUAAUUGUUAUGUAAAGUUUUUCAUGGUCAUCUAAGCUUAUUCUUGUGUAAGUUAUUCAGCACUUUUGCUAUUUUAAUCAUGAUUAAUUGGUCAUUAGUUGUGAUAAUAUAAAGGUGUUAUUUCAUCAAUGUAAAUUAUGAUUCAAUACUAGUUUAUGGAAGUGUUAAAUCUAGAGAGUUAAGUCACUAAUAUAGAGUUGCACAUUUGUGGAUUUGGUGGUUUGUUCCAUAUAAUUUUAUAGAAUGUAAUAAAUCUAUAGUUAGUUUCAUAUCACGUUAGUAGGUAUGGGGUAACUAUAGGUAUGAUUGGUAUACUUGCAAAAGCAGAAAUUGAUAGCGCGCAAUUUUAUCAUUUAUUUUAUUAUUAAUUUCCCCUGUUACCUGACUUGAUGUGGAUUAAUUGCUGGAUUCUACUCACUUUUCGUAAUUUGUAUUUAUUUCAGGGAGUAGAUCAAAACUACCACAAUCAAUGCUACAUUGACAGUCAUCGGGAAAGAAAUUAAAUAGAAGGCUUGCAAGGGCAUUUUUGGAAAAAGGAACACAAGCUCUUUUCGGUCAUUUUGGCCGAAGGAUUCUUUUCCCUAGGAGCCGCCGCAAGGAGCAGGACUUUAUAGAGGAAAAUUGUGCAGGAGAAAAGGAGAGUUUUUUAGCUUAGCAUCAGAUCUUUCCUUUUAGACUUUUGGUAAGGAUUUCUUUUGGCUUCUCUUACGCAUGGCAGAGGAGCACUAGCUUAGCUUUUUGAAUUGUUGACUUUUCCUUAGUUUCUUGCUAGUGGAGUUCUCCUGCGGAUGGCAGGAGCAAUUAGGAAGACAUUGUAUCACACUCUGCAACUUUGCUUUGCUUUAUUUCUUUGAUCGAAUUGAAUUUGUGCAUUUCUCAAUUGAUGGCCGCGGCUUCCUCUUCAAUUUUAUAUGGGUUUUGUUCAUCGAACAUGAACUAAUUUCACCACUCUAGUCAAGGAGCAUCGAAGGCUCUGGUUCGCCUAAAAAUUGUGAAAUCGAUUUAAUUUAAUCUUUUUCUUUUAUUUAUUGGUAUUCGCAUAUUCUUUGAUUGCUAUGCUUAUGGUUAUUUAAUUAAUUGAUUGUUUUGCAUUCGGAUAAUUAAUUGAUUUGGUAACCUAUUGUCAAUUAGGGCAUUAAAUCUGUAAUUGUUUAAUUGUCCUGAAAUAGUAACAACUGACACGAUUAGAUUUGUGUCAGAGGGAUACGCGAGCUAAUCUGAAAUAACCCUGGUAGUGCGUUAUUUUGUUAGAAUAGGGCUCCUCUAAUACGUAAGACAAUUGGAGAAUUAAAUCUUACGGGCGUACCUAGGAUUACUUCCUAAUUAGAGCAGUGAUUAACGGGCGUACCUUAAUCACUGAUACAGUAAGGAGGGAUUGACUGCCAUCGCUUGUUUGGUAGUUAUAACCUAUUUAUUGAUGAAUAAUUGGAAUUGCCCUUGCUUCGAUGAUCAAUUAGGUGAAUCAUUGCUGAAGUUAUUUCUUGGCUAGAUCUUUAAUUAAUAUUACCUUGAUUUUAGUGAAUUGUCAUUUGACUUUUAGUUGCCUACUUUAUUUUAUUUUUAAUUGUUUUCUUGUUUUAAUUAUUGUUACUCUAAAUUCAGUGAAUUGUUGUUUAAUUUCUAGUUAGUUAUUUAUUUUUAUUUUCUUAUUCGAAUUUAUUUGAUUGUCGUCGUUCCUACAAAAUCACCCCUGUGUUACUUUGAAUUUCUUAAGAGACAAAUAUACCCGAUCCCUGAGAAUACAACCCUACUUGUCAUGUCUACAAAUUCAUAAUUAUUUGUGAAAUAAUAACCAUCUCAUUCGGAUAUAUCGGAUCAAGCAAACUCUUCGGGAACAGGGUGAAUCAAGUAACCCAUUGCACACCUAGAGUCCCUACUCCAGUAUUUGGAAUUGGAUUUUGGUCAUUUUAACUGGCAAUUAGGUUUAAUUUUAUUAUUGUGCAAGUUUCGACACCCUAUCAAUUUUUGGCACCGUUGCCGGGGACUGGCGUUAUUAUUUGUUUCUUUUUAAAUUCAUUUUUUAUCUAACUUUUUGGUGCUUUUCGAGUGUAUGUCUCGUUCUUCUCGUACAAGUGAAUUAAUUUUCGACCCCGAGGUAGAGAAGACUGCACGUAGGACAAGAAAAGAGACCAGACAGCUCAGAGAGGAGCACUCCAGUGCUGCAUCUCAGAGACCCGAGUUAGAAGUUGAACCAACAGAUUCGUUUGGUGACACUUCAAGUGACUCUGACCAGGAGGAAGGCACUAUGGCUAAUGCACGAACAUUAAGGGAGUUGGUUGCAGCUGAUUUAAAUCAGUAGCCUUUAUGCAUUACCUUCCCCACCUUAAAUGAUAACACCCCAUUUGAACUAAAAUAUGGUCUAAUUCAUCUUCUAUCAUCUUUUCAUGGUUUACUAGGUGAGGAGCCUUAUAAGCAUUUGCAAUAGUUUGAUGUCGUGUGCAACAGUAUAAAUCUCCCGGACAUUACAGAAGAGCAAAUAAAAAUGAGGGCAUUCCCCUUUUCCUUGAAGAAUUCUGUAAAUGACUGGCUGUACUACCUGCCACCAGGUAGCAUCACCACAUGGGACCAAUUAAAGAAAAAAAUUUUAGAUAAAUAUUUUCCUGCGUCCAGGGCUGCAAGCCUAAGGAAAGAAAUUUCCGGGAUCAAGCAACACCCAGGCGAGUCUCUCUAUGAGUAUUGGGAGCGGUUCAAAAAGUUGUGCAUCAAGUGUCCCCAGCACCAGAUAAGUGAGCAGUUGCUCAUACAAUAUUUUUGUGAUGGGCUAAUUUUUAAAGACAGGAGUAUAAUCGAUGCCGCAGGUGGAGGGGCACUGGUAAAUAAGACCCCUCGAGCUGCGUGGGAGUUAAUUGAAAGAAUGGCUGAAAAUUCGUAGCAAUUUGGUACGAGGGAAGAUGUCCCAACGCGUAGGGUGAACGAGGUAGAAACAUCCUCCACCCAGCAGCAAAUUUCUGAAUUGACAUCCUACGUACGACAAUUAGCUGUAGGAAGUGCCUCACGAGCCAAGGUGUGUGGGAUUUGCACUAGUAUAGGUCACUCUAUGGACAUGUGUCCCAUGAUGCAAGAGGAGGGUGCAGAGCAAGUGAAUAUGGCAGGUCACGCUCCCGCGCCAAGAAGGCCCUAUGACCCCUAUUCAAGUACCUACAACCCUGGUUGGAGGGACCACCCUAACCUCAGUUAUGGAGGGAACAGGCAGACUAACUUCAUGCCAAAUAGACAACAAGAGUACCAGCAGUAGUACCAACCCCGACCACAUCCCCCACCGAACUCUAGUCCAUCUUUGGAGGAGAUGAUGAAAUAACUGAUAGCAACCAUCUCGCAAAAUCAGCAAAGGACGGAUUCCAAAAUGCAGGAUAUAAGAAAUUAGAUGAGUCAAAUGGUCACAAAAAUCAACCGUUUGGAGUCCCAAAUAAAUGUAAGAUUGCCAUCCCAACUUGAACUGAACCUGAAGAACGUAAGUGCAAUGACUUUAAGGAGUAGGAAGGAAAUUCAAGGGCCCGAACUCGUGAUUCCAAAGGAUAAGGACGAAGAGAAGAUUGAGAAAGAACUUCAGGCAGAGAAUACAAGCACCAAAAAUCCAGUGAUACUCCCUGACCCGAUCAUAGAUGUUAAAACUGAUCCCCCUCUAUUUCCUUGCAGGUUGGAGAAACCGAAGAAUCAGGAGAAAGAGAAGGAGAUCCUAGAGGUGUUCCGCAAGGUAGAGAUCAAUAUCCCCUUAUUAGAUGCCAUCAAAAAAGUGCCGAAAUAUGCAAAAUUUUUGAGAGAUCUAUGUGUCAACCGAAAACGGCUGAGGGGAGACGAAAGGAUCAUUGUUGGGGAGAAUGUGUCAGCAUUUCUUCAAAGGAAUCUUCCACCAAAGUGCGGGGAUCCAGGUAGGUUUACUGUCCCAUGUAAGAUAGGUAAUACUCUAAUUAGGAAUACCCUGCUGGACUUAGGAGCACCGAUCAACGUAAUACCUAAAUCUAUGUAUGCUUCUCUGAACCUCGGUCCAUUAAAAGAAACCGAGAUAAUAAUUCAAUUAGCUGACCAAACAAAUGCAUACCCUAAUGGGUUGAUAGAAGAUGUGCUGGUUAAAGUUAAUGAAUUGAUAUUCCCGGCUGACUUUUAUGUAUUUGACAUGAAUGAUGAUCAUUCCCCUGACCCCCUCACCUUUGCUAUUAGGUAGACCCUUUUUGAGCAUAACACAAACAAAAAUUGACGUUAAUAAGGGUACAUUGUCCAUGGAAUUUGAUAGAGAACUAGUCCACUUUAAUAUUUUUGAUACAAUGGAACAUUCUGUUAAUUCUCACCCUGUGUUUGCUAUUCAUGCUAUUAAUCCCUCUGUACAAGAAUUUUAAAUUUGCUUGUAGGGACAAAUUCAAAUUUACUGAGAACAAGUAUAAGGGGAUGAAAGCACUGUAUGAGGUGAAAUGGAGUAGAAAAUUAAGAAAGGAGGCUGCCCUCAAAGGCUAUUUGGAUCCUGGAGGAGGGCCACCGAUUUCCAGGAAAAUUGAGUUACAUCCAGAUUGAAUAGUGGUGUUCAAUGUCUAGCCAAAAACGUUAAAGAAAGGCGCUCAUUGGGAGGCAACCCAAUUAUUUCUUUUAAUUAUUUAUUUUGAUUUCGUGUGAUAGUUUAAAUAUGUUUUCAUUGAAUUUGACCGAUUUUAAGUUUCAAUUUUCGUUUUUGAUGAUUUGUAGGUGUCCUUCCGUCAUGACGCGCCCGCGUCAUGACGUAUGGAGAGCUCACGGUCAGAAUCGUCAGAAGGGGUUCCUGCCCUCAUGACGCGCCCGCGUCAGGUCACCCGGAGAGCUCCUUAUUCCGUGCCUUCAUGGCGUGCCCACGUCAUGUUCGUGAGAGAGAUAAGUAUUUAAAAAAUUCAAGAACGGUUGUUGAUUGUUGGUUAAUCUCUGCUUUUGAAUCUCGAAAAUAAAGUUUGCUAAUGAAAAAAAUUUAAAAUUUUUUUUUUUUAAAAUUUAAAAAAAAAUUUAAAAAAUUUUUGUUUCAUGAUAGCUUAGAUUUUCAAAGUAUAAUUCUCUUUAACUAACAAAAAAAAGGGGAAAAAAUUUUAUUUCUUUUUAUUUUUUUCUUCUUUUCUUUCUUUUUCUUUCUUUCCUUUCUUCUUCUUUCUUUCUCUUUUCUUUCUUUUCUUCUCCCCUGUUUCUUCUCCUCCUUCGGUCAACCGCACGCCAAAAACCCGACCACUUGCGCCACCACUCUCCCUCCACGCACAACAAACAACGCCCCAACAGGCCGCCGUCGAUCUCCCUUAUUACGCGCCGCCAGCGAAGCCACCGCCACUGCCUGCGAUCUCGCCGUCGCCAGGCACACGGCCAUAGUGCCUCGCGCCCAAGCAGAGGGGCGCCACCGUCCCUCACAGCCAAGCAACCGCAAGCCGAGCGCCACCACCUCUCUCUCUGCCCGCUGCCCACAGCCGUGCAACUCCAGCUCCAGCAUCACUGUAAGCCAGAGCUCCGCCCGCUCACUCUCUCUUCUCUCCCCUCACGCCUCCACCAGCGAUGACCAGUCUAACAUAGCAGUCUCUUCUCAUGCGCACCACCCCUCCGUACUUGUCUCCUCCAUUGCGACAGCUCACACGCCACCAGCCCAGCCACACAUCUCCACCACAGCGCUACCGUCGCCCCUUGCCAGUUCCAUUACCCACUGCCACCAACGAUACCUUUGGGCAGUGGGCAGGUAUCUCUGAGUCCCUUUAUUUCCAAGUUGCCCUUUAGUCUAUUGCAUUCUUAGUUAUCAAAUUUUGGGCUCCAUUGAAGGUUUUGUGGUUCAUUUGCUCCGUGAGACAUUCCAGUAGCUGAUGUGAGCUUCCGCAGUGCUGUUAAGUUGAAUUGUUGAUUUCUUGAAUUGGAGACAUUUGUUGAUUUAUUCGAACACUAGCACUGUACCUACUCUUGUUGAGUAGAAUUGGUGCAUUAUUUGGGGGUGACUUGGGGAGUUACUUGUCAAUUGAUUUCCGUUUUAAUUUCUACUAUUCUCCGGUACUGAUUGAUGUGUUUGAAUUUGUCAAGUGAUUUGGGCUAGCCAUUUGAUUUAAUUUUUUUUCUCUGUGUAUUCACCAGAGGUACUGGCGAUGGUAGUUGUUUAACAUUUGUUAAUCCUGUAUUAUUGGUUGCCUAAUUGAUCGAAUAGUGACUACCUUGUGCAUUUUGUUAAUUGGGUUGACCGUUUGAGUUGUUUCAUUAUCUGUGGAGUGCACCAGUGGUACUGGUUGGGGUAUUUUGAUUGGCAUUUGUUAUUUCUAAUUGGUUGGCUGCCUGAUUGAAAAGGGAAAACUUGUGAAUGUGUGGUUAUUGUCUAAUUUCUAUACUGCUAUUGCUGGAAUUGUCGCUUUUGAGUUGAGAAUUUAACUGUCCACUUGGAGCCAUUUGUUGAGAUUUUGGGUGGACAGAGUUUUGCAUUUGCUGGUUGAAUUGAGUAUGUUGUCUCAACACUUGGCCGCGUACUUCCACCACAUCGGUUUCCCUCCCCCGUUCCUACCUACCCCUUCGCCACUCGAGAGGGAAGUUUCAUUGUUCUCUUCGCUUUAAUUACUUUAUUACCUCCAUUGAAGACAAUGUACGAUCUAGGUGUGAGGGGGGAUAGCUAUACUAGUUUUUCUGUUUUUUUUUUGGUUUUUAGAUUUUUUUUUCUUUAUUUUUAGUUUGUUAUUUGUCCACCCCUCAUUCAUUUUCUUUCUUUCUUUUUAGUGAUUGGCUCGUAAGUGCAUGCCAAGACUUGAUGUUGAUUUGUUGACUCUAUUUCUGCUAUUGCCAAAUUUUAAUAAUAAAAGUGUAUCAAGUUAAUGUGGUUGAAUCCAAGAACAUCUCUUUGGUGAAUAUCGAUGAUUGUUUUACUCUUAUAAUUUUUGGUUAACUUUCCUAGGCAUAGGGAAUGAUUGUUAGCAUUUUCAUGUGAAUUGGUCCGGUUAUUAACCUCAAUUCUCCAUGUUUGAAAAUGAGACUAGCUGAUGUAAAUUUUCUUUUAAUUUUUGUGUUAUAUUGAGUUUUUGCAUUAUUAGCUGUGAAUAAGAGUUGACUGUACUCCGUUAGUAUUUACUACCAAGUAACCGGGAAUCUUCACUAAAAGUGUCGAUUCUCGCGUCAAAAAGUAGUAAUUGCUAUGAGUGCGUGGUCACGUGGCGAUAGAAGCUGAGUAACCGGGCUCUUUCAUCUAACAAAUGUCAGAGUUCGCGUCAAAAAGGCUCCAAUGGCCGGCGACUAAGUCUUUUGUUACUAUUGGGAAAAGCAAAAAAAAAAAAAAAAGAGAAAAGUAGAAAAAUGUAAUAAAAAAGUGAAAGUUGUGUUACUGUAUAAUAAAAGUCAGCUUGCCGAUUUAUGGAUUUAAUGUUGAGAUUUUGGUUAAUAGUUGGACCAUUUGCUGAUAAAUGUUGCGCACCAUUCCCUUUUCUUAGAUUAGUUAACCUGAAAUUGGAAGAGUUUGUAGUUUAGAAGCUAACCGAAGUGAUGUUUCUUGGAUCUUGAUCACUGAGGUUUGAUCUAUGUUUUUCUUGGUGUCUUGGCAAUAUGAUAGAUGGAGCAAUAGCCAUUGUCAAAUAUUGGUGUUUGUUUGUUGUUAUCAUACUUGAGGGCAAGCAUGGUUUAGGUGUGGGGGGAAUUGAUAGCGCGCAAUUUUAUCAUUUAUUUUAUUAUUAAUUUCCCCUAUUAUCUGUCUUGAUGUGAAUUAAUUGUUGGAUUCUACUCACUUUUCGUAAUUUGUAUUUAUUUCAGGGAGUAGAUCAAAAAUACCACAAUCAAUGCUACUUUGACAGUCAUCGGGAAAGAAAUUAAAUAGAAGGCUUGCAAGGGCAUUUUUGAAAAAAGGGACACAAGCCCUUUUCGGUCAUUUUGGCCGAAGGGUUCUUUUCCCUAGGAGCCGUCGCAAGGAGCAGGACUUUAUAGAGGAAAAUUGUGCAGAAGAAAAGGAGAGUUUUUUAGCUUAGCAUCAGAUUUUUCCUUUUAGCCUUUUGAUAAGGAUUUCUUUUGGCUUCUCUUACGCAUGGCAGAGGAGCACUAGCUUAGCUUUUUGAAUUGUUGACUUUUCCUUAGUUUCUUGCUAGUGGAGUUCUCCUGCGGAUGGCAGGAGCAAUUAGGAAGACAUUGUAUCACACUCUGCAACUUUGCUUUGCUUUAUUCCUUUGACCGAAUUGAAUUUGUGCAUUUCCCAAUUGAUGGCCGCGGCUUCCUCUUCAAUUUUAUAUGGGCUUUGUUCAUCGAACAUGAACUAAUUUCACCACUCUAGUCAAGGAGCAACGAAGGCUCUGGUUCGCCUAAAAAUUGUGAGAUCAAUUUAAUUUAAUCUUUUUCUUUUAUUUAUUGGUAUUCGCAUAUUCCUUGAUUGCUAUGCUUAUGGUUAUUUAAUUAAUUGAUUGUCUUGGAUUCGGAUAAUUAAUUGAUUUGGUAACCUAUUGUCAAUUAGGGCAUUAAAUCCGUAAUUAUUUAAUUGUCCUGAAAUAGUGACAACUGACACGAUUAAAUUCGUGUCAGGGGGAUACGCGGGCUAAUCUGAAAUAACCCUGGUAGUGCGUUAUUUGGUUAGAAUAGGACUCCUCUAAUACGUAAGGCAAUUGGGGAAUUAAAUCUUACGGGCAUACCUAGAAUUACUUCCUAAUUAGAGCAGUGAUUAACGGGCGUACCUUAAUCACCGACACAGUAAGGAGAGGUUGACUGCCAUCACUUGUUUGGUAGUUAUAACCUAUUUACUGAUGAAUAAUUGGAAUUGCCCUUGCUUCGAUGAUCAAUUAGGUGAACCAUUGAUGAAGUUAUUUCUUGGCUAGAUCUUUAAUUAAUAUUACCUUGAUUUUAGUGAAUUGCCAUUUGACUUUUAGUUGCCUACUUUAUUUUAUUUUUAAUUGUUUUCUUGUUUUAAUUGAUUUGGGUCUUUAAUUAUUGUUACUCUAAGUUCAGUGAAUUGUUGUUUAAUUUCUAGUUAGUUAUUUUUUUUUAUUUUCUUAUUCGAAUUUAUUUGAUUGUCGUCAUUCCUACAAAAUCACCCCCUGCGUUACUUUGAAUUUCUUAAGAGGCAAAUAUACCCAGUCCCUGAGGAUACGACCCUACUUGCCCUGUCUACAAAUUCAUAAUUAUAUGUGAAAAAAUAACCAUCCCAUUCGGGUAUAUCGGAUCAAGCAAACUCUUCGGAAACAGGGUGAAUCAAGUAACCCAUUGCUUAGCUAGAGUCCUUGCUGCAGUACUUGGAAUUGGGUUUUGGUCAUUUUAACUGGCAAUUAAGUUUAAUUUUAUUAUUGUGCAGGCUUCGACACCCUGUCAGAUAUCACAUAUAUUUAGAAAUUAAACCAUAACUAGUUAAGGUAAUGAAACUCAUUUAACCAGUAAUUUUACUUGCAUGAGUAGGUAAGAAUUCCAUAAUCCUAGAUACAUAUUUAAUGUCAUUUUUACUACUUUUCUUUCUUGUUAGUAGAGUAAAUUUACUUGUUUAUUUGAGAUUGUCUAAAUAUUAAAGAAGUUUGAAAACCACUGGUUAUUGGUAAUCUUCCUUGUACGAUCGACACUUAAUAUCCCUAUAUUCGAUAAACGAUGAAUAUACUUGCAGAAAAUGAGAUAUUUAGUUUUUUUUUUAAUUUAGUGUAAAGGAAAAAUCCUGUCAUGCUUCCCAUGAGACUUGUAAAGGUGCUUGCGAAGCUUAUGUCAAACUUUUUGUGGAAUGGGUCUAAUAAGUCAUCCGAUAUAAAAGUCAAAUGGGAUCAAAUUUAUAAACCUCUAAGAGAAGGUGGAUUGGGGCUAAUUAAGUUUGGAACAAAGCUCUGCUGCUAAGGCAUAUCUGGCAUAUUUUUCAAAGGAAAGAGAGCUUAUGGAUUGCAUGUGUGCAUGUGGUUAAACUGAUGCAUAGAUGAUUUUGGUAGAUCCCUAAUCCAGUGGAUUGCUCCUGGUUCUGGAAGAAAUUACUUCAAUUAAGGGAGAUUGCUUGGCAAUAAUUACCAACAGUGGUUGGUAAUGGGCAAACUAUACAUUUGGGGUUUGAUAAUUGGCAUCCACAUAGUCCUUUACUUGCGUAGUAUGCUGCUGAAAUGGUUACUUUGUUUGGCAACACUAUUAACUCUAAGUUAGUUACUAUUAUGAAAGAUGGUACAUGGAAUUGGCCAAAUGUAGGAGGGUUCAUAAAGUGGAGGAUUUGAUUCAAGUUAUGCCUGCUGAUUGUCUACCUUUGUCGGAAGAGAAGACUCCUUUAGAUGGAAAUGUGAUGGGACAGGUAUUUAUACUACUAGUUCUGCAGUUGAACUACUAAGAAGUAGAACUUCAGAGGUGCCUUGGUUUAAGUUGCUGUGGUUUAAAAGUCAUGUCCCUCGUUAUGCUUUCAUAAUGUGGUUGGUAUGUAAGAAUAGGUUAGCAACUAAGGAUAGAUUAAUGAGGUGGGAGUUAUUACUGAAAAUUGGUAUUUCGUAUGUACUCGUGCAAAUGAAUCGGAGCACCUUUUCUUUUCUUGUGAUUAUUUAGCUUAUGUAUGGGGGAGAAUUUAGCAGCUUUGCCUACUUUACAGGGAAGUCUAUAGCUGGACUCAAGAGAUAGACUGGUUGAUCCAAAACAUUACAAAUGAUUCCUUCCUAAAUCUGAUUCAGAAACAUGCAUUAUCAGUAACUAUAUAUGCUAUGGAGAGAAAGAAAUAGGAGACUGUUUUGUGGGAAGACUAUGAAUGCGGAUGCUGUAAUUCAUGGUAUAGUGCAAGUGAUGACUGAUGAGGAGUAUACAAUGAUAUCCUUGAGUUAGUUUGUAGUGCACUGAUGUAUAGGGAUAUAGUUUGGAGUGAUGCUGUAUACUGCAGAUAAUUUCUGCUUGUGUGACUGAUUAUUGCUGAUCCUUUAAUAAUGCUAAUAAUUGGAUCAUAAAAAAAAAAAGAUAAGCAACUCAUCUAACACUCACCCAAUAUCACACAAGCAUUUGACUUGAAUCUAGUACCAGACUAAAAGAGGGAGGGGGGUGCGGGAGAGUUGUGGACCAAAUCUCCCCAUUUUCCCAAUUUCUCCAAUUUCUCAAAUUUCCUAAGCUCUAACUAGAGGUGUUAAAAUGGGUGAUUUGGGCGGGUUUGGAUUGGGUAAAAUGGGUAAUGGAUAUAAGUGAGUCAACCUAUUUAUACUAAUUUAAUUAGAUGGAUAUAAAUGGGUAAGUCAAAAAAUGAAUUGGGUAACCCAAUUACCCAUUUAUAACCCAUUUAUUUUAAUUUUUUGUAAACUCAUUUAAAUUUAUUUUUGCAAGCUAAGUUAUCAAUUUAUACCGCUUUUUGUACCCAUUAUUAAUUUUAAAUAUUUACUUAUAAUGUUCAAUAAACCUAAUUACCACUUUUUUUUUCAUUUAUACUCUAUGUCACAAAAUUACAUAUUAUUUAAUAAUUGAAUAAUAAGAAUAAAAAAAUUUGAGCUAAGUACUAUAAAAGUUAAUAGAAAAACUUAAUCCAAAAAUUUUGAACUCCUAACAUUUUUUUCAUAUAUAAAUUUAAAAUUUCAUUUUAGAAAGAUAAGAAAAGAGGCUAAAACUUAUCAUAAAUUGAUAAUGCUAAAAAAUGAACAAGUUAACAAACUAAGAGAGAAUAAAAUAAUAAAAUAAAAUCAACAAAUAAUAAUAAUAAUAAUAAUGAAAUAAAAGUAGUUUGUAUCAUGACAAAAUAAAAAAUUUGAAAAAAAAAUGGGUGGGGGAAGAGAAUUCUGUAGACAAAGAAAAUUUAUUUAAUUUAUUUAGUCAAAAUUUAUUUAAAUUAAAUUGAUCUUGAUUAAAUUAAAUUAAAUGAUAAAGGUUCAUUAUGUUUUGAACUUGCAAAUUGGGCCAGUAUUAUAUGGGCUAUUAAAUCAAGUUAAAAUUGUAAUGCUCAUUUAAGUUGAAGUGAAUUAAUUGAUUUAUUAAUUCACAAUGUACUAUUUGGAUUGGCCCAUUAUUUAAGCCCAAGUUAAAUGGAUUUCUUGAGUUACAAAUUACCCAAAAUGCAGGAAGAUUUCUGGAGGGUUUUCUUGAAAAUUUAGCCUACAUAUUUUGGCUAUAAAUAGAGGUCUUUCCUUAAGGCAAAGACACGAAGAAAAAUUCCAAACUUUCGGAGAAACUCUGUCAAAUUUUCUCAAGAGCUUUCUUCCUCAAAUCCAAGUCUAAUUCAAAUCAAACAAAUCCUCUUGUUAUCGGUGUUGAAGACUUGAAGUUCUAAGUGUUUGACGCCAUCAUCAAAUCAAUUGUUUUCUACGCCAAAAUUGUAGGAAACACCCUUUUGAUUGGAGAACAAGUCUUUUCGGACCUUCAAUUGAAGCUAUUCGAAGAAAAGAAUCAGGGGAUUAAUUUCUUUGAUUCAAGAACUUUCAGAGAUUGUAACCCACUUAUUAUUUGAUUUAAUCAAUUUGAUAUUUGUGUAAGUUUUCUUGUCUUUAUUUUAGGCAACAAAAUUUGUGCUUACAAAUUUCUGGCACGCCCAAUAGGACAAUCUCUGCCUCUCAUCUCUUUUCUUCCAGCAACUUACCAGUUUCAAAAUUCAAUGGAGUUCAAGAAGGUGAACUUUUCUCUUGAAAGCUUAGUUGCUGAUGUCUCAACCACUCAAGAGACGCAGUAUACUGCACCUCUGACAGGAGUCAGGCCAAGAAGUUAGCAGAGAAGGCCAAGGCGAAUGUUGUGACUGAAGAAGCAAACCUCAAGAUGCUUCCCAAUAAGAAAGGAGCCCGUGAUGAAUCUAUUGAUAGCCCAAGUGAUUCGGCUGCCUCUGUGGUGAUGCCCGUCAUGAUGACCAAUACCACAACUGUGGAAGACCAGAUUUCAAAUCUAGCCAAAAUUGUCGAAGGGCUAGUAGUGCAUGCGCAAAGUCAAGAUGCUAAAAUAGUCAAAUUAAUGGCUAUGGUGAAAAAUAUAGGCGAAAGUAGCCUUAGUAUGUCCAAACAGAAAUCCAAAGUGCCAGAUGAAGGUGACUCAUCAUCAAGGGAGAAGGAGAAAGAGGAUACGAAGUCACAAGCCACGAAGGAAUUUUCAAUCUCCCCUGAUGGCACUAUUCAUGUUGAUAAUCUGAAGGAGUUUAUCGAGGGCACAAUCAAGGACAAGAUUGGUGGAGGUGCCAAGUCAUAUAGUGGUUACACCAAAUCUUACACCGCAAGAGUGGAAAGUUUGAAGAUGCCUGUGGGGUAUCAACCUCCAAAAUUUCAACAAUUUGAUGGCAAGGGCAACCCUAAGCAACAUAUUGCACAUAUCGUGGAAAUUUGUAGCAAUGCGGGCAUUGAUGGUGAUUUGCUCGUUAAGCAGUUUGUUCGCUCGCUGAAAGGUAAUGCCUUUGAUUGGUACACAGAUCUGGAGUCUGGAACCAUUGACAGUUGGGAGCAGCUAGAGCAUGAAUUUCUUAGUCGCUUCUAUAGCACAAAGAGAACUGUCAGCAUGACUGAACUCUCUAAUACACGUCAAUGGAAGAAUGAACAUGUCAUUGAUUUCAUCGACCGUUGGAGGAAUCUAAGCUUAAAUUGUAAAGAUCGAAUUUCUGAAUCUUCCGCGAUCGAGAUGUGCAUUCAAGGUAUUCACUGGGGACUCAGAUACAUCUUACAAGGUGUACAACCAGAAACAUUUGAUGAAUUGUCCACAAAAACCCGUAAAUUAGAAAUUAAUCUUGAUGGACAAGAACCGCUAGUCCCUGACCCUCACAAGGCUAAAGAGAGACAAGAAAUGAGGAAAGGGGGCAAGCCACAAUUCAAAAAUGAAAAGAAGGAUGCUAUGGCCACAAGUAUAACGCCCUUUAAGGUUGUUUCCAAAACUGUCAAGAGAGAAGAUAGCAAGAUCAAUAUGCAUCAAGAGUAAGGAAAGAAGAAGCCGACUCUCAAGGAGAUGCAAGACAAAGAGUACCCUUUUCUUGAUUCUGAUGUCCCUGGUAUGUUUGACGAUCUGUUAAAUAUAAACUUGAUCACGCUUCCUGAGAUGAAGCGACCUGAUGAGGCUAGGAAUACUGACGAUCCAAACUACUGUAAGUAUCACCGAUUGGUGGGGCAUCCCAUUCAAAAAUGCUUUGUCUUCAAAGACAAAGUAAUGGAGUUGGCAAGACAAGGGAAAAUUCUCCUUGAAGAAGACAAGGCAAGUGUGAAUCAAACGUCCAUUGGUUCCCUGCAGUCCAUGGAGGAUAAAAGAGUCACGGUGCCUGUAUUGCCGACAAUUCAAUUUGGAUCAUUUGACCCUAUAAAAAUCAAACAAGAAAGUGCUCCUUUAACCCUUCAGGAACAUGCAUAUGAAGAUGAAAAGGGACUACAGCCUGAUUGGAUGAUGAAGGAUGGACUCUAGUCACGCGAAAAAGGAGGCGGAAAUCUUGUCCAUCUAGUAGGGCGAGCAAGGUCUUAACAAGAAAUAUGGUGAUUUGGAAGGGGAAAGAGAAAGACGUAAAGAAAACUAAUGACUGUCGUAAUCUUCAAGGAGGUCGAAUCUUCAAGCAAAAGUCGCGAACUCCUAUCACUUUAAAAGAGUUUUUGUCAAAAGAAUUCUUUGAUGUUGAUGUGGUCGCAAGUCACACAAUGCGAGUAGAUCAUAUCGAGGAACAAAAAAAUAAUGCUCGCGAAUCUCUCUGUGAGAUGGCCCGUGCGUCCACCGGCAAUGAAGAAGGUCGUGUGCCUACCAGCAAUGAAGAGGUGAACGUCACAAGUAUCACUUUUACUAGUGAAGACUUGUUGCUUGGGUCAACACCGCAUAACCGUCCUUUGUUUGUGACUGGUUAUGCAAAGGAGCAAAAAGUGAAUAGAAUGUUGAUAGAUGGAGGUUCCGCAGUCAAUAUUCUCCCUUUAAAAACUCUGAAGGAGUUUGGUAUCCCCGUUGAUGAACUCUCCAAUAACCGACUGAUGAUUCAAGGCUUCAAUCAAGGAGGGCAAAGAACUCUUGGGUCACUAAAUUUGGAAAUAGUCAUUGAUGACAUGACGUCCAGAGCACUAUUGUAUGUGAUAGAUGCUAAAAUAACAUACAAUGUAUUGUUGGGAAGGCCCUGGAUUCAUGAAAAUGGAGUUGUACUUUCAACUCUUCAUCAAUGCUUCAAGUACUGUCAAAACGGGGUGGCAAGAAGUGUGAAACCUGAUGAUAAUCCUUUCACUGAGGCGGAAGCAUAUAUCACCGAUGCCAAAUUUUAUAUCAAAAGACACAUUGCGAAGGAUAAAACUGAACAACUUCUAUCUGGAGAUAAAAUCCAAAACCCCUGACGGGUAUUUUACAUACGUACAAGUUAAAAAAAACUGAAUUACACCCGUUCACUGCAAGUAUACAGGUCAACUAGUAGUUUAGGGUAUAUAUCGGGUCGAUCCCACAGGGAAGAGUGAACAAUUACCGGUAUUACUAAAACUUCUCUAUUAUUUAGACUAUCAAUGAAUUAUAAGAAAUUUAACCUACUGAAAUUAUACAAAAUAACAAAUAAAAGCUCCUUAGGUUGUGGUAUCCCUAACUACUCAUGCAAGUGCUAUAUUUGGAUCAUUAAUUACUACAUUUAGGCUAGUUAUGGUGUAAUUUCCUUAAACAUGUGAAACCUACUUUCGUAGUGAAUCAACUAUACUCAUAACUAAUCCAUACCUAUUUUCAUGGUUAUGAAAUUAGCUACAAGUUCAUUUCUUCAAUGAAAUUACAUGAAAUGAAUCACUAAAAACCACAUAAGUGCACCUCUCUACUUUCGUGAGUGUACUCCCUAUGUUUAGCACUUCUUAAACUAGUGUUAAAUCUCAAUUUUCAUUGCAGAAACAACACCUUAGAUAAUCACAAUCAAUGGUACCAGAUUAAUCAUGAUUUAAGAAGCCAAAGUGCUAAAUAACUUGCUCAAAUCAUAGCAGUCAAAUAACCAAAUAAUAAACACUAACAAUUAUAGAAAGUUCAACCAAACCCAAGGUAUAAACUUUAGAAACACAUAAUGAACACAAAAUCCAGAACUUGUAUAUUAACUAAACUUGGAAUCAAAUACAAAAGAUAAAGAGUUUGGAAGGAAUACAACCUUUGUCACAUGAGCUUUCUUCCUGCCUUCUCAUCCUCCAUCUUCAUCCUAAUCUAGAUAAUAAACAAGAAUGGAAAAGCUACACUACUCUAUACUAAGCUAAACUAACACUAGGAAGAUGAAAGAGCUACAUUUCUGCAGACUCCAAGCUUUCUCCCGUAUGUCUCUCUUGCUCUCUUCUUGGAUCCUCUCUCUUGCAAUGAAUUUGGCUAUUUAAUGAUGAAAGGUGGUCAAGAAAUGAAGCUUUACACUUUCUCCUUACAGCUGGUAAUGUCUCUCACAUGUCUAGCAUCACAUGUGAGUUGGUGGAGGUGAAAUUGAGUUUUACGCGUAUAAAGUAGCCUUUUCUGACCAGUGAUCCGAGCUGCUACAGUGCCUCGGAUCCGUAUGGAUCCGAGCUCGGAUCCACUAACCCAGAAACAGCCGAGAGUUCGGAUGAAUAGUGGAUCCGAGUGUGGAUCACUUGCUCUGUUUUUGGCCCAACUUCAACCGAUCGUUUCUUGAUGUUAGAGGCUGAACCAACUCAUGCCUAAAACACGAAUGUUGUAGCCUUUUGAUUUAUCUUUCCAAUGCAUCAAGAAUCACCUCAUUUGGAUCUGUGUAGGCUGAGAUAUGACUGAAAUACCCUUGUCUGCUCCAUGCCUUGUUCCAGUUUCGACCAAUAGCAAUUGACUUUGUACUUCGGCUUUUUGACCUGGAAAACCUUCAAACUGGAUUCGGAUGUCUUCACCAAAGUUGUAGAUCUAUCUCUUAUCUUCAAAUGGGUUCAAGAAUCAUCCCAAUCCGAUCAUUGUAGCUCAAGUUAUAGCCGAAAUACGAAAAUGUGUCAAAACUGUCAAAAUACACAAAAUCCAAGUAAAAAGUGAUAAAAACCUCAUUUAAUCACUUAAAAGCAUUUUUCACCAAUUAUAACCAAAAUGAUUCAUAUUCUUCCAAUAAUAUAACCAAAGUGACUAAAAAUAAUAUAAAAUGUCAUACAAUUAUUACGUAAAUUAGUCACUUAUCAAAUUCCCCCACACUUAAAUCAUUGCUUGUCCUCAAGCAAUUCACACAUAAUCAAAUGCAAUGAUUCAAGAGGUGAAAUAAUAUAUGCACUUUGUCCAAUUCAAUUCCUCAAGACUUGGAAAAUAAUCAUUAUACAAUUAUUCAAUUUACACUAAAUACUCAUAAUAUCAAGUAAAGGAAAGAUAAUUAUACCCUAAAUUCAACAAGUUAAACUUAAUCUCUUACCCUAACUUAAUUUUUACAAAUAAGCAAAUCACAUAGUCAAUUUAUAGCUUUCCUCCUCCUAUAAUCAUCUUUUUCUCAACAUUCUAUAACUAAGAGGGAUUUAUUCAUUCUAAUUUUUACUUAAAUAGUGAAAAUGCCUUUUUACGCGAAAAUCGACACUUUUAGGUGAAGAUCCCCGGUUACUCAACAUUUCACUUAUUCAAGUUGCUAAUGCAUACUCUUAAUUCAAAUACCUUUUUACGCGAAUGUCGACAUUUGUUGAUGCCAACUCCCGGUUACUCGGUACAUGAAUCAUUGGAGUAGAACAAUUUUUAUUUACUUUCUCUUUUUUCUUUUUUUUUUCUUUUUUCUCUUUUUUUUUCUUUAUUUUUCCCUCAUAGAAAAAAAAAUAUUUAUAGAAAUAAUCAAAGGAGGAGUAUAACCUUUAUCGACUAUAUCAAUCACUUACUUGCAAAAUUAAGUAAAGAGAAGAAAUCUCAUUAAACAUGUAAAAUUAUAGGCAUAAUUUUCCUUACUUUACCAAAUAUACUUUCUAAAAUGUAAAAAUUCUAAUUGCAUAAUACUAUUUCCAAAUUAAAUGAGGACUAAACCUUCCAAAAUACAUAUAACUAUUUCAACAAUUGGAAGAAUAAGGAUUGGAACAAUUAGCCCUUUUUGGACAUGAAAAAAAAAAAAUGCCAAAAAAUUGGGAGAAGAAUUUAUGCGGCCAUAGUGAAAUAUUGGAAAAAGAUUUAGAAAUUAUUUUACAGCAGUUUCUCCUAUAUAAAUGGAUGAAAACUCCCUGCCAACAAAUCCAAUUUCAUGGCAAAUAGUUCAAACAUAAUUCCAACAUUUCUAAGCAUUUAAAUCCACAAAAUAUCAUCACAUGGCAAGUAAAUGCAAGUUCAAUACUUUCCUCCCCCACACUUAAACUUCACAUUGUCCUCAAUGUGAGAAAGGAAAAAUAACGAAAAUAAGAGAAAGUAAUACUCCCCUAAUGAACUUGCGCGAUCCGAAUCCAUGGCAAUUUGAUGAAUUUCCAACUUUACUUGAAAGAAUGGAGACUUCAAUUAAUGCACCUUGAAAAAAAAAAUACAAUUCUUAAGAAUAAAAGCUUGCAACCAAUAAGAAGAAAAGUGGAGUUGAAGGAGGAAAAAGAGGGAAGAAUGAGGAAAAGUGGUCCGAGGCUUCGUUUUGGAAAGGAUCCGAGGUCGUUUUUGAAAGGAUCCGAGGUCGGAUCAUGAUAAGUGAGCUCGGAUCAAGAAGUUCGAAUUUUUUCUGAUUGCAGAAGUGGAUCCGAGCUUGGAUCCAGAAGCUCGAAGUUUUCUCUGAUUGCAGAAAUGGAUCCGAGGCCUUGGAUCCAUUAAAUCUGCACUUAUUGCAGAAUUUUUUUGCAAUUUUCAGUUUGACCCCAAUUCUUCAAAAUACACCCUAGAUCAUUUCUAUAUCAAAAUAAACCAUUCACGCACAUGUAAAAUGAUCUAAACAUGCAUUCUAAACCUCUUUAAUGCAUCAAAAACCAUAAUUACUGAAUUUGAGGUAUUGAGAUCUUUGAUCAAACUUCGCGUUUUUCACCUCAUUUGGUCUUUUUUUGCAUCUUUUUCCAAAACCUACAAAUGAAAAACAACAAAAUUACUCAAACUUAUACUUUAAACAUAAAAUCACUCUAAAGUAACACGAACUUAAACAAGCAUUGGGUUGCCUCCCAAUAAGCGCUUCUUUAAAGUCAAUAGCUUGACUAUAUCCCCUCAUUUUUCAAGGAGGCUUAGUUAACGAAUAAUCCACCAUUUUAAGCCUUGGUGGAUCAUUGUAAGGUGACUUAAUAGAAAAAGCCACAUGAUCUAAUGAUCUGAGAGAUGGAAGUGACUUACAUAUUCCAAGUGUUUCAUAGAUAUUACCUUGAAUAUGCACCACUUGAGAACUUACCAAAGGAAAUGUCAUGAGAGUAUAUUGGGCAGGAAUACCUUUAGAACCUAUACUUUCAAUGCACUCCUCAAGAGGGGUGAAAAAUGAGUCAUUAAAACUCACCUCUUGAGGUUCAAAGUUAGUUCCAAAGAUAUUAUCAUGUGAAAUGGAUAUUUGCUCAUUAAAACACUCUUGAGAUUCAUCAUUUUCAUCAAAAUGCAACCCAUUUUCACAUACAACAUUCCCACCAUUCAUGUUAGGAUCAUUUUGCACAUUAUUAGAGGAAAUAACUUCACACAAUACAUUCAAUUGCUCAUGUAUAUCACCAAAGUGAGAAGCUAAUUCAUCUAACCUUUCCUCAAUCCUAUCAAAACGGUCAGAGGUUGCAUUUGCUAGCUUUUCUAUGGCUAAAUCAAAUUGAUUAGAAAAAUUUUCUACAGCUAGCUCCCAAGAUGCAUUAGAAUCAUUAGCUAAUGGUUCACUUUCUAACUCCCAAGGUAGAGGUGUAUUAGCUAACUUCUCUAUUGCCAACUCCCAAGAUGGUUUUGAUUCAUAUUGGACACUUUCAGGUUGGUAAUCAUAAAAACAUGAAUAAUCACUAUAAGUACAUUGAUCAUCCCAACCAUAAGCAGGAGAAUUGCUCCAAUUAGCACUAUAUUGAUUAAAACAAGGAUUGUAAUGCUCUAAUUCAUCAUAAUAAUCCACAUUUUGUGCUUGCAUACAUGUAUUAGUAGCAUGAUAAUCUCCACACAAGUCACAAAUCACAUGAUAAGAAUUAAAAACAUUAACAUUCCUCCUCUGCUCAAUUUCAUGCAUCAUGGUGUCCAUUUGAACUUGUAACUUAAUUACAUCAAAUUUUGCCUUUAAACACCUUAAACCAUCUUCAAAAGACAUACAUUCAGUAAAUUUUUGGUUACCUCUGUUGAAGGAUUUUUGCACUUGGUAACCAUCCAUUGCCAAUCUUCCACUUCUCAAGCUUUGUCCUCCAAAUUGACCUACCCUUCUCAUCACCUAAAAUUGCUUUUAAACAACCUCAAAAGCAAAAUUAGUAAGAAAAAUAGGUAAUGAAACACAUACACAUAAAAUACAAAAAUAACAGAAAAUAACAUUCACAUUAUAACUAAUAUUAUGUCUAAACUAAUAAAGUUGCUCUUCACACCGAUAUUGCCAAAUCUUCCCCGGCAACGGCGCCAAAAACUUGACGGGUAUUUUACAUACGUACAAGUUAAAAAACCGAAUUACACCCGUUCACUGCAAGUAUACAGAUCAACUAGUAGUUUAGGGUAUAUAUCGGGUCGAUCCCACAGGGAAGAGUGAACAAUUACCGGUAUUACUAAAGCUUCUCUAUUAUUUAGACUAUCAAUGAAUUAUAAGAAAUUUAACCUACUGAAAUUAUACAAAAUAACAAAUAAAAGCUCCUUAGGUUGUGGUAUCCCUAACUACUCAUGCAAGUGCUAUAUUUGGAUCAUUAAUUACUACAUUUAGGCUAGUUAUGGUGUAAUUUCCUUAAACAUGUGAAACCUACUUUCGUAGUGAAUCAACUAUACUCAUAACUAAUCCAUACCUAUUUUCAUGGUUAUGAAAUUAGCUACAAGUUCAUUUCUUCAAUGAAAUUACAUGAAAUGAAUCACUAAAAACCACAUAAGUGCACCUCUACUUUCGUGAGUGUACUCCCUAUGUUUAGCACCUCUUGAACUAGUGUUAAAUCUCAAUUUUCAUUGCAGAAACAACACCUUAGAUAAUCACAAUCAAUGGUACCAGAUUAAUCAUGAUUUAAGAAGCCAAAGUGCUAAAUAACUUGCUCAAAUCAUAGCAGUCAAAUAACCAAAUAAUAAACACUAACAAUUAUAGAAAGUUCAACCAAACCCAAGGUAUAAACUUUAGAAACACAUAAUGAACACAAAAUCCAGAACUUGUAUAUUAACUAAACUUGGAAUCAAAUACAAAAGAUAAAGAAUUUGGAAGGAAUACAACCCUUGUCACAUGAGCUUUCUUCCUUGCCUUCUUCAUCCUCCAUCUUCAUCCUAAUCUAGAUAAUAAACAAGAAUGGAAAAAGCUACACUACUCUAUACUAAGCUAAACUAACACUAGAGAGAUGAAAGAGCUACAUUUCUGCAGCUUCAAGCUUUCUCCCGUAUGUCUCUCUCUAUUUUUCUCCUAUGAACUCCCCUUCCCUAUUUUUGCAAUGCAUUUGGCUAUUUAAUGAUGAAAGGUGGUCAAGAAAUGAGGAUUACAUCUCCCUUUUACAGCUGGGAAUGUUUCUCACAUGUCUAGCAUCCAAUGUGAGUUGGUGGAGGUGAAAUUGAGUUUUACGCGUACAGAGCAGCCUUUUCUGACCAGUGAUCCGAGCUGCUACAGUACCUCGGAUCCGUAUGGAUCCGAGCUCGGAUCCACUAACCCAGAAACAACCGAGGGUUCGGAUGAAUAGUGGAUCCGAGUGUGGAUCACUUGCUCUGUUUUUUGCCCAACUUCAACCAAUCUUUUCUUGAUGUUAGAGGCUGAAAACACGAAAGUUGUAGCCUUUUGAGUUAUCUUUCUAAUGCAUCAAGAAUCACCUCAUUUGGAUCUGUGUAGGCUGAGAUAUGACUGAAAUACCCUUGCCUGCUCAUUGCCCUGUUCCAGCUUCGACCAGUAGAAAUUUGCUAUUGUAAUUCGGCAUUUUGACCUGGAAAACCUUCAAACUGGAUUUAGAUGUCUUCACCAAAGUUGUAGAUCUAUAUCGUAUCUUCAAAUUGGUUCAAGAAUCAUCUUAAUCUGAUCAUUGUAGCUCAAGUUAUAGCCGAAAUACGAAAAUGUGUCAAAACUGUCAAAAUACACAAAAUCCAAGUAAAAAGUGAUAAAAACCUCAUUUAAUCACUUAAAAGCAUUUUUCACCAAUUAUAACCAAAAUGAUUCAUAUUCUUCCAAUAAUAUAACCAAAGUGACUAAAAAUAAUAUAAAAUGUCAUACAAUUAUUACGUAAAUUAGUCACUUAUCAACCCCGAAUCUCCAAAUGCAAAAGAGGAAGAAAAUGUUCGCUUGCGCCUUGAAGAAUUGGAAGUUUUGGAUGAAAAGAUAUUGGAGGCUCAAUAAAAUUUGGAAUGCUAUCAAGCCCGUCUCUCUAGAGUUUUCAAUAAGAAAGUUCGGCGUCGCUCCUUUCAAGUCGGGGACAUGGUACUUGCCGUUCGAAAGCCAAUAGUUAUGACUUAUCGCACUAAAGACAAAUUCGUCUCUAAAUGGGAUGGGCCGUACAUUGUUCGAGGAGUCUACACGAAUGGCGCGUACAAAUUGGUGGACAAAGAUGGCGUAAAAGUUGGUCCUAUAAAUGGGAAAUUCGUGAAGCUAUACAUGCCAUAAAAAAAAAGAAAAAAAACAAGUGAAACACUCCAUGACGCAUGAGUCUAAACUGCAUGUUGCUUCAGACCCGCAUGAGCUAAAACUGUGGACAAUACCCACCAAUAGUGUAGCACGUGGUUAAACUGCUGAAACACUCCACCAAAUUUAAAGUGGUAAACAAAAAGAUAUUCCUGACCCGCAAGAGUUUAAACUGUGAACGGUAGGAACUACGUGUGACUUGAUUCCCUUUUGGGAUACGUAGGCAGCUUAGAAGACAACUUCUAAGUUCGGUUAAAACCCUAUAAAACUAAAGUCUUUGUCCGGAUGAUUCUUUUGAUAAAAAAAAAAAAAGAACGUUCAUCUUUAAGACAAUUCGAAUUAUUUUGUGACAUAUACUUAAAAGUGUAUUAUUCAGAUUACCAAAUUAUUUGGAUAAUUAUCUUUUCAAGUGUGAUCAAAAUUAUGCAAAGAUAGAAUUGUUCAUACUACGGUUGAUAGUCUAAAAUGGUGGCUAUCGAAAAAGUAAGUAAAGACGAGGACGUCUGCAAGAAUGUGAUGAAAAGAAAAAAAAAAGUUUCAUUAUGAAGUGCUUGUACUCAUAGCUGCACGCUUUGAGUAAUUAGCAAGAGAUGAAAUUUGAAACAAAAUAAAAGAUGACAACUAUUCCUAGAAUUCAAAUGACGACAGUUCCUUUCGGUUGUUUUCAAGUAAUGCUUGCAUCUUGUCCAAAGUUUGACUCUCCUCAGCAAGUAGGGGCGGGGAAUUCUCAAUCUUUCGAACUUCGUUUUGUAAGUCGACCAUCACGCCUUGCACUCGGGUAAGAUCAUCUUGCUCUUCUCGUAACAGUGAAAGCGUCUCCUUCCUGUGAGUAUCCAAGAACUCAAGUCGCUUCCUCAACUCUACUUCCUCGCGAUCGAUUUCCUCAAGCUUCAACAUGUGUGUUGAGAUCUUCUCUGCCUAUUGUCUCUCCUUACUCUGAGCGUCUCUAAGAUGUUGGAUGGCCGUAGAAAGCAACUCAUCAUAUGAUUCAGCUGAAAUUUUAUUUGAGAGAGAAGAUUUCACUGCAACGUAAUGAGCUGCAUUUGCAAAGAAAGCCUUUAAAAGGCCUUGCAAAUUUGAGAUAUCUGUGGCAUUGAAGCUUUGCAUUUCCUCCAUGAUCUCGUUGGCUUUUAUUUCAAGAGCUGGCAUGCGCUCCAAAACUGUUUGAGAUAUCAUCACUCUCAAGUUAUUCCACAACAUUUGGAUGUAGUCUCGACGGCAUGUUGAGAUCACAUUUUGGGGGCAAAAUUCAGAUACUCGAGGUGCCCUUGGCCACGAUGGUGGAUAAAAAACUUUGAGUUUCCUUUUGGCCGAUGGAGUCAUAUGCUCCGCCUUCUGUGCCAUGAUUUGCUGAGUCACAUUUUCAUCAUCUACUGCUUUUUUGGAAUUCUCACUAGCACCCUUUUGUUGGGUAGAACCGACCACUUGUUUGGCCAAAAGUUCAAAUGCAGUAGGUCCUUCAACUGAUACUUGACUUGGUUCUCCAUCAUCAAUGAAAAUCAAGUCUUGAUCAUCCAACUGUAGGGAAAGUGUUGUGAGACAAAUCAUGAAUAUGAAUUAAUAAGCAAAUUUCAAAUGCUAGAUUAAAGAAGGCAAGGAGAGUUCUUACAAUAUUGGCACAGCUUAUAUCGGGUACGGAUAUAUUUGGAAUGUCUUUAAAAAGUUCUUUAGGAUCUAAACCAAUGUCAUCCAAGGGGAGAGUCAUUACCUUGGACUUCUUGCGCUUCCAAUGCUGGUCCGUACUGGUGGAUUGCUCAUCCUCCUCAUUAAAAGGUUCGCUCCUCUUCUUCUCAUGUGAAUUGCAAGAAUCAUGAUCAACAGCUUCCACAAUGUUUGAAGGAAGAUGAAAUGAAAUACCCUUCGAAAAUCCUUCAUUAGGAGUAAGGUCCUCAGGGGAAGUAGCUUUGUUGUUUGAACUCGUCAAAAUCUCCUUCUCGCUUCUCAUAGUCUUUUGCUUCAUCUCAAGACUAUUGCCAACCUUGGAAGCAUUGUUCAGAUUUGCAAGUUCCUUCCCUUUCGACUUCUUCUGCUCCCCAUUUGAUUGGACACUCUUAAUCAAAGCAUCACGCCCUUUGAGGAGAUGAUCAUCAUGCACCAUAGCCCACCAUGUUUGAAAGCCUGAAGAUGUGUGUUUGCUAGCAUUCAAGGGAUAGUUAGGAAAAAGUACCAUUGACUCUGUUUUACUGUGAAUGGCAGUGCGCCAGAGUAUUCGACUCAAGUCAUAACUUGUGGAACGAACAUCUGCCCCGAGUUCCUGUGGAGGAACUUGAUAAAAUCAGAAUUGCUGCGCGAAUCUGUAUGGACUGUAUGGCUCAACAAGGAAAUCCCCGUCAACAUGCGAAACUAAGUAAUUUGAACAGGCGCUUACAAAAUAACUUAGUUCGAGAUUCGCUAAUUUGCUAUUGUCAAUAAAAAAUUCGUUGCGGUUCUUCACAAGAGAAGUAAUUCCCCAAGUUGCCUUAUCUCCCUGAUAAAUGAGGUCGUGAGCACUAUUUUCAUCAAAGUAUCGUGCGCCACCCUCUCCAGAAUAGUUGGCCGUGAUGGGUCCAGGCAUGGUAUUUGGAGUCGAAUAAUGGGUAGAAAAAUAACUCGCUAACCAAGCAUAUACGUAGUGCACCAGAAAAGCCGCACGUGCACACCCUGGGGUAGCUGAGUUUGAAAUUUUGUCAAUCCCACGGUAUAUGUUUAGCAGGACAGGAACAGCAAGGCAAGUCUUACGACCGGCAGCCAUCAUACUAGCCAUUUUGAAAAUAGAUGGUCUAAUAUAAUGGAGGUCCUCAUCUGGUAAAGUAAAGACACAGAGCCAGCAAGAUAUAAAUGCUGCAAGAUAAGUCUCUUCCCGUAAAUGAAGUUUAACUCCAAUGGUAUCAAAUACGCCAUUGUCUUGACUUGAAAAUUUGCGUGGUUGUCCAAUUUCGCCAUCCGGAUUUUGGGUCGCUUGAGCACGAGAUGCCCUCUUUAUCCUUCUUUGUUUUGGCUUUAAGUAUCUGGUUUUGCCUUUAAACCAAAAGUUAAUCCAUUGGGCAGCAGAAACUCCAGUUUUGUUGGAUUCCCCAUGUUGAAGAUGAUGUAAGGCUGCGAACAAAUACUCACAGUUUUGUGGAAUGUGCCUUAAUUUCUUUUCAUUAACUCCAGUCAGCUCCUCCGCGCAUGGGAUUACCUCUUCAUAGAUACCCCCAAUGAUUGGAAGUCCUCCUAACUUGUGCAAGUCCCAAAGUGAUAGAGACAAUUCUCCAACAGACGUAUGUAAGGUAUUAGUGUCUACACACCAUGCCUCGCAGAAUGCUCUAAGUACAUGGGGAUUCCUAUCAUAUGUGAAAAGCGAAGCAUAUAAGGCGUCAAACAAGUAAUUUUCACGGAGCACUUGUUUGUUCCUGCCGAGGAUAUCCUCCAACCACUCCCAAUAAUUCUCAAUGUAACUGAAUGCACCACUGAGCCUCAAGGAAGGACCCCAGUGUGCAUCUCCGUCUAUGAUCCGCCUGCCCAGGGUUUGAAAAGGAGUUGUUCUUGGCUCCUUAUCAUGAAUAAGGGAUCUCAAGGAGUGGACUUUCGUGCCGUCAUCCUGAGAAAGUUCAAGUAACCAGUCCUUCAAUUCUGGGUACUGGUGAGAAGGCCACUUACCAGAGUAAGUUCCUUGUAUGGGGGGAUGCACCAAUAAUUUCGUUCCUUUGUCACCAGAGUCACCAUCACUGUCAGCGAUAAGGAGAUACUUUUCGUUUGAAGAUGUGACUUCCUUGAAUACCACCAUUUUAUCAAGACUAACUUGCAACAAAAGCAAGGAAAAAGGAAAGUUUGGUUAAAAUGACAUGGUCGAAAACAGUAAAAGGCUUCUUGAAUUUUGAGUGAGUUUUUAUUGAAGUGGGUAAUCGUGUCUCCUUCAUGUACUCCUCAAGCCAUAAUACGGCUCUCGUGGGAGUUUUCGGUUGCGCCUUCUUCAAAUUGAGUGGUCACACUCUCCUUCAUGUACUCCUCAAGCCAUAAUAUGGCUCUCGUGGGAGUUUGCGGUUGCGCUUUCUUCAAAUUUUGGUUGCGCCAUCUCUUUUGUACUCCUCAAGCCAUAAUAUGGCUCUCGUGGGAGUUUGCGGUUGCGCCUUCUUCAAAUUUUGGUUGCGCCAUCUCUUUUGUACUCCUCAAGCCAUAAUACGGCUCUCGUGGGAGUUUGCGGUUGCACCUUCUUCAAAUUGAGUGGUCACACCCCCCCUUCAUGUACUCCUCAAGCCAUAAUACGGCUCUCGUGGGAGUUUGCGGUUGCAUUUUCUUCAAAUUAAGUGUCCACCAAGAGAUCCCCCCUUCGUGGCGAAAAAAAAAAUGGCAUUGACAAUAGGUGAAAAUCAUGAGGCAUGUGAGUUACCUUAGUGUUGUGAAUUCCACGAGCUAUAAAGUGCCAAACACAAUUGGAACGUCAACUCGCUUCAGUGGGUGUCAAUACAAGCUGUAAAAAAAAAAAAAAAACUCAUAAGAAGGAUGCUUUUCCAAGAAAGUCGCAAUGCAUGUGUUGGUGAGCACUUUAUGUCAGUUAUCAAUUAAAUUGACAUGAAAAGCAAAAAGCAAAAAAAAAAAAACUCAAAAAAAAAAAAGAAAAUAUUUUUUUUUCCUCUUUCCAAGGUGGAAAUAAAUCAAGUUUUGACAGAUUACAAUGAAAUUUGGUGGACAUCUAUUACUCGACCAACAUGUAGUUGUCAAAAGGCAGUAAAGAUGAUUACCUUCAGGGUGCACGUGUGAAACAGGUUUCUUCUUCAAAUAUUGUGGUAGUCUUCAAUAAAGAUGUUUGUCACAGUUUCAAGACAAAAACAUGUCUUGUGCGGCUUUUAUAAGGUGCUUGGAUGAAUCGUUUUAAGAAGUUUUAAAUUUUGGGCAACUACUAAAUUCAGUGAUUACCAUUUAACUUUUUGGAAUCACAUGAAUUUGGUUCCUAAGAUUAACUUCAAAAGCUGAAGGUCGGUUUAGGAAACUCUUGAAAUUCGGCAGUCAGAGGUGCUUGGAUGAAUCAUUUUAAGAAGUGUUAAACUUCGGCAACUACUAAAUUCAGUGAUUACCAUUUAAUUUUUUGGAAUCACAUGAAUUUUGUUCCUAAAAUCAAUUUCCAAAAACUGGAAGUCAGUUUAGGAAGCUAUCGAAAUUCGAGAAAUUCCAUAUUGUCAAGACAUUGGUUUCGGCAAUUACCUAUUUGUCGCGCCCCAUUUUUUGAUGAAUAAAUAAAAUGGUUUAAAAAUGUAUUUUGAUUUAAUUUAUGAUUGAAAAAUGAAUUGUGAUUUAAAAGAAAAAUGGGUCUAAAUGGGGGUUUGAAAAUGCGACGAUUUGACCCAAAAUUAUAGUUUAAAAAGGGUUUUUUAAAAAAAAUGGGAGUCGCCACUUGGUAAUGAGUUAAAGUGUACCAAGUCACCUAAAAAUGAAUUUUUUAGGAAAAAGUUGCAAGAAACCCCUUUUAAACGACUCCUAAUCCACGUAAACCAAAAAAAAGGUUCGGGAGUCCAUUUGACGAAGGGGAAGGCAAGGAUAAAAAUCCAAGGCACCCCUUCGACCUAGCCAAGGCUAGUUGCGUGAUUUAAUCAAAGUUUUUCUUAUUUUAACCAAAGAAUUUAUUACAUUUGGAUGCACUACAUGAAUGCAAAAGGAAAGAAAAAAUGCAAACCUAAAUUCUAAAAUGUCUCUUGUAAGGUUUUUGGUCCCAACCACAUGAAUUGUGGCGGCCAAUAAAGAAAAACCUUAUAGAGGUCGAUUAAUGCAAAUGAUGGCUAAAGUGCAAGUGUGCAAGUGUAUAAAAAGGUGCACGUGUGAAAUUGUAUGAAAAGUCCAAGUGUUUGUGUGCAAGUGUAUGAAAUAUAGUGAUAAGUGCAUAUAGGUGUAAUUAAGUGCAAUUUUGUGAAGUAGAAAUCAAAAUGAACAAUAAGGAAAGGAAAAGUGAUGAGGAAAUGUGAAUUGAAAAAAAUGAGUAAGUGAUAAAUGAGAAUGAAUGAACCUAAAGGAAUGCAUCAGGUCGGGUGUGGGAAUGACUCCUAACUUUUUCGACUUCGAUUUUCCCUUUGAUUAGAAGGCAAAACUAGCGUGCUAAGGCUAUCGAGUAGCCACACUCGCUCGUUUCCCUUAUCGGAAGGGGACACUAAAGCAAAAUGAGCCCUAUAGCUAGUAUGGGAUGCAAAACCUAAAAUGAGAGGAAAAGGGGUUUGAGGAUCAUGCCAAAUGAUAAAACUAAGGAAAAUGCGUGAUAUGUGGUGAACAAGCAAAUGAUGUACUAUCGAGGGAAAAUCCCUAAGGGUCUAGCGUUGGACUAACCCAUUCCAUGAAUUCCGACUAGCGUUGGACUAGUGGAAACGAUAAAAGAAGCCACAACUAGCGUUGGACUAGUGUGAUGACGUACAUUCAUCCAUUCCAUUCAUCCACACUAUAAAAAGCGAGUAGACAUGCGAAUCACUUAUAAACACGUAGCACAUAACACUUAGCAUGCUUGACUAGAUGCAAGGACCUAAUAAAGCGAUUAAACACUUAACACGUAGGCAUGCAACCAAACUAAUGAACCUAUUACAUUCACUAACUAAAACAAAAGGGGAAGGGGAAAAUAGACCAAAUUGCUCGCCACAGCCCUAUCUAUUACAAGCCAAGAGGUGUACACAUACCCCAUUAAAAGAAUAACUUAAUGAAAACAAAAAGUAAAUGACAUAAGUAAAAGGAAUUAAAGAAAAACUAGAAAAGCAAAGUAGACAUGCAAUUCACUUAGCACGUUGAGUCACAUGAGAGAAACAAAAAAAGAUAAAAGAAGUUAUACCUCCCUUAAGUUGAUGCCUUAAAUGGAGUGAAAUCACUUAUUCAUCCUCCAAAAUAAAAGAAAUAUCAAGGUACCACUUUAAAUAAAAGAUAAUCACAAAAGAUAAAAAUAAACAGGAAAUUGAAUCAAUUAAAUCAUAUAAUCAACCCACAUUCAAGAAGUCAAAAGAAAAAGAGACUUGAUUGCAAACAUUACCAAAGUUUUGGGGUCAAAAUUAAAGAAAAAUAAAGUACAGGGGCCUAUUCGCAAUUAAAUUAGGGACCCAAUUGAAAAAGGUUGAAAAUGUCCAGGGCCACAGUACAGUUAAGGAGAAAUUCAGGGACUGAUUUGCAACUUUGGUUUCUGGUUGCUAAUGGGUCAGGCCAGUAGGCCAGUUUUGCAUCUUAUUUGGGCCAGAACCUUCCCUAGCCCAAUCGAAAUUCAGACCAAAAGGAAUGGACCAAUCUAUCAUUUAAAACCCCAAAAUUAAGUAACAAGACCGGUGGGCUUUUACCCUUUAGCCCAAACCAAAACCCAAAAUAAUAAACUAAAACCAUUUUUAAAACCCAAUCAAAAACAACUUCUUAGCCCAAAUCCCCUAUUUCACUAAAACCCAACAUGAUAAAAUCUACAAAAAAAUUAUUAAGCCACCAUUAUGACCUAAAAAUCAAGCAUUAAUCUAUCCAAAAAGUCUCAUAGAAUUAUGCAAACGCAAGAUUAAACUUAAAAGGAUGAAAUCAGUCUAAUUUUUCCAGAUUUAGGCCAUAUCAGAAUAAGGGGGAAAUUUGGGGUUCAAUCACAACAAAAUAGGGACUUAAUUGAAUAAAAUUUGGAAGUCAUGCAGGCUUUAAUGUGAUUUCACCAAAGGUCCAGGGCCAAUUGCAAAAUUUUCAGAAACUUAUUCAUUCAGGCUUCACAGAAACAUUUCUUCUUCUUAUGCAAAUGAACGUGAGAACGUUUCUGCAACUUCUGAUGCUUCAAAAUCCAUUAAUUUCACGCGGCAAAACACACUACAUCAUCCGACACCAAAAACAUUGAAAAUGACAAGAAUUGAUUCCAAAAUUCCUUUAUUUCUUUUCCUUUCCCCAAUUAACAAACGGGCAGAUUCUAGCUAACUUUGGACCGGCUGGCAUUCCUCUCUCACGGAUAUAGAAGAACACCCAAAAUCUUUCCUUUUUUGAUUCAAGACUUUGGUUUGGGCAUUUUAGCAAACAAUACAUGAGCAUAAAAAUUUUUAGCAAAUCUGUGAGCAAUCAAGAUAGCAACCAACCCCAAAAUUAUUUAAGAACAAAGAACUUCAACUCCAAUCAUCAUACGCAGUAUGUAUAUUCAAAAAAUUGAGGCCAAGUAGCAGAAAAAUUACACUAGAGCAAGCCACGGCGGUUACAUUUAAAAAAACUGGACAAGAACUUGAGAAAUUUGGAGAGAAACGAAACUUACAGUGCCUCUAUUCAGUGAAAAUUCGCGGAUGGAGAUGGGAAAUUCUGGAGCUAAUGGCCAGUGGCGAUUCCUUUCCUCCUCCCCUGCUUUUCCUUCAGCCGUAGCCAUCACUCUCGCUCCCUCAUUUUGCCUGCAGCUUCCGUCCGAGGCUCCCUCUUUUCCUUCUAACUCAGCUUUUUUCAGUUUUUCCGUAGCUAUCUCAUGCCGCCGCCCCUCUAUUUCUCUUUCCCUCUUGCUCUUGGUUGGUUUGCCGAAUGCAGCUCACUCUCUCCUAUCUCAGUCGAUGAUCACGAGGUAAAAGAUUUGGUUGUGGUUAGGAAUCUGAUAGUGGAAUCAAUGAAGUAGGUGCCGUGGUUAUGGAGAUGUUUGAAUGUAGAGGUCGGUUGAGUGUUGAGUUGGUAUUGAAUUUUGAUUGGCUGCAUUGUGCGGUGCUGAAGCUGCUGUCCCGGGAGUUAUUUGUGCAGAGCAGAAAGGAAGUUUCGGUUUAUGGUUUGUGCAGAGCAGAAAGGAAGUUGCGGUUUUUUUUUUUUUAAAAAAAAAAAAUUUAAUUAAUUAGUUAAUUAAACAACAAAAAUGAUAAUAAUAAAACAAUAAUAAUUAAUGAUGAAAAUAACUUAAUUAACAUUAGAUAAAAAUAAAUUAAAAACAACAACAAAAAAAAACAAAUUUCCAUUUUUCAUUUUCAUUUUUUCCUUUUCUUUUGUUUUUCGAAAUAACCUAACCAAAAAAAUAAAUAAAGUCAAAAGAUUGAAUUUAAAAAGAAAUAAACAUAUUUUGUGAACAAUUUUCUUCCCUUUCCUUUUUUUUUCCAAGACAAAAAUUGAAUUUUAAAACAACUAAAACAUAUUUUCUUUUUUUCUUUUUUUUUUAAAAUUCUACAUUAAAACGACUAAAAAAAUAAAACAAGUAAACGACUAAAGAAAAUAAAAAGAAUAACUAAGAUAAACUAGCAUGAACAAAAAUAAAUAAAUCGUACCAAAAUUUGGUGUCUACAGUUUGCCCCUCUUUGUCUGAGUUUUGGAAAAACUUGAGACAAAGAAGUAGACACCAAACACUUACCUGUGUCAUUCGGUCACGAAAGACUCGAACGACUGCCAUUUUUUGAAAAUGAGGACUGACCUCUUUUGAAAGAAAAAUUUAACAAGGAAUUGACUGAGACAAAAAAUUUAAAGCGGGACUGACCCGAACAAGAAUUUAAACGGGACUGACCCGAACAGAAAUUUAAACGGGACUGACCCGGACAGGAAAUUAAAAUUGGGACUGACUAGAGAAGGAAAUUUAAAUCAUGGGACUGGCCCGAACAAGCUUUAAUCGCGGGACUGACCCGAAUAAGUUUUGAAUCGCGGGACUGACCCGAACAGGCUUUGAAUUGUGGGACUGACCCGCAUAAGCUUUGAAUCGUGGGACUGACCCGAAUAAGCUUUUGAUCAUGGGACUGACCCGUAUAAGCUUUUGAUCGUGGGACUGACCGAAAAUGCUUUUGAUCAUGGGGACUUGACCCGAAUAAGCUCUUGAUCGGUGGGACUGACCCGAAUAAGAUUUUGAUCAUGGGACUGACCGGAAAAUGCUUUUGAUCGUGGGACUGACCCGAAAAUGCUUUUGAUCGUCGGGGACUGACCCGAAAAUGCUUUUGAUCAUGGGCGAAUGCUUUUGAUGCAUGGGACUGACGAAAUGCUUUUGAUCGUGGGACUAGCCCGGAAUAAGAUUUUGAUCAUGGGAGCUACCCGGAAUAAGUUUUUGAUCAUGGGACUUGCCCGAUGCUUGAUCAUGGACUUGACCCGAAAAUGGCUCUUGAUCGUGGGAACUGGACCGGGCGCGAAUGAUUUUGAUCAUGGACUGACCGAAAAAUGCUUUGAUCGAUGGGACUGCCCGAAAAUGCUUUUGAUCAUGGGACAUGACCCGAAAUGCUUUUGAUCGGGGGGCGGACUAGACCCGAAUAAGGCCUUUUGAUCGUGCGGACUGAGCGAAUAAGCUUAUUGAUCGCGGAACUGACCCGAAUAAGCUUUAUGAUCGUGGGAAACUGACCGGGCGAAUAAGCUUUUGAUCGUGGGACUGACCCGAAAAUGCUCUUUGAAUGGCAUGGACUGACCGACGAAAUUUUUUGAUGCGGGGGACUGACGCGCGAAAUGCUUUUGUGCAUGGGCUGCCCGAGAUUAAAGCUCUUGAUCAUGGGACUGACCCGAAUAUGCUUUUGAUCGUGGGACUGACCCGAAAAUGCUUUUGACAAUCGGUCAGUGGGAUUAAACUCGAGCCUGCCGUGAUAAAAUUUGUGUUGAUUUUUGAUUGAUGAUUUUUUCCUUUGCUCUUCUUUUGACUUUUGAAAAUCUUUCCAAAAAAUUAAUUUGCCCCAGUAUGAUGAAUUUUUUGCAAUGUGAGUCCAGAGUUGAUUCUGUAUCGCCAUGCUGUUGCAUUUUUUGAUGAAAUUUGCUUGCGACAUUUUCAAUCUGCCUUUGUUCACCGGAGGACUCUUUCCGACACCGAUUCCAGUGCGAGGUGUGCUUACUUUCAUCUGUGUAUGCAAUUUCCUGCAAAAGAGAGAAAAAACAAAGAAAUUGCCACCAUCAUUUGAUCCGUUUUCCUUUGAGAAUCGUGUAAACAUGAGUCUUUCAAGGCCUUUAUCAACUUUUGCUGCGGCAGUCGAUUGAGUUGGAUUUUUCUAAGGCCUUCCAAUUUACAAACUGAUCAGGUAUAUGCUUUGCCAUAUUGUGAAAUCUGCGUAACUGACUUUGUUGAACCUUAACCCUUUUCAAGAGAUGACUGAACCCAAGUAUGCUUCGAAUAAACCACGGAGAUUGUUAUUCACCAAAAUUCAAAGAUAAAGAAUGAAGUAUGCAAGAAAAUUCACAUGUCAUGUAAGAAUAAAUAUGCACAAGAAUGCACACAUAACCAUUUGUGCUUAAAUUCUACAAAAAUGCCAUGAAUGCAAGUAAUUUGGAAAAAUGAGCUUCCUAAGAAUGUAUUUGCAAAAGAAUGUUUUACAAAAUGACACAGUUUUGGCCAACAAAUGUCAUAUUCAAUUCUCUGGAUAUCUUUGUUCUGGAAUUAAAAAUUGACAGAAGUAUGACAAAAUGAGAAGAAAUCCAAAUGAACCAAAUCACCAGCUGUUCUUCCUCGUGCUCGCUUGCUGCAAAAUCCUACCUUGGUGCCCUUUCGGGUUUUUACCAAGGUUGCCCCCCCUUUUUUGUUUCGUUUUGUCUUUUCUCUUUUCUUUUUUCUUCUUUUCUUUCUUUUUUUCUUUUUUUUUUUCUCUUUUUUUCUUUUGAGGUGCCCUUUCGGGUUUUUACCUAAGGAAGCAAUGGAAGAGCUCAACCAUAAUCGCCUCAGGAGUAUGAGUUAAAGAUUUCUGGCAUCAGUAGAAUGUACUUCCCUUGUGAGAUUAGGCGAAGACAUUAUAGACAUCACCUGCCAGUUGAUUAACAAAUUUCCUAAUAGAAAUGCAGCAAGUGUCGAAAACCAGGACUUUGGGCUUUUAUAAUGAGGUCCAGUGGGGUGUUUUUUGCAAGAAAGGUUGAGGCUUGAAAGCAGAUUUGAUAUCGAGGGGUGCAAUAACGUGAGAGUUGCACGCCUUUUGAAAACAAGCCCCGAAAGCUGAGGAAAAUUUGCCCCGGCAGUUUGAUCAGUAUUUUCUCUCUUUGGCAUUUUUCAUUGUAUUUUCCUCACUUUUUGCAUUUUUCUUUGAAAACUAAAUUUGCCCCAGUGUAGGGUUUUCUUUUUUUCUUUUUCUUUUUUUUUUUUUUCGAAACAAAUUUGCCCCAGUGUGGGGUUUGCAAUUCUCAAGGGUUAUCAAACGAAAUUUGUCAAUUCUAAUGGCUCAAAGGGAUGACUAGGGAUGAAAUGUUUUGAUUGGAAAAGAAGAUGGCCUGACUUUUGUUUCGCCCCUUGCAUAAUUUCCAAAAGAAAUUUGCAUAACCAAGAUAAAGAAUUUCUUACACAUGUCUGAGUUGAUAGGUUGAGAGAAUAUCUGUCUAUCCAUGAAUGCCCCGCCAGGUAAUACCUUUUGAACACCCAAUGAGCUUUGCCAAUUUGAAGCAAUUUUUGCCUUUGGCUUCAUCUUUCGUUAGCAAAAUCACUUUAGCACUUUGUUCCCUCCUUCAAAGGAUCGGUGGCGGACCUUUUUGUUAUGAACACAGGCCAUGGGUCUUGGCAACAUUUGGCCAUGGCACAUAGCAUUCAACUAUUUCUCAUCAAAUCAAUCGUUGAUGACGCUGCUUUAACUCAUCAGCUUCCAACCUGGCAGGAAAGGGAUUUUUCAAUGAAGAAUUUCUCAAUGAAGGGUUUUCUCAAUGAAGGCUUUCUCAAUGAAGGUUUUCUCAAUGAAGGUUUUCUCUCAAAGAAGAGGUUUUUCAAUGAAGGGCUUCAUCAGAUUCCAGAACAGUGAUAUUCAAAGGAUCAAAUAAUUUCAUCUUUGGCCAUCUAAAAGAAUUAAAAAAACUUCAUGACAAUGAUCAAAUAAACAAAUAAAACCAAUUGUGCAUUUCAUGAAACUCCAAAUCAAAGCGAAAACAAGACAAAACUCAAUUUGCAAAAGGCGCUUUCAUUAAGCUAUUCACACAUGCAAGAAAAAGUCUUUGUAAACUUUAGCAAAUGACAACCCCUAGAUUUAUCGAAAUUAUCUUCGAGGGGGAAGAUAGUCAGCCAUCCAACUUGUGCAAAGCUCCUUUAGGAUUUUCAAAUUUCGUCAUUGGAAGUGGAUGCCUCAAAGGUGUCCUUGUGUUUAGGAAAGGGAUUUGUACUUAUACUUGGUCCUUGUCCACCCUUUCCCUUUAGCACUAUUUCCUCAGCCUCGAUCAUGUCUUGGACUUUGUGCUUAAGUGCCCUGCAAUCGGCGGUUGAGUGGCCAGGUACUCCCGAAUGAUAGGCACAAAUAGCAUGUGGAUUGUACCCAGCAGGCAUGCCAUGAAGGUAAGUUGGAGGGGGAAUCACGCCUAUUUUGUUGGCAGCCUUCAAUUGCUCAUACAAUUGGUCCAAAUGCCUGCCUAGGUUGGCGAAGGUUCGGGUACGGCUUUGAUUGUAGGUUUCAGUGGGUCGGGGAUAGUUGUAGGUGGGUCUAUUUGGUAGGGAAAAUCUUUGGUGGUAAGGAGGCCGAGGACGAGCUUGUUGAAAGCUUGGUUGAGAUAUUUGGAAAAGGGUUGUAGGUGGGUUGGCAUAAUUUGGGCGAGGUCGAGGAUGAGUGAUAUUGGUGUGGUAAACAGGACGAGGAUUUGAGUAGUAGGGGUAAGGGUUUGAGUAGGUAGGGUAUUGUCGAGAUCUGGGUCUUGGGACAGGGUUUUGACUCCAGGUGAAGGUAGUUUCCCCCUCUUGCCUUUUGAAUUGUUGCUUCUUCCCAUUACCUCCUUGGCUUUGCAAAGCUUCCACUUGAGUUUUUAGGGCAGACACAUUAACAAUUUUUCCAGUCUUCACGAAAUCAUCAAAUUCCUCAAGCUUAUUAACAAUUGCGGCAAAUGAGCAUCCAGUCAUGCGAAAAAUUUCUUCAAAGUACGGCGGAUCAUGUGCCUUAAUGAAAGUACGUAUGAUUUCGUCUUCCGUCAUUGGUGGCUCGACUUUUGCAGCUAUUUUCCUCCACCUCUUGGCAUAAGUCUUGUGAUCUUCAGAUGGCUUCCUCUUUGUCCCUUCCAACGUGGUUCGUGUUGGAGCCAGCUCGCAAUUAUACUCGUACUGCUUUACAAACGCAUUGGACAGGUCCAGCCAGGUCUUUGCUUCUUCAGGUUUCAGCUUGGAGUACCAGUCGAGUGCAUCCCCCUCCAGACUUUCUGGGAAUAGCUUCAAAGGCAGAUUUUCAUCAUCUGUUGGCCUACCCAACUUGUUGGCGAACAGUCGGAGAUGUGUCUUGGGAUUGCCCGUCCCAUCAUACUUGUUAAACUUCGGAGUUUUGAACCCCUCAGGCAAUUGCACAUUCGGGAAAAGGCAAAGCUCAUCGUAAUCCAGGACUCCUUGCUUGUUCAACCCCUGACUCUUCCUUAUAAAUUCAUCAAAACGAUCAAGGCGCUUAAGCAACUUCAGAUCAACGGGAGCGGAAGAUUCCCCCAUUUCUGGCUUGGUUUGAAAAGUAUGGUCCGGCAGGAAUGGCUCAGCAGCAGGGUAAUAAAAGGUAUGUGGCUCAGGUGGUAUAUUUGAAGUGAUUUGGGGUUGUGGACCUCGCAUAUGAGUAAGAAAAAAUGAAGGAUGAGGAGGGUAAGUGUAUGGCAAAUUUGUGGUGGGAUAGGUGAAAGUUUCUUCGGGUGCAAUAGGGAAUGAUGGAGUAACAGUGGCGUGGGCCGAAGGUAGGACAAAUGUCUCUUGCUCAGGCUGUCUGGCGGGUACAGGUUCAGGUUGAACUCCGCUGCUAAUUAGCUCAUCAUCCAACUUCCUUUGAGCGGCCAUCUCAGACGCCAUCUCUCCGAAUUUGGUAAGCAUCUCAGUCAACUGAAUCCCCAAACUUACAGUCUCGGGUUGAGCGGUAGUAGCAGACCUAUCUGACUGUUCUGGUUGUGAACUCAUGUUUUCACGACUCCUCUAGGCUUGACUACGGGAUCGUGGUAUGAUGGGGUUUUGACGAAAAGCUAAGUUUAAAUAUUACCUGAAAAUUUUUGAAAAAUUGCCUUUAGAUUUAACUUUCGCUUAGUUAUUUCAAGAAAAUAAAGAAAAGGAAAAGAAAAAGACAAGAGUUAGUAAAUAUCUAAAAAAAUCGGAUGUAUGUCCUACGGGGGAGCCCUUUUUGUGCCAAGGGUAGGCCUAGCAUGAAAAUGCAAUCCACUGAGGUAGGCACUAUACCAUACCUGAUGGAUCUGAUCAACUCAUUGAGUGAAUAAUAAUUUUUUUUUGAAAAAUUUGGUCAAUUGGAGUGACGAGAGACACUUGUCAAAACGAGGACCUCGUCCGAAGGGAUUGAUCACUUUUGAUUGAUACAAGAAUUUGCAAAAACGCACAGGUUUGACUUUGACGAACUUCCUAUCGAAGAGAUUGGAAUUUGUUGACAAAUUUCUCAGUGAAGCACGGGUCAAAACUCCAACUGAUCAAAUGCAAAGGAUGGUUUUCUCAAAAUCGACUAAGUUUCCAUAUUUGAAUUUCGACAUUGAAACCUUAAUUGGUCAAAUGAAAUUGACCAUUUAUUUAAAAUCGACCGGAUUACCCUAAAAAGGGAAACGAGUCAAAUGAAUUGAGUGAAAUUUAGAAACUUACUCAAAAUUGACCGGAUUAUCCUAAAAAGGGAACUUGGUCAAAUGAAUUAAAUGAAAUCGAGAAUUUAUUCAAAAUUGACCGGAUCGCCCUAAAAGGGUAAACUGGUCAAAUGAAUCGGACGAAAUUAAUGAUUUACUCGAAAUCGAUAAGAUCGCCCUAAGAAUGGAAAAAUUGGUGAUUUAUUCAGAAAAUCGACUAGAUUGCCCUAAAAAUGGGUGAAUUGGCCAAAUGAAAUGAAAUGAAGAUUUAUUCAAAAAUCGACCAGAUGACCCUAAAAAGGGUAAAUUGGUCAAAUGAAUUAAUGAAUUUGAUUUUAUUCAGAAAAAUCGACCGAAUGACCCUAAAAAGGGUAAAUUGGUCAAAAUAAAUGAAUGAAAUUGAUUUAUUCCAAAAUCGACCAAAUGACCCGAGAAGGGUAAAUUGGUCAAACGAAAUGAAUGAAAUUGAUUUAUUCAAAAAUUGACCAAACGACCCUAAAAAGGGUAAAUUGGUCAAAUGAAAUUGAUUUAUUCAAAAGUAGACCGAAUGACCCUAAAAAGGGUAAAUUGGUAAAAUGAUGGUUCAUUCAAAAUUAAUCGACAAAACGGAUCGACUGAAUCGUUCGGCCAUUGGUGGUUUCAAAAAAAAAUUAGUCUAUGAGCCUUCUAAAAUCACGAUUUGGCCUCAAUUUAUUUAUCGUCUCAAUAGGAGGAAUCAUUUGUGAAUUUCUUCAAAUUAAUGUCCUUUUAUGCAAGGGAUUUUUACCAAAAAUGGCCAAAAAGUGAUUAUUAGACGCUCAUAUUCCAAAGAUCACUCUAUGAAAAUGAUCGGAUCCUACCUUACCUUGUGCACUACCCCUUUGGAUGGUACAAAAUGUAAACGUGCAAGUCUCGUUGGAUUAAGUAUCCGAGACACAAGACGGCUUAUUCCUAACACGGGAUCCCCUAAAUGGCAUUCCCUUUCUAGGGUUUAGUGCAUGAUGCCAAUUAUUAAAGCAGGAAAAAAAUGCAAUUUGAAAUGAAACGUGACCUAAGGGACCCUUUAUCUGCCAGGGUAAGCCUAAAAAUGACAUGCAAUCAUGCAAUAUACCAAAAUCUUUAAACGUGCAAUAGCCUGUCUACAAAGGUAGGUUCUAAAAGAAAGUCAUGCCAGACCUUUUAUCUCUUAAUGUUUGUGAAUGCAAAAGACAAAAGACAAGGAAACGUGAGCUCAACACAUAAUCACAUAACACAUUUGGACAAUUAGAUAAUAUAAAAGGCAAUAAAGAUAAAUAAGGAAAGAGGGUUGGGACCCCUCCCCUCGUGAAUAGUGUCCCUAAUUCAGGAUAAGGCUGACUCUACCCUAGGCAAUUCUAAUAUGGAUGCAUGAGGCUUGGCUUACUAAUGCAUCUAAACUCGAUAGGUCAUAGGCCCCCGAGCCUUCAGACAUCAAUCCCAAGGUACUUCGUCGGUGGCUCGAGCGAUUCCCCAAACACCGCUACGCACACAUCGUGUCACGGCUACGUGUUUGAGUGAAUCUAUCAAAAUCCCCAACCUUCGACUAAAAGCUAAAGGCUAUCAACCAAUAGCUUUAAGCGGAAGAUUGAGUGACCCAUUGGAACAUGCUACACACACAUCGUGUCGUGAUCACAUGUCCAAGUGAGUCACCUAAUCCUAAUAGGGUGGAGUGGCGUGACAAGCCACUAAAGAAAAAUAAAAGGGAUAAAAGAAGUAAAGCGUAUGCUCGUAUGCUAGUGCUCGUUUGGAGGGGAAGGGUCAAGAACCAACGCGAGACUCUAGGGUGACCCAUACCUCCCAAAAUGCAAUGCAAGCGCGAGAUAACAAGUAAACAUUCAUUCAAACAUACAUUCAUGAGUCGAGGGAUUAGCUGGACACGCGUGAAAUGCAAAAUCCUAAAAAAGGAAAAAAUGCAACCCUAAAACACCCAAAUGUGAUAUAUGAAAAGGUUAAAAGAAGAAAAAGGUUGAUUAAAUCAAAUUUGCUCGGACUCUCGAAAGUCCCCAGUGGAGUCGCCAACUGUCGCGCCCCAUUUUUUGAUAAAAUAAAAUUUGGUUUAAAAAUGUAUUUUGAUUUAAUUUAUGAUUGAAAAAUGAAUUGUGAUUUAAAAGAAAAAUGGGUCUAAAUGGGGGUUUGAAAAUGCGACGAUUUGACCCAAAAUUAUAGUUUAAAAAGGGUUUUUGAAAAAAAUGGGAGUCGCCACUUGGUAAUGAGUUAAGGUGUACCAAGUCACCUAAAAAUGGAUUUUUUAGGAAAAAGUUGUAAGAAACCCCUUUUAAACGACUCCUAAUCCACGUAAACCAAAAAAAAGGUUCGGGAGUCCAUUUGACGAAGGGGAAGGCAAGGAUAAAAAUCCAAGGCACCCCUUCGACCUAGCCAAGGCUAGUUGCGUGAUUUAAUCAAAGUUUUUCUUAUUUUAACCAAAGAAUUUAUUACAUUUGGAUGCACUACAUGAAUGCAAAAGGAAAGAAAAAAUGCAAACCUAAAUUCUAAAAUGUCUCUUGUAAGGUUUUUGGUCCCAACCACAUGAAUUGUGGCGGCCAAUAAAGGAAAACCUUAUAGAGGUCGAUUAAUGCAAAUGAUGGCUAAAGUGCAAGUGUGCAAGUGUAUAAAAAGGUGCACGUGUGAAAUUGUAUGAAAAGUCCAAGUGUUUGUGUGCAAGUGUAUGAAAUAUAGUGAUAAGUGCAUAUAGGUGUAAUUAAGUGCAAUUUUGUGAAGUAGAAAUCAAAAUGAACAAUAAGGAAAGGAAAAGUGAUGAGGAAAUGUGAAUUGAAAAAAAUGAGUAAGUGAUAAAUGAGAAUGAAUGAACCUAAAGGAAUGCAUCAGGUCGGGUGUGGGAAUGACUCCUAACUUUUUCGACUUCGAUUUUCCCUUUGAUUAGAAGGCAAAACUAGCGUGCUAAGGCUAUCGAGUAGCCACACUCGCUCGUUUCCCUUAUCGGAAGGGGACACUAAAGCAAAAUGAGCCCUAUAGCUAGUAUGGGAUGCAAAACCUAAAAUGAGAGGAAAAGGGGUUUGAGGAUCAUGCCAAAUGAUAAAACUAAGGAAAAUGCGUGAUAUGUGGUGAACAAGCAAAUGAUGUACUAUCGAGGGAAAAUCCCUAAGGGUCUAGCGUUGGACUAACCCAUUCUAUGAAUUCCGACUAGCGUUGGACUAGUGGAAACGAUAAAAGAAGCCACAACUAGCGUUGGACUAGUGUGAUGACGUACAUUCAUCCAUUCCAUUCAUCCACACUAUAAAAAGCGAGUAGACAUGCGAAUCACUUAUAAACACGUAGCACAUAACACUUAGCAUGCUUGACUAGAUGCAAGGACCUAAUAAAGCGAUUAAACACUUAACACGUAGGCAUGCAACCAAACUAAUGAACCUAUUACAUUCACUAACUAAAACAAAAGGGGAAGGGGAAAAUAGACCAAAUUGCUCGCCACAGCCCUAUCUAUUACAAGCCAAGAGGUGUACACAUACCCCAUUAAAAGAAUAACUUAAUGAAAACAAAAAGUAAAUGACAUAAGUAAAAGGAAUUAAAGAAAAACUAGAAAAGCAAAGUAGACAUGCAAUUCACUUAGCACGUUGAGUCACAUGAGAGAAACAAAAAAAGAUAAAAGAAGUUAUACCUCCCUUAAGUUGAUGCCUUAAAUGGAGUGAAAUCACUUAUUCAUCCUCCAAAAUAAAAGAAAUAUCAAGGUACCACUUUAAAUAAAAGAUAAUCACAAAAGAUAAAAAUAAACAGGAAAUUGAAUCAAUUAAAUCAUAUAAUCAACCCACAUUCAAGAAGUCAAAAGAAAAAGAGACUUGAUUGCAAACAUUACCAAAGUUUUGGGGUCAAAAUUAAAGAAAAAUAAAGUACAGGGGCCUAUUCGCAAUUAAAUUAGGGACCCAAUUGAAAAAGGUUGAAAAUGUCCAGGGCCACAGUACAGUUAAGGAGAAAUUCAGGGACUGAUUUGCAACUUUGGUUUCUGGUUGCUAAUGGGUCAGGCCAGUAGGCCAGUUUUGCAUCUUAUUUGGGCCAGAACCUUCCCUAGCCCAAUCGAAAUUCAGACCAAAAGGAAUGGACCAAUCUAUCAUUUAAAACCCCAAAAUUAAGUAACAAGACCGGUGGGCUUUUACCCUUUAGCCCAAACCAAAACCCAAAAUAAUAAACUAAAACCAUUUUUAAAACCCAAUCAAAAACAACUUCUUAGCCCAAAUCCCCUAUUUCACUAAAACCCAACAUGAUAAAAUCUACAAAAAAAUUAUUAAGCCACCAUUAUGACCUAAAAAUCAAGCAUUAAUCUAUCCAAAAAGUCUCAUAGAAUUAUGCAAACGCAAGAUUAAACUUAAAAGGAUGAAAUCAGUCUAAUUUUUCCAGAUUUAGGCCAUAUCAGAAUAAGGGGGAAAUUUGGGGUUCAAUCACAACAAAAUAGGGACUUAAUUGAAUAAAAUUUGGAAGUCAUGCAGGCUUUAAUGUGAUUUCACCAAAGGUCCAGGGCCAAUUGCAAAAUUUUCAGAAACUUAUUCAUUCAGGCUUCACAGAAACAUUUCUUCUUCUUAUGCAAAUGAACGUGAGAACGUUUCUGCAACUUCUGAUGCUUCAAAAUCCAUUAAUUUCACGCGGCAAAACACACUACAUCAUCCGACACCAAAAACAUUGAAAAUGACAAGAAUUGAUUCCAAAAUUCCUUUAUUUCUUUUCCUUUCCCCAAUUAACAAACGGGCAGAUUCUAGCUAACUUUGGACCGGCUGGCAUUCCUCUCUCACGGAUAUAGAAGAACACCCAAAAUCUUUCCUUUUUUGAUUCAAGACUUUGGUUUGGGCAUUUUAGCAAACAAUACAUGAGCAUAAAAAUUUUUAGCAAAUCUGUGAGCAAUCAAGAUAGCAACCAACCCCAAAAUUAUUUAAGAACAAAGAACUUCAACUCCAAUCAUCAUACGCAGUAUGUAUAUUCAAAAAAUUGAGGCCAAGUAGCAGAAAAAUUACACUAGAGCAAGCCACGGCGGUUACAUUUAAAAAAAACUGGACAAGAACUUGAGAAAUUUGGAGAGAAACGAAACUUACAGUGCCUCUAUUCAGUGAAAAUUCGCGGAUGGAGAUGGGAAAUUCUGGAGCUAAUGGCCAGUGGCGAUUCCUUUCCUCCUCCCCUGCUUUUCCUUCAGCCGUAGCCAUCACUCUCGCUCCCUCAUUUUGCCUGCAGCUUCCGUCCGAGGCUCCCUCUUUUCCUUCUAACUCAGCUUUUUUCAGUUUUUCCGUAGCUAUCUCAUGCCGCCGCCCCUCUAUUUCUCUUUCCCUCUUGCUCUUGGUUGGUUUGCCGAAUGCAGCUCACUCUCUCCUAUCUCAGUCGAUGAUCACGAGGUAAAAGAUUUGGUUGUGGUUAGGAAUCUGAUAGUGGAAUCAAUGAAGUAGGUGCCGUGGUUAUGGAGAUGUUUGAAUGUAGAGGUCGGUUGAGUGUUGAGUUGGUAUUGAAUUUUGAUUGGCUGCAUUGUGCGGUGCUGAAGCUGCUGUCCCGGGAGUUAUUUGUGCAGAGCAGAAAGGAAGUUUCGGUUUAUGGUUUGUGCAGAGCAGAAAGGAAGUUGCGGUUUUUUUUUUUUUAAAAAAAAAAAAUUUAAUUAAUUAGUUAAUUAAACAACAAAAAUGAUAAUAAUAAAACAAUAAUAAUUAAUGAUGAAAAUAACUUAAUUAACAUUAGAUAAAAAUAAAUUAAAAACAACAACAAAAAAAAACAAAUUUCCAUUUUUCAUUUUCAUUUUUUCCUUUUCUUUUGUUUUUCGAAAUAACCUAACCAAAAAAAUAAAUAAAGUCAAAAGAUUGAAUUUAAAAAGAAAUAAACAUAUUUUGUGAACAAUUUUCUUCCCUUUCCUUUUUUUUUCCAAGACAAAAAUUGAAUUUUAAAACAACUAAAACAUAUUUUCUUUUUUUCUUUUUUUUUUAAAAUUCUACAUUAAAACGACUAAAAAAAUAAAACAAGUAAACGACUAAAGAAAAUAAAAAGAAUAACUAAGAUAAACUAGCAUGAACAAAAAUAAAUAAAUCGUACCAAAAUUUGGUGUCUACACUAUUCAUUGUAUGGAGUAAAGCUGCAACUCCAUAUGGAAGAGGAAGGUACAGGUCUGUUUGCAAGGAGAGAAUACUAUAUUAAUGCCUGGUGUUCUAGAAACUUGGAGUAUUUGGCUAUUGCUAUGAUUUCUUGGUUAUUACUACUUCCAAAAGUUGCUUGCAUGAACUUUAGGAAGCAAUGACGUUUUGGUAAUUGCAAGGUCAAGGUAAAUUGGUUAUUUCCAAAGUUGCUUGGCUGCCAUUGUUCUUGUAAGUCGCACCAAUGGACCUUGAGUAUAUUUUGGACAAUGCAAUUGGUUUUGGCAUUCCCAAGUUGCUGAAUAAUAAAAAAAAAAAAAAGAAAGAAGAAAUCAAAGUUAACUUCAAGCCUCGUUUCGGCAAUUGUCAAGCAAUGCCACACCAAGUCUUGAAGUGGGGGCAUUUGUAGACAAAGAAAAUUUAUUUAAUUUAUUUAGUCAAGAUUUAUUUAAAUUAAAUUGAUCUUGAUUAAAUUAAAUUAAAUGAUAAAAGUUCAUUAUGUUUUGAACUUGCAAAUUGGGCCAGUAUUAUAUGGGCUAUUAAAUCAAGUUAAAAUUGUAAUGCCCAUUUAAGUUGAAGUGAAUUAAUUGAUUUAUUAAUUCACAAUGUACUAUUUGGGUUGGCCCAUUAUUUAAGCCCAAGUUAAAUGGAUUUCUUGAGUUACAAAUUACCCAAAAUGCAGGAAGAUUUCUGGAGGGUUUUCUUGAAGAUUUAGCCUACAUAUUUUGGCUAUAAAUAGAGGUCUUUCCUUAAGGCAAAGACACGAAGAAAAAUUCCUAACUUUCGGAGAAACUCUGUCAAAUUUUCUCAAGAGCUUUCUUCCUCAAAUCCAAGUCCAAUUCAAAUCAAACAAAUCCUCUUGCUAUCGGUGUUGAAGACUUGAAGUUCCAAGUGUUUGACGUCAUCAUCAAAUCAAUUGUUUUCUACGCCAAAAUUGUAAGAAACACCAUUUCGAUUGGAGAACAAGUCUUUUCGGACCUUCAAUUGAAGUUAUUCGAAGAAAAGAAUCAGGGGAUUAAUUUCUUUGAUUCAAGAACUUUCAGAGAUUGUAACCCGCUUAUUAUUUGAUUUAAUCAAUUUGAUAUUUGUGCAAGUUUUCUUGUCUUUUAUUUUAGGUAAUAAAAUUUGUGCUUACAAAUUCUAAAUGAGUUAAUUGGUUUUGAUGGGUUACCCAAUAAUAGUAUUAUUGGGUAACCCAUUUAUAUUCAUUUACAAAAAUUUAAAAUACCCAUACCCAUCUAUUCAUAGACGGAUAUGGAUAAAUUUAAUUACGUGGAUUGAUUUACCACCUAUAGCUCUAACCUGCCAGGGCUGUUUCCCAGACACCCAACCCAAUAUAGCCAGGCAGCCAACUACUUCCUCUUUAGAACCACAUGACCAUUUGGAUUUCUCUUUGUAGAAGAAUUGCUGAAGUGAAUGGAUCAAACCCAUUUCUCACUUUCCCAUCCUCAUUCAAAAUAGCUUUCUUUGACUCCUACUAUUCUCAACUUUUUUAUUGGAGAAAUCACUAGUAGUUGUACACACUAUGCCUACAAAUGGAUAAACCUGAUGAAAUCUUGUUCUAAUUCGAACCAAGAACCCGUAUACCGUAUAAUUCUUGAAAGGAAUAGUCUGCGGGUGCUGAAAAUGAUAAUGAAGAAGAGCCCAAUAUUCUACAAAUGGCUUUCAAUUUCACUGAAGAUGAAGAAGUGAACGGAUUGUUGACUUUCUUCAUGAUUCCCUUGAUUUUAUCCUUGAAAUCAUCCAUCUUUCAAAACCCACUUCCCUAAAUAGAGAAAGCUAUUGACCUCAAGUCAGUGUGAGAGAUGCUUGUGUUAUAUUGGGUAAGUAUUGGAUAUCCUGCCUAUUUUGCCUUUAUUAUUUCGGACACGGGAUGAGCCCGUUAUAUUUUCAGGCAAAAAAUUUGAAUAGAAACGUGUUAGGGACUAAAAUUUGCUGAAAUAUGUUUUUCAAUUGUGAAUGACUAAAAUGCUUCAUUUUGAAUGUGAGGAACUAAACAAUUACAAAUGCAAAAUGUGAGGGGCCAUUAAUGUGGUUUUUUAAUUUAAUAUAAUGGAGGGAUACCAUUUGUAUUACAGAUGCUUUGGAUAAUAUGGACUUUAAAUCUCUUUUGGAAUAAUGAAAGGAAAAAUCACACCAUCAUCCCUCACAUAUUGAUGAUAUUAAAUUUUUGUCCCUCUAAAUUAAAAGGGAUAAUUCCACAAACCUCCCCUGAGGUUUUUAACAAUUAUAGAGAGCUCCCUUAAAUUUUAAAAAUUACAUAUACCUCCUCUAAUUUUACUGUUUAGUAACAAUGUAGGUCCAAAAACCUAAAUUUUCUCUCAAAAAUCUUAAAUUGCCCUUUUGUACAAAAUUAAGAAAGAAAAAUAUAGUAUAUUCAAUCAUUUUCUUCCACACUUUGUAUAAAUCAACAAGCCUAAUCUCUAACAAUCUUCCAAACAUAAGUUCUAAAACCAAAUAACUGUUCAAAAAAUCCCAAAUUGCAUAUAUAAUAUCAAUGCUUGUCAUAAAAAAAACAUACAUACACACAAACCCUAUUGAUAACCAAUUUUAUACCCCAAAUUAAAUAUCAGUGCUCAAAUAUUUUUUCAAUACAAGUUAAUCUGAACUAAAAUCACUAUUACAACCCUCUUAUGGUCUUAAAAAUAUUAAUAUCUUAAAAGUAGCGAAUAAAUUCUACCCCCAUAAUAAAAUCAUAAUAAAAAAUUUAUAAUCUAAUGAAAGAAAUCCUUAUGUAAUUAUUGACAUUUUAUAAAAGAAUUUUUUACAAAAAAAAAACAAAAUAUGAAAAAUUUCACACCUUUAGUUUUUUUUUUCUAUUUCAAUCGUCAAUUUCAUUAUUUAUUUCUUUAUCACUGCAAGUCUCUUCAUUUGCUUUUAGUUUGACAUAUAAUCUACUCCCUCUAUUAAUUUUGUAAUUUGAAUUUGCUAAUAUCCAUAAAAUUGAAAAUAAUAAAAAUAAGUUAUAAUAAUUAGAAAAGAGAGGAGCAAAAAUAGACAAGAAAUAGAAAAAUAAUUUUUUUUAGGUUUUGAAAAUCUAUUGCUUUCAAUUUAAAAUUUUUUACCAAGUGGAGGGCAUUACUAGUAAUUUACUAUGUCAAGAAAGGUAAGUGUAAUUUCUUAAAUCUAAGGGGAGCCGAGUGAAAUUGUUAGAAACCUCAAAGGAGGUUUCCGAAAUUAUCCCCAAUUAAAGUGAGUGAUUUUAGUAUUUUACCUUCUAACAAAUUAAAAAAGCCAAUUUUUAGUUUUGGUCACAUUUCAAACCAAAUUUUGAUUGGAAUAAGUUAGGUAUACAUCACCAGAUUAAUAAUUAAAUGGCAAAUCUAGAAACUGACUUAGCAAGCCACGCAGUAGGCCAAAUUGCUAGCAAUGGUCGAUAGGGCUAUUCUUUCCUUUCCCUUUCCAAGCCUCUCGAAGAACAGAAAGGUAGUCACUGUAGAAUAGUAACCAAACAAGCUGCAGGCGCUGGUUGGCUCAGGAACCUUUAAAUCCAUCUUCUCCAAUCAGGCGUGGGAGAUACUUUAGUGUGUCAGGAAUCAGGACCACCCGCAUGUUGUAAUCUUUCACGUUGAUGAUUUCAAUGGACUUGGGAGCUAUGCCAAAAAAUAAGGUUCAUCAGUAAUGAUUUCAUUUCACUUGAGAGCUGCGACAAAUAUUAUGAGCUAUGCUAUAAAUUCCAUUCUAAUGUUUGCUCUCAAAUGAAUGAGCUUCAGGCCUUUCUUAUCUCUCUUCUUCUUUUUUGUCUUGUUUACUUCUGUAGUUUAUUUGGGUACGAAAUGAGCCAAAUAAGAGGAUACACAAUAGGGUCUAGUUUCCCUCUUUAAGGGCGGUGCAUUAAUUGGACUUGUGCUCUUUCAUCAAGGUACUAGUGCACAUUUUGUUGUUCAAGAUGUGUAUGCAUACUUUUCAUGUAAAAGUAUUGGCGGACAUAGAAAUGAUGGGAUGAGUGGUGGCGGAAAAAGGGCGAGGAAGAAGCAGAUGGUGGGGAAGGAAGGGAAGGACAGAGGGAGACGGGGAAGGGAUGCCGGGGGAGAAGUGAGAGGGGUCAGCGGUGGUGGUGGUGGAAAGGGGAAUGGUGGAGGAGCAUGGUUGUGGAAGAGGGAACGGGGUGGUUAUGUUUUUGGAUUUGCAGGGUUAAGAGUUUGGGCAGAGGAGGAUUGGAAAAAAUGGUGGCUUCAGUGCGCAAUUGGAUCAAUAAUAGGCGAGUUUACAAAUUAUUUUCCCUUCAACUAUUGACCACUGAUAUAUGUGUAAUAUAUUCCGGCUAAAAUUUGGUUAGAAAGGUAUCUAGAGAUUAAAAUUGAGUAGAUAUACAUUGACCAGUUCUUCAACUGGUAUGAUGCAUCAAAAUUCUUUAGACAAAAACAAUAAAUGUUUGAAAAGGACGUCCUCUUCAACUUGCAAGAGAUUAAAUUGAGGGAUAAUUCAAAAGUCUCCCUCAACGUGUUUUGGCAAUUCCAAGAAAGCUCCCUUCCAAAUUUUAAUAUUUUACAUACCUUCCUUCGAUAUGCAAAAGUACUGCUCUUAUAACCCCAUUAUAUUUACACGCAUAUUUCCCACAAAAGGAAAUGAAAAUCAUCAUCCUUACACCAAAUUGUUAAAUUUUUCCUCAUCUCUCUUUUCCUUUUUCUUUUCUCCAUCCCUUGAAAUCUUGGUGUUCGUUCACUUUCACACCUACAAGUGCCCAGUGUUUGUUACCUUUCCUGCACCCUUCCCCUUUCCUUGCGGCCCUCCACCUUCUUCCUUCCCCUCCAUCUUCGUAAAUAUACUAAGAUAAUUUGGUUUUCUCUUUUUCUUUUAGUGAGUUCACAGGUAUGAUAGAAAUAAAAAUAAUUGUCAUAUCUGUAUAUACUUCAGUCACAUAAUCAUGGUUGAUUUGUUAAUUGUUCUUUUGCGUGAAAUUGGCUAUAUUAUUUCUAUUAUCAAGUUGCGUUGAAGAGUCUACUGGACCAAAAUCAGCUAAUUACAGCAAAUUUGAAGAUAUAUAAAAAUGUGACAUAAGUAGCUUGCUUUUCUAAGGCUUCCUGCUUUUUUUUGGCCUUUUCCUACAAGUUAAAACCUAGGAUACUUUUCAACAUUCAACAGUCUUUUUCUAUCCUUUCAUUUUUUCCCCGGUUGUUGUCUUUACUUUGGAAAAUAAUUGGAGUAAGAAUUUGUCUACACACUUACAAAUAAUAAAAAAUAAAAAGAAUUUGUUUACACACUUUUGAAUGCCUAUUCUUUGUCUAUCCUAUUCAUUUUUCAUUUGUGCAUUUCAAGCAUGUUAAUUGUUUAAUCUUCUUAUGCCAACUGGUUAUUAAGUUAUCCUUAAUGGUGUAACAAUGUUUUGGGCAAAUAACAUGUUGGGAAAAAAAAUCUAAGUCCAUAAUGACAACAACUACUCAAACAAUUAUACUUGAAUUUAAGCACCCUUAUCCUUCCAAAUUUUUAAACCCUCUAUACGAACUUUAUAUUAAAUCACCCUUACUAAACCUAACAUUUAUGGAGGCAAAGGCAAAGUUCAUAGUGAAAAUGCUUAAUAUUCCUGCUCCCCUACUUUUGUCUUUUAUACCAAUCCUAUAUUUACUAUCGCCAUUUGAAAAAAAAAAAAACUCAUGCUAAAAGCAUUGGGAAAAAAUAAACUAUAUAAGAUUUGGCAAUUCUAGUUAUUAUUAAUUCCCUAAACACCCCUUUCCUCGAUUUUUAGUCUUCCUAUGUUAACCUCUUAUUAAAUUAUCCUCAUCAUUCUAACCAUUAUAUAUGCAGAAAAAAAAAGAAGAUAAUAAAUCUAAAUCUACAAAAAAAGGUUAAUCUAAUAAUUGUUGAAUGCUAACAUCUCUCUUGGCCACAUUCUUAGUCUCAUACGCCAAUCCUUAAUUAAGUUUCUUUUGUUAUUCUAACAAUCAUGUAAGGAAAACAAAAAUUGUAGAUAAAGCCAAAAAUAGGAAAAAUUACUAUUCUACCAAUUAUUGUUGCAUUUAACACUCUCUUCCAAUCUUUUUUAGUCCUCCCUUGCAAAUAUAUGUAAGAAGGGUUUUUCUAAUGAAUGCCUUGAGAACACUUUUUAACACACCUAACAUUCAUCUAAUCUACCAUAUAUAUACACAUACUAAAAAUCAUUAUCCUUUCUUGCAUUUAUAUACUUUUGCUAAUUAAUCUUGUCUACCUUCUCUUGUAUUUAUUUAUUUUUCCUAAUUAAUCUUAUAUUUCCAAAAUUAUGAUACCCGAAAUAUAUCUUAACGAGAGUCUUAUGAGUACCCGUUAGAUAGACCCAUGUAAGAAAUCAAUGUGGUAAAAAAUUCAAGAUAGGACAAGGCAAAAGGGUGACGUUGGAACAAAUACAUCUAUCUCUUUAAAUGAUUAUUUUAAGAAUAUUUUAUAAUUUAGGGGUGAGUUUGUUACAAAAUAUAUGGUUGUAGGGGAAGUUAGUGAUAUUUUUAACAUUUCAAGAGUGUUAAGUGAUAUUAGACAAAACCUCAAGGGAGGUUUCCAAGAUUAUCCCUAUAUAUGUAGCUAAAAUUUGUAUAUCUAAUGAUGAUGCUAAUUGCCAGAAUGUUUGACAUAGACAAUUUUUGUAGCGGUAUACAUUUGCCUUACCCUCAAAAGUGUUUAUGGAUUCUAUUGACUUGUUCUUCAACUAGUAUGAUGCAUCAAAGUUUUUAAGAAAGAAAAAUUUUAAAAAAGGGUGUCGUCUUUGACUUGCAAGAGAUUAAAUCGAGGAUAAUUUCAGAAGCCUCUCUUAAAGUGUUUUGACAAUUUCAAGAGUCCCCCUUAUAAUAUUUAAUAUUAUACAUACCUACCAUCAAUGUGCAAAAGUACUCUUAUACCCCCAUUAUAUUUGCACACAUAUUUCCAACAAAUGAAAAUGAAAAUAAAAAUGAAAUCAUCGCCCUUACGCCACUCGUUCCUUUACUCUCACGACCAAAUUCGCCCUAUUUCUCUUCCCCCUUUUCUCUUCCCCAUCCCUUAUCCAACACCCCCUUGAAAUCUUGGUGUUUACUUCUUCGCAUCUACAUGUAGUCAGUGUACGCUACCUUUCCUACUCCUUUCCCCUCUCCUUGUGGCCCGCCACCUUCAUUCCUCCCCCACACCUUAGUUAAUAUACUUGGAUAAUUUGAUUUUUUUCUUUUUCUUUUUAUGAGUUGAUGAGCUGAUAGAUUUGGAUAUACUUGUCUCACAAUCAUUGUUGCAAGAUUAGUCGUUCAUUUUGUUGAAUUGGCUAUAUUAUUUGUAUUAUCAAGUGGUGUUGAAGACUAUUGACCAAAGCCUGCUAAUUAAUUAAGCAAAUUUCUAGAUAUAUACAAAUGUGAUGUAAGUAGCUUGUUUUUCUAAGCAUUCCUGUGCAUCUACAAGUGGCGUGCCUUGUCUGAGGUUGAGUUUAGGGACCAUUUGACCAUUUCAAACGGCAAACAAAUGAAGUUAUGAGAUGAUAAUGCACAGACAACUAAUCCAUAUUCGACCACAUAUUCUUCUUGAAGCCAAAUACUAUUAGGUGGCGUUUGGCACAGGGUAUGGGGAAUCAGGAUUUGAAAUCAUAUCCACUCUUGUUGUCUGGAUAAUGGAUAUGGGACUUGAAAUUUUGUAAUGAUUUUCAAAAAUCUGGCACCUCUCAGUUCUGAGUAAUUUAAGAGGUUUUGUUAAUUCCUCCAUUUGAUUCCAAAAUAGAUUUUCUUAAACAUUUCUUUCAUCGAAUCUGCUCCCCCUUCUCUACCCAUAUCUCCUCCUCUUCCCCACCAAUAUAUCACCUUCCCCAUCACUAUCGGCCACUUGCUGUCCAGUAGCCCACCACUCCAAAUCCACUCUCUACCACUCCCGUCACCCCAAUCCCACUCACCUCAGCCACCCUUAUCUUUUUGCCACCCUCGACCCGUCCAACCCAUCAGUCCCCAGUUUCACUGAGCCUGCCAGUCAACCCCUUUGCCCCACCUCCCCUACGGCUGAUGUAUCCCUUCCACCUUCCACAUAGUAGAGGCAAAUAUCUUAAUUGCCUUUGUUCUUGGGUGGUCUAGGAAUUUUGGAAGUAGUGGUUGAGAACUGCCAGUCUAGAAACAUGCAGACGGAAUUUCCAGCGGAGAUCCAUUCCUCACUGUUGGUAAUGGAAAUUUAUUGAAAAAAAAUGAAAUAAUGUUAUUUGAAAUCCAUUCCUCACUGUUAUGCACCAAACAUCGGUGAUCGUAAUCAUCCCUCUAACCAAAACCCAUGCUGAUUUUUCAUUUAUGAUUCCAAAUCCAAUUGCAAUUCCAAAGCUUGAACCAAACACGUAGUUAAGAUUAGUGUGGCCCCAAACUCAGUGGUCCUCGCUUUCAUUUCAAACUUAGCAUUAUCCUCACUUCUCAUCUUUCAUUGUUUGAUCUAUUAUUAUAUAGAUGUCGUACUAUAUGAUGCCCGCAUUAAAGUCUUGGUACUUUCUUCAAAGUCACAAAUUAAGCAUAGUCACAGUAUUCGGUAGUAUAACAGCAUCAGAAAAAUUAAUUUGCUAGAUGUUUUGUUGAUUUCUUGAAAUUUCUGUUUGGCAUACACAGUCACAUACAUGCUGCCUUAUUGACUUAUGAAACAAAGCUUAAUAAUUCCGAGUUUCCAUACUUUUUUAUAUGGGGAAAAAAAAAGAAAACUGGUGCAAAGUCUCUGUCAUAAUUGGAGAUAAUGAUGAAAAACAUAUGGGAUGGGCUACAUCUAUACCCCUAUAACCUAAAUCCACACCUCUAAUGCAUUAAUAACUUGUAUUAAGAGCAUGAUAAUUUGUACUAGUAGCAUUAAAAGUUAUAUCAUAUUUGAAUUUAGACCGCAGAGGUGAACCAACAUAAUAAUACCCAAAAGGCCUUUGUUUGGAAAGCCAUUUUCCUAGAAACUACCAAGUGUUAACCCAUGCACAGCACCGGGGAGUAUAGUCAGUACAUUUCAUUUGAGGAGAAAAAAUGUAAUUAGUCCAGUUGAUUUGAUUGGUUAAUUAAGAGUGAGAAGUCCUGAGGUGAUUUUUUAUUUACCACAAUGCAUUAGUAUCUUUGAUUGCGUAAAAGAUAUCUCACUUUUAUUUUAAUACAGCUUUAGUGACGGUCACAUUUUCUUAUCUUUAUGUCAGAGUGCCGAAUUGGUAGUGCAAGGGAGAAACCGAAUGCAAUAAACUCAACAUUCUUUAAAAUCAGCAGAGAAUUCCAAUAAUAACCAGCACCCCUAAUUUUGAGUAAUAGAGUGUGAUCACAGACCCUACUUCGGGGAAGCAAAAAUGUUAUUAACUCUUAUUAAAACUAGUAAUAAAAGAUCACAAAUUCAAGACCAAGCAAGUUGAAAAUGACUUCUUUUACACAAGCGCGUGCGGACACACACAUACACACACAUAUAUAUAUAUGAAUUUGCCACUUUUGUGCGAAAUUUGAGAGCUUUUUUAAAUAUUCUUGAUUGCAUUGAGUGGUCACGCAAUUUGUGUUGUACAUGUAUAUGUAGCAAGUGCACAAAUAUUUUUGACGUCUAUCGACAUAUUUCCGGGGUUUACUAUAAAAGUCACAGCCAAGUUUGAAACUUCCAAGUUGUGAUACUAUCAUUAGUUUGAAAAGUCACAGGCAAGUUUGAAACUUCCAAGUUGGAUCGAUAACGCCAUUGGAAUAUCUAAUAUAAAUCCUGGACAGGAAAUCUAAGUUGUGAUAAGUUGGACAUCAAGGAUGGAGACAUGGGGCCGGGGACGCAUCCCCGAACUUUUGAAAACCUAUUUUUAUACUUCUUUAUUUAUAAAAUUAAUAAAAUUUUCCUAUUUCCACCCCCUUCCUCAAAUGUAAUUAAUAGUAAUCUUUUAUGUCCGGUCUUUACUUAACUUUCACAUAACAUACGAACCUCUAAUAUCCUAAAAACGGUAGUAUAUCAAUUAAAAUGCCAAUCUCUAGUCUCCAAGCUAAAUGAUAUAUAUUACGAUAUCACUUAAAAUAGAUAUAAUAUAUAUAAAAUGAAAAUACAACCGAAAUAAAAAAAUUAAAAUGUCAUUGAUAGUCAUUGUAACAGACACAACUCGCAAAAUGUCAUUGUGAGAAACACAAAAAGUUAGACCAUCUUGUGUUCAACUCUAUCUAUCAAUCUCCAAAUUCCAACUUUAAGUACACUAAGGCAAGUCCUAUCUUUAAGGUUUUUUUCUUUAGAAAUUCUUCUAUUAUUCUUUUCAAUCGUCAGUAAUUCUCUAUUUAAACAAUUAUUCUUAGCCAUAUAGUAUUAUUCUUCCUAACAACUAACUUUAAUGCAAUAUGGUUUAAGCGAUUUUUUUUAUGGUAUCUUACUUUAAUAUCAAAUCAAACUUGAUACUCUUGAAUUCUAAGAUAAUUUUUGUAAAAAGUAAAUCCAAUAAUACGUUUCGAUAUAGUGAAUGAUAAUAAAGUAAUAUUUUUCGUUGUAUAACACUCUCAUUAAUAAAGAGCAGAAUUGUAUUGAAUUUUAUUAUAAUUAUUUUGCUUCAGACUUAUCCUUUCACUAAAAUGCUAGUUAUGCUAUUUUGAAUUCAGAAUCACAAUUUGUGAUACUUUCGUUGUUACAUUCUUUUGUAUUUCAAGCUCUCUAUUAUUCACCCCCCGAAGCAAAAUUUUUGGCUCCGUCUGUGUCGGAUAUUCUUAUCACAUAUGGCAUCAUAAUUAUCUUCAACCGCCGACUAAAUCGUGCGGUCGAAACAUUUCCAUGCAUAGUUUAUCUCUCCAUCUUCGUGAAACAUGUCACGUAAAUUUCCCUAUAAAUAGAGACGAGAAUGCUCCAGCUUUCUCAUCCUUCUCAUUGUUCUCAACUCCAAUUCUUGAGUUCAUAAACCAAUUUGUGUGAGGAAAACAAAAAUGGGUUCCAAGGCAAUUCUCCUCCUAUGCCUUUUAGCAGCAGUUCUGAUGAUUGCCUCAGAGGUGACAGCCAGGGAUUUGGCCGAAAAUAGUAAGCUUUCUUUUUUUUUUUCUUAAGGUGGCCGAAAAUAGUUAGUAAUCCAUUCAAGAACUUACUCUUUCCUUUAUCAACAAUUUUAUACCUGCAAAACAUAGACGUUUUUGCACAACAUGAAUUCCUCAAGACGGUUUUUUUCCUUCAAAAAAAAAUGUACUAACUAAAUAGCUCUGCAUGAUCCCGUGACUAUUUGCAGCCAAUGCAGCAGAGAAGAGUACUGAAGGCCUGGAAGAAUCCAAGUACGGUGGUGGCGGCGGUUGUCAUGGAUACGGUUGUGGUGGUGGUGGCGGCGGUUGUCAUGGAUACGGUUGUGGUGGUGGUGGCGGCGGCCAUUGUUAUGGAGGCCAUUGUGGUGGCGGCGGCGGCGGCGGCCAUUGUUACCAUGGUUGCUGUGGCCACGGCUAUGGAGGCUGCAGAUGCUGCACAUAUGCUGGUGAGCCAAAGGACGCUGGUUACACUGAGCCAGAAACCAAACCGCAAAACUAAUAGCCAGGACGUAUGGAUCAUGGCGCUUAAAUGCCUUUGGUCCAAAUUAAGAGGCUUAAAAGUAAUAAAAUUAUGUAUUGUGUGAUAAGAAUAAGAGCUUUAUCAGUGGUAUCGAAUUCACCAUCAGGUGAAUCACUGCAAAUGAUGAUGUACUUUUCUCAACUUCAAUCAGGUGUAAAUGAAAUCUUAUGCGUGUUUCAAGUUUCAACAGCCAUUACUUCUGCAUGGAUUCACAAAUAUACUCACAUGCUUCGUUGUCUAAAUCUAAAUUAUACCCAAAUAAUUCAAGAAUAUUUGCUGAGAAAUUUUUUAACACUUCGAGGUUUCAACAAGAGAUUCCCAAAAGCUACACUAUCUUAAGCCUAGACUCCUUUCAGACAGGAAAAAGAAUGGCAAAAGGGGUAAAGCUCCUUUUGUGAUUAUUUACGAGUAGAUCUAGAGACAGUUUUGUCAUUUGAGCAACAAACUUCUGGCAAGGAACAAAGUCAUGUUUUUUGAAUUUAUUUAGUGUAUCGUGCUGUUAAAGCUUAUGAAAUUAGAUAGUCAAGGUCCUGAUAUUGGAAAACGACAUUCAGUGUACUGGACCCCUUCCUUUGAACUGAUCAUGCACAAGUGUUUUACGUCCUCGAGUCUCAAAUUAAAUUCAGGAUAAUUGACACUCUUGUAGCCAGCUAGUCAAUUAGACUUUUAACUUUCUCGUGAAAUCAAACUAGUUAAAUAAACAAAAUCUCUUUGAGUUUUUGACAUGUUUUUUGGUCUGGUUAGAUUAAAUAUUUGGUUUUAUCAUUUCUUUUCAGCUCGUACAUUAUACUUGACAGAUAGGGGAGAUAAGGGUAUUUUUUUUUAAUCUAUUUUUAAUCAAACACGUAACAAAACCGGAUAGAUAGUGAGUUUGUAAAAUCUAUUAUCACAAAUAUUGGGAUUAGAUUAGUUGAUUAUGUAUAUUAAAAUUGCAAAAUUAAAAAAUAAAAACUACUUUUAAGAGGGUUAACUGAUUUAUAGAUGAACCAACGUACCAAAUUUAGCCUUGAAAUUGUUGUAUAUUUGAACUACUAAAAUUACAAAUUUUUUGGUGCAAAGCCACUAAAAUGACUUCAUGUAGCAUGAGAUUGUUUUGCCAUGACACAAAAAUGCUCAUAAAAGAGACACAUAAAUUUUUUUUAUAAAUAAAAAGUCUUGAAUAUAAGAUAUUCUAAUUAUGAUUCUUUUCAUCUUACCGUCAAACCCAACCUUCUCCUGUCGAACUAGCAAAUACAUACAGUGAAUAUUACAUCACUUCUCAAGCACUUAUUUGUGUUAGUUCGGAUGCUCAGCAUCCUCAGGCUGACCAGGAUAUGGGCAGCACCUGCAACCCCUACCUUAACAGCUUCAGCUGCAACAAUAAAAGCGGCAAUAUCCACCGUAACCACCACCAGGGUACCACCAUAUCCACCCCCGCCCCCAGGAUAUCCCCCACCCAUAACCUUCUCUAGCUCUCUUGGAUAGCCCCACAUAUCCACCACCGGGUCCUCCAUAGCCACAUCCAGGGUACUUGGCUUCUUCUGCGCCAUUCGUCUCAAACUGUCUUGUCUACAUUGAAGAUAAUAAAGCGUGUAUUGGUGUAAUCUAGGAAUGAUUUAUACUUUCGAACUUUGGUCCAAUUGGUGGUGCGUGCUUUUAUUUUAACGAAUACCAAAAUCUAUAAUGUUUUUAAACUCAAUCGAGGGUUUUCUUUCAAACUAUGUGCCAUGCAAAUUCAGUAUCUUUACAGAUACCAAUAAAACGGUUGAACACUACGAACUAUUAGGUAGUUUUAUCAUAGCCAACCAUAGAUGACUGAUCACUAUACGCCAAGUCCCAAAGUCAGAAAGACUUCUACACUUCAAUGUACAGUAGUUUUAAAUUAAGGUGUGUUUAAAUUGUAAAGUAUUUUUUUAAAAGCAUUUAAACUGCAAAGUACAAAUGUUUGGGGACAUUUCAAAAUAUAAAAUAUGACACUUUAAAUUGGACGAAUGGAGUACUAAUUUCAGUUGUACAUUUAAAGCACGUUUUGUUCAAUUUAAAAUAUCAUGAUUUCUAUUUUGGGAUGUCUCCAAAUGUUUGUCAUCUUAUCAAAAUCAAAAUUAAUAUUAUCACAACCUUUAUCUAUGUUUCAUACUAGAUUCAAAUUUGAAUUUCAAAUUUUGGAUAAAAGAUUGGAAACAAAACACUAAUAUCACAAUUUAGACACUAUUCUUAACAAGUUGAAAUUCUGAAAUGCGACAAACACUUUGGGACAAAGAGAGUACAUGAUUUAAAAGGUGAAAUUUGUCGUCCUAAAAUAAAAGGACGAAAUUAGACUAGACAACAAAUGUCUUGCUACUGUCAACUGAAUUGGAGGACUCAGCCAAUUCCCUAGCAAUUAACCACUUCUGAGGUAAUCAUUAACGCGGUAGCUAGCCAUGGAAAUGCAAUAGAAAAGAAAUGUCUUCGAACCCAUUUUAAUUUGCUGAAGGAAACUGAUUUUGUGAAGGAUGAGAAAGCUGGAGUAGAUUGAUCUCUACUUAUAGGUAAUUCUUUGUAAAAUUGCCGUCAAAGGGGUCGUGGCCUCGGCCAACGAUGUAGUUGGACUUUAAAGUUUAAACAGAUGAUUGAUUGCUGUAUUUGGUACGAUGUCAUGUCAAGAAAAUUAGUGAUAUACCAAAUGCACUUAGUCUAUUCACCCUUUCACAGCAAUCAUACAAGUGAUUAAUACAUCAAAAAGAAUUUACUCAGUCCAUCAAAUGUCUGCGAAGUCCAUAUUGCUAAGUUGGUUUUUCUUCCGGGACACUUCGAGUCAUUAAAUCCACACAGCAAGCAUGCACGAUUGCAGAAUCAGUUGGUGCAGUAAAAGUUGAAUUCGUAUAUGCCGACUGGUACUUGUUUUUAUUACACUUUAAAGUGUCCAUAUAAUUUUUCCGACAAAUGAGAAUGAAUUAUGUCUUUUCUUAGUCAAAGAUUGGAUUCAUUUUAUAAAGGGUAAAAAGAGUGAUAUGGCAAUUUUAAUUAUUAAUAUUAAUACGCAUUUACAAUUUGACACAAGAAAUUUAUAUCUUUUUUUUUUUGUUGCUUUAUGCUUCUUUUGUCACCAAACCAUGCAUGUUUGGCACUAGACAUUAAUUUUCAUCAAAGAAUUAUUAUGCUCACAACCACCAAUGAAAAGAAAAAAAUAAAUAAAAAGGACACCAUCACAGGUUUUUGGGUUAAUAUUGUCAGGAAUAUCAAAUAUAUCAUCAAUGGCGUCUCCAAGUCUAUUGCUUACCGAUUCUUGAUAGUAUUUGAACUCAAGACAGCCUUUUCUCAAACCCCCUCCUAUUUAUGUUUAAUAGGAAAUCCGAUUUUUCCUACAAGUUAAAACUUAGGAUAAGUAUCAACAUUCAACCGGACUAAUUUAAAAUUACUUUUGAGUGCCUAGUCUUUGUCUAUCCUUUACAUUUUUUGCGGUUGUUGUUAUUUCUUUGAAAAGUAAACGAAGAAUUUGUUUGCACACUCUCAGAAAAGAAAAGAAAAAGAUUUUGCUUGCACUCUUUCGAAUGCCCUUUCUUUGUCUAUCCUUUUCAUUUUUCAAUUUUACACUUAAAGCAUUUUAGUUAUUUAAUCUUCUUAUGCCAACUGGUUAUUAAAUUAUCCUUGACAAUAUAAGAAUCAUAUAACCAAAAAAAUCUAAGUCUCUAAUGACAACAACUAGAACAUAUAUAUUUGAAUUUAAGCAUCCUCAUCCUUCCAAACUUCUAAGCCCCUCUAUAUGAAAUUUAUACUAAAUAAGCCUUAUUUAGUAGGCCAAAAAAAAUGUUGGAAGUGAAAAUGCUAAAUAUCCCGGUCCCCUAGUUUUGUCUGUCUAUACCAAUCGUAUAUUUACUCUCGCUAUUAAAAAAGACUUUAUGCACAAAAAAAAUUGGAAAAAGAUUUGGCAAUUCUAAUUAUUAUUAUUUCCCUAAUCACCCCUCCCUCAACUUUUAAUCUUCCUAUCCACCUUAUAUCAAAUUAUCCUCAUUAUUCCACAAGAAAAAGGAAGAUAACAAAUUCAAAUCUAUUAAAAUGUAUUAAAAUGGCUAAUCUAAUAAUUGUUGAAUGCUAUUGUCUCUCUUUGCCACAUUUUAGUCUUCAUAUGCCAAUCUAUAAUUAAGUUUCUUUUGUUAUUCUGACAAUUAUGCAAGCAAAAUAAAAUAUAGUAAAAUCCAAGAUUAAAAAAACUAUUCUAUCAAUUAUUAUUGCACUUAACACUCUCUACCAAUCUUAUUCAGUCCUUCCAUGCAAAUAGAUGUCAGAAAUCAAUUAAAAUUCAAGAUAGGAGAAUAGAAAAGGAUAAAGUUGGGACAAAUGUACACCUCUCUUUAAAUGAUUAUUUUAAGAAUAUUUUUAUAAUGUAAGGAUGGAUUUGUUACAAAAGAUAUGGUUUUAGUGGAGGUCAACGAUAUUUUUAAAAUUUUAAGAAGACUAAUUGAUAUUAGGCAAAACAUCAAAAGAGGUUUUCAAAAUUAUUCCUAUUUAUGUAGCUAAAAUUUGUAUAUCUAAAGAUGUCGGCAGUGGUAUAAAGUUGCCUCACCCCUAAAUCUAUUCAUGGAUUCCAUUGACUUGUUCUUCAACAGGUAUAAUUAGCAAAAUAAAAAUAAAAACUAAAAAAGGAUGUCUUCUUUAACUUGCAAGAGAUUAAAUCGAGGAAUAAUUUUGAAAACCUUAAAUUGUUUUGACAAUUUCGAGAAACUCUCUUAUAAUUUUUAAUACGAUACAUACCUCCCUUUAAUGUGCAAAAGUACUCCUAUAGCCCCAUUAUAUUUACACGCAUAUUUCUCACAAAAAGAAAUGAAUAUUGUCAAAUUUAUGCUACUUUUUCCUUAAAUCUCACGACCAAAUUGUCAAAAAUUUUCCCUAUUUCUCUUUCCUCUUUUCCCUUACCCAACACCCUCCUUGAAAAUAUUGUCAGUAUUUGCUAUCUUUCCUGCUCCCUUCCCACUCCUUGUGGCCCUCCACCUUCAUCCCUCCCCUCCAUCUUUCUUAAUAUACUCAAGUAAUUUGGUUUUCUUUUCCUUUGGGCUGAUAGAAUUGGAUGCACUUGUCUUAUCUGUAUAUACUUUAGUCGCAUAAUCAUUGUUACUCUGUUAAUCGUUCUUUCGUGUUAUAUAGGCUAUAAUUAUUUUUAUUAUCAAGUCGUGUAGAAGCGUCUAUUAGACCAAAGCCUGCUAAUUAUACCAAAUUUCAAGAUAUAUAAAAAUGUGAUAUGAGUAGCUUGUUUUUUAAGGCUUUUUGCCUUAGCUGAUGUUGAAUUUGGGGAGCAUUUGACCGUUUCAAACGGGCAUAGAGAUGAAAUUUUAAAUGAUAUGAACAGACAAUUGAUCCAUGGCCGACCACAUAUUCUGCUUGUAGCCAAAUACACUAUUUGUUAAGGUCAGUGUGACUCCAAACUCAGUGGUCCUUGCCUUCAUUUCCAACAUGCAUUAUUCUCAGUUGUCAUAUUUCAUAAUUGAAAAUAUUAUAUAGAUGCCGUGCUAUAUAUGUCUCCAUUAAAUGCACUGAAGACCUUCUGCAAAGUCUCAACUUGAGCAAUAGUACAAGGCAAAUUGAUUUCUUGAAAUUUCUGUUUGCCAGUACACACUUGUAGCUUUAUUGGCAUAUAAAACAAAGCUUAAUAAUUCUAAGUUUCCAUGCAGUAUCAAAGAAACAAAACACCUGUCGAGUUUUGCAUCCUCUCAUAAAUGGAGAUAACGAUGACAAAACAUAAAAAUACCUAUUUGUAAAAUUCAACAGUUUCUCCAGAAACCACUAAAUUAUAUUCAGUACACUUCCCUUGCAUCCCUUGUAUUCAACAGUUUCUAUCCCUUGCAUCCUGUCAUAAAUGGAGAGAAAAUGUGAUUAGUACAGUUGAUUUGAUUGAUUAGUUAAGAGAGAAAAGUUUUGAGGGCAAUUUUUUUUUACCACAGUGCAUUAGUAUCUUUGAUUGGGAAUAUAUAUAUAUAUAUCCCAUUUUUCUUUUAAUAUAGCUUUUUUUUUUAUCUUCAUGGCACAAUAAAUUGGUAGUGCGGGCGAAAAAUCCAAUGCAAAGAUGGCUAGUCUGAGAAAAAAGUAUACUAAUAUGCAUUUGCAAUUUUAAAUGUUCAUUCACAGUUUACCCCCUCAAACGAGUUGGUACUCUCAUUUUACCCCCGAAAUAUAAUUGAUGUUGUACUCUUUUAUUUACACAUUAAAAGCAUGCAAUUUUUUCCCUACUUUUCCAAUAAUAACCAGCAGCCCUUACUUCUUCCAAUGAUUUGCUGAAGAUACCCUAUGAACAUGGCCUAAUUUUGAGUACUAGGGUAGUUUUACCCUAAUUUCUAUAGAUGCCUCUCCUUAAUCCAUCCUAUUUCUUUUCUCUUUUGUUAUUUCUUUGCAUCUCGUAGAACCUGAGUAGUGUUUUUGGUCAUGCUUAGUUAUCACCGACACAUUAUUGUCAGUUUAGUUAUCAAAUCAAUUCUUUUAGUGGGGUUCAUAAAUUAGUUAACAUCCAAUCUUAAAGAGGACAAGAUAUUGUACUUCUUUAGUUCAAGGUGGGGCAAAAUGUGAUCAAUGACCCUACUUUAGGGUGGCAAAAAUGUUAUUAACCCUUAUUAAAACUAGAAAUAAAAGUCACAGGUUGAGACAGAGCAAGUUAAAAUGUUUAAAUUCUUCCAUGACUUCUUUUGCACAAAUAAAAAAUGUGCCUACUGAAAAAAAAAAAAAAGAAUAUGAAUUUGCCACUUUUGUGCGAAAUUUGAGUAGCUUUGUAUAUAUAUUAUUGAUUGCACUGAGCGAUCACGCAAUUUGUUUUUGGUAGCUGUCUACGUAUUUCUGGUGUUUACAAUAAAAGUAGCAGGCAAGUUUGAAACUUCCACUUCACUGCUGACUGUCUACCAGUAGUAAUGUACCAGUAGUAAUGUACGGCCAUUCAUGAAUUGUGACAGUAGAAUACGUGGGCCAUGGGCCAUGUCCUAUUCACAUGGCUGACUGCCUACCCGUAGACAUGUAUACAAACUUCCUAGUGAUCCGAUUCGGAUCUUAUCUGAAAUUGCAAAUCUUCGAUCCAUCCAAUCAUACGUGGAUAAAAUCGCAUUCAAAUCAAAAGGUUAUGCAGAUCGGAUUUGGAUAUCACUUUUUACGAUCAAAGUAAUAUUUGAUCUGAUCUACAUAGCACUUUUAUAUUUUUUUUUUAAAAUUGUUCACACAUUAAAAACCCACUAAUUUAUAAUAGUCUUAUCUCUUAUUUCUUAUCUUUAUGUAUACGUUCUCUUUCAAAAUAUGUUUUCUUCAUAUAUGAUGUUAAGUUUUAAAUAUAAUGUCAUAUAAUUUGUGGAUAAAAAAAAUUGUAAAUGAAGUAUUGAAUCUUGUUGGUUUGAAUUAUAGUAAAAUAAAAGAAUGGUGAGAGUUAGUACAAUUAUCACUUAUAAUUUGGAUUAAAAACUCAUAUGUUAAUAACGCGUAUCACAUUUAAAUUUUCAUUUUAUCUUUGGGAUUUAUAUUUUCUUAAAAGAAUUUUUUUUUAAAAAUCAGAUACCGAUUAGAUAUUCCAUCGAUCCGAUUCGCAUAAUGUGGAUAUCCACAUUAGCAGAUCUAGAUACGAAUUUGAAAUACCAACCUCUAGUCUCAUUGCUAAACUAAAUUAUGAUAUCCCUUAAAUAGAUGCAAAAUAUAAAAAAGAAAAUACAAUCAACAUAAGAAAAAUCAAAAUAUUAUUGUAAUUAAUUGUACCGAACACAACUCACAAAAUAUCAUUAUGACAAAUACAAAAAGUCAGAGCAUCUCAUUUUCAAUUUUAACUAUCAAUCUCCAAACUCCAAUUUUAAUUUGUUAAUUUUUUUAUUCUUUAGAAAUUCCUCAAUUAUAUUUUUGAUCUCUAGUAAUUCUUUGUUUAAGCAAUCAUUCUUAACUAUUGAUUAUUUUUCCUAACAUCUAACUUUAAUGCAAUAUGGUAUGUGUGAUUUUUUAAUGUUAUUUUACUUUAAUAUCCAGUCAUAAGUUUCUAUAUACUUGUCUUGAAUAGUAAAGUAAGUUUGUGGAAAAGAAUUUACAAAUUUGGAUUCAUUGUGAGGAACUACUCAUGAAAGGAGAGAUUUUUAGGUUGAUGAGUAGGAAUUUUGUCACAUAUUGAUCAAUUUGAGUGAGGAAAAAAAUAAUAAAUAUAUAGAUAAGAAUUCAAGACCCACUUUCAGUAAAUUGAGGUUUACGAUAAACAAAUUGAGGUUUACGAUACUUUCAGUAAAUUCCCAAGGUUGGCUCGUGGGGCAAUCCGUUUGGACAGAAUAGGGAUACCUUCAAUUAGAAAAAUGAGGAUUAUGUAAGAGGAAUAUUUGGUUCUAUUUUACAUGAAUAAAUAAAAAGAAUUUCUAUAAAAAAAAAAAAAAGAAUUCAAGACCCACUAGCUGGCUUAAUAUUUUGGGUCACAACUAAGUUUCUAUCUUAUAUAUUGAUCCUCUUUAGUGAAUACUCUCAGAUUUUUCUCCCCAACACGUUGGUAUUCUGAAGUCGUGUUAAAGAAUCUAGUGGACGCAAAGCCUGCCUAAUUAUAGCAAAUUCCAAUAUAUACAUAUAUAUAAAUAUAUAAAUAUAUAUAUAUAUAUAUAUAUAUCCAAGUGUGAUAUAAGUAGCUUGUUUCACUUAGGUUGUGUUUGGAUUGCAUUUUUUAGAAUUUUUUAUAAAAAAAAAUACUGUAGCGAUUUGAUGUAUAUAAAAAAAAAUAAUAGAAAAAUAUAAUCACGAAAAAUGAUGCAAUUUUCCAGCGAAAAACGUCUGUUCAAACAAGGCCUAAGGCUUCCGGUCUUGGCAGAGGUUGAGUUUAGGGGCCAUUGGAAUUUGGACCCUUUCGUGGUUCCGUACAAUUGUUGAUUGCCAAAGUGAAAUUUCUAUACCAAGUUAUGAGAUGUAGGUCAGGCAAUUGAUUUUUAUGGUACCACAUACUAGCAUUUUUCAAACUUGCCUUAGUUAAGAUGAGCUAGGCAUGGUAAUUCUAGAUACGACAUGAAAAUACAAUUUGAACCUAAUAUGAAUUUAGCAGGUGUAAAUUUAUUCUUCAUGUUUGAGUUAAAAUCAAGUUAGAGCCAAGUAACUUGCCAAGCAAAUAGGUCCAAAUCAGAGGUCAACCAUAGGUGGACUCAUUUGAUCCAUUUAAUGUGUAAAAUAAAUAAAUUGGGGGCAUAAAGUAAAAAAAAAAACUAACCAAGGCUAUCAAUUAGUAUUAUGAGAAUGCAAUCAAGAAUAUUAAGUGAAAACAAAGGAUUUUAUUUGUGAAAGUGUCGCAAUUUUAUUUUUGUUCAUUUUUUUUUUUACAAAAAAGGAAAACCAAAAAGUUACUACAAGCAAUAUAUACAAAAUCUAGGAUUGGGUUACAAUUUUGUAUAUUUUUAUGGAAACUCCAUCAUACAAAUGCCCACCAUACUACUAACGUGAGAAGCCCACAAAAAUUAAGCAUGCAAGUAAUUCAAAUCGAGUUCGAGUAACCUGUAAAAUUAACAAAUUAUAUGUGGAUCAAGGAAGUUGACCCAUUUAAUUUUUUGGGUCAUGUUUAAGUUGACUUGUUGUUUAGGAUAAUUGAGUCUCAACUUGACCCGCCAAUCCAAGAGUCGACCUGAUUACCAUCCUUAUAUAUUUUCUACAAAAGAAAAUGAAAAUCAUCACCCUUAUGUCCCUCUUUCCUUUACCUUCACGACCAAAUUAUCAAAUUUUCAGCAUUUUUUUUUAUAAAUUAAAGAUUUUAAAUCAAAGAUCUCUCAUUUACAAUUUUUUCAACCUUAAUACUCAACCCAACCCUCCCCCGCCUAUUUCUCUUUCCCCUUCUCCCCAUUCUUUACCCAUUCUUUACCCAACACCCUCCUCGAAGUCUUGGUGUUCACUUACCUUCGCAACUACAAACGGUUGGUGUUUGCUAACCCCGCGCCCAUCCCCUCUCCUUGUGGCCCCCGCCUUCAUCCCUCCUCUCCAUCUUCGUUAAGUCGUGUUGAAGAGUCUAUUGGACCAAAGUUUGGACGUCGGAAUGACAGGCUUGAGGCAGUUGGCAUGGAAAGGCUUCAAGGGUGAAUGCAAAGUGAGAGAAGGUUUUGGGCCAUAACACAACACAAGGGUGAAUUGUGUCUUGGGCUCCAAAUUUUCAAUGAGGAAGCCCUGGCUCGUGGUCAAAAAAGGACAAUGAGUCCACCCAUUUUAGCAUUUUCUUACACUUACAUAUUUUUGUAAAUGUAGAAUUAUUAAAAAGUAAAUAAUAUUAAAAUUUAUAUUUGAGUUUUGUUGUGAAAGUUGGCAUAUUCAUUAUUUUGGUUUUGUCUUUGAGAUUGUUACAUCCAUUAAUAUGUGUCAGUUUUUUUCAACUAUUGCCUACAACAAUUGCAUGCUAUCUUUAUUGCGGAAUAUAUUUAGCAUUUUGGGAAAAUUUUUUUCCUUUGAUAAAGUGCUUUAAUAACUAAAAAUGUUUCGAGUAUAACAAAAGAUGUUUAGUAUGUUGAUUAGGUGUUUUAAACUUUAAUAAGUGGGAUAAACUAGUAUUUAGUUUCAAUCCUACAUUGUAAAACUUUUCUUUGCCGUUUUAUCUCCACACUUUUUCAUACUAAAUCCAUAGUAUUUGUUAGACAUAGGUACCCUUAGCUUUUAAAUAUUAAAUCAAAACUUUUUAUAACAAUUUCUUUUCUAAAGAAAAAAAUUCACACCCCAAUCUUUAUGUAAGUUUUAUCUACAAAUUCCCUUUUCUUGCUUAUUUUUUUAAACCUUUUUUUACCACUUACACAUAAUCAAAAGCUGAAUAUCAGUAUGAAAUAAAUAUGAAUGCAUAUUCCACCUUGAAAAAUGCUUAGAUUUUGAUUUUAUGAAAUUGAAAUAUGUAGAUAUUGCUAUUAAUUACAUCGCUUUUAGUAAUUGAAAAUUCUUCAACUGCUAAAUUAAUUUUUGGAUUAUAAAUAAUAAAUUAAUAUUCUUAUGCAGUUGUCAAAUAUUUGAAGAUAUUAUCUAUCAAAAGUGCAAACAUUAACCUUUUUGAAUCAAUAUUUCCUUAUAUAAGAGAGAAAGCCCAAAGUUUCUGAACCUUCUGGUCAUUUGGUUCUUCCUAUUGCCUUUGGUCCAGUAAGCUCUCUGUUUUCCUGCUUUUUCUUAUUUUGAAGCUAAAGAACUAAUUGACUUAGGUUAUGUUUGACGCUUUUAUUUGCUUGCUCGAGGAAUCAGAUUUACUGGGACAAUUUUUUCCUUCUUCGUUUUCUCCUUUUUUUUUUGUGAACUAGCAAAAUAGUUUUCUUUUGGUACUUCCUUGUGUUUGAUUUCUGCCAAAUUACUCUAUAAGUUGAUCCUUUUAUUUAAAAUUUUUUUUUGAGGAAAGUGAGUUGAUCGUUUUAUGAUUUUGAGACUACUGUGCAGGAAUUGCAGCCACUGCAACCCACUUUCUUUGCCUGGUUUUUGCCAUUUAAGAGCCUCUAUCUCUCUGGUGAAAUUUGUUCUAUAAUUUUUUUCGAACUGAAAAUUACUUUGCCAAGAUAUAUUUUGCACUGGGCAUCACAAAAUGUCUUCAAUUGGUAGGUCUAGCUCUUAACUAUAGCCAAAUAAUGAAGUGUUAGCCGCAACAUUAACAGAAAAAAAAAAAGUAGUUCUAGUUAGCUUGCAAUUUCUCCAACCAUAAUAGAAAUGAUUUCUUAUUAUGGAUAGAAGAUACAUGUUUCUUUUUUUUAAUAUGUUGUGGAUCUAUUUGUUUGUAUUUUCCUUCUAAUUGCUGUAAAUUUCGGCCGUGAAUAUGGGUGGAUACCUUUUUUUUUUUCUUUGUUUUCUUUGCUCAGGUUUUUGUAAAAGUUAUAAUUGACGAGAUUUUUUAAAUUGGGUUUCUAUUUCAUAGCAUCACUUGGUAUGAUUUUUUAAAAUUUGAUUUCUUUUUAGAUAAAAAUUUGCUUCUACAGGCGAUUCUUUGUGGGGUGGAAAAUAUGUGAGCCAACCAAAUGUAGUACUGCUUUUCUGAAUUACAUCCUUUUUUUUUUUCUUUAACAUGGACGGUGAAUUUUUUCACCAUUUUUUCUUGGCAAUAUUUAGAAGAAGCACUUUACUUUAUUUUCUAGGUUUCCCUUGACAACCAUAACUUAUUUUUGAAUCUCUAACAAAUAUUUAUUUCCAGAUGUUAAAUAUUAAAUAGUACCUAUGGCUUCACUUAGUCUAGUUAGGCCCACGUUUUGAUAGAUUAGAAUAGAAGUAGGAAUGGUGUAGAAGUUGCCGAUUGACAGAAUAAAAGUCACUGUUUACCCCUUCGAGCUAGUUGGUAAUCACAUUUUAAUCCCCAAAAUAAUGGAUGAUGUACUUUUUAACACUGUAAAAGAAUCUAAAAUUUGUUUCUUUCAAUUUUUCCCUCAAAAUGAUUCCUGAUGAACGGCAACUUCUGUAAUCAUUGGCAAAACCUAUACAAAUGGUCAAAGCAGCAAAAAUCUGGAAUUUUAGCUAUAAACUCAACAUUCUUUAACCAACAUGUAUAGCAUAAACUACAACUUCAGAACUAAAACUCUACAGACAAUUCCAAUAAUAACCAGCAGCCCUUACUUCUUUCAUUGAUUUACUAAUGAUCCCCUAAGAACAUGGCCUAAUUUUGAGUAAUAGAGUGUUAGAUAGAGUUUACCCUAAUUUCUAGAGAUGCAUCUCCUUAAUUGAUCCUAUUUAUUUUUUCUUUUGUUAUUCCUUUAUACCUCGUAGCACCUGAGCAAUGUUUUUGGCCAUGCAUCACUGCAACAUUGGCAGUUCAGUCAUUAAAUCACUUUGGUUAAUGGUGUUGAUGAUAAAUUAGUUAACAUCUGAUCUUAAGGAGGACAAGAUUGUAUAUAUUUUUCGUUCAAGGGGACAAAGUGUGAUCAUACACCCUACUCAAAAGGAACACAAUAUUAUUAACUCCUAUUAAAACUAGAAAUAAAAAGUCACAGGUUCCAGACUGGACAAAUUGAAAUAUUAUAAAUUCUUCGGUGAAUUCUUUUAGACGAAUAAAAAAUAUGCCUACCACAGUUAUGAACAAAAGGUAUGAAUUUGCCACUUUUGUGCGCAAUAUGAAUAGCUUUUCAAACAUAUUCUUGAUUACAUUGAGUUGUCACGCGAUUUGUUUUGUACAUUUAUAUGUAGCAAGUGCUCAAAUAUUUUUGACAUCUGUAUGCAUAUUUCCGGCGUCUAUUAUAAAAAAUCAAUGGCAAGUUCGAUACUUCCACUUUCCUACUCCUCCCCGAUCAAUCCCAUACCCAAUCAAGGCAUGUAGUACUAGCAAUAUAUGCCCGUAUACAUAAGCCAUGUCUUAUCCGCAUCGUUGACUGUUUACCCUCCGACAUGCAUACAAAACGAUUUGAAUAAUGCCACUAGAAUAUCUAAUAUAAAUUCCGAAACAGGAAAUCCAAGUUGUGAUAAGUUCGAUAUUGCAGCAAGGCAGCGAAGGAAAGAAGCACUGGACACCAACAGAUUGAUGAAAUGGUAGUUAUUGCCACUAGUGCUAAACUGGAGAAAGAUCGAGAUAUAAAUCCACAACAAGCAAGUUCUCAGCUGCAUUUUGUCUAGGAAAGCUCAUGAUGUGAGAUUGGCAACUUUGGUGGAGGACAUUUAUCAAUUAAGUUUGUUGUUUCCAAUAUGCUCCUUUUGUUUAGUAAGAAAGGAAUAUAAUCAUAUUAGUGUUAGAAUUAGCUCAUAUGUCAUAAGCAUAAUCGAAGAUGAGGAUGUUUAGAUUCCUCAUUGUCAAAUAACACUACUUGUAUAGAUCAAUCGAGCGUUUGCUCGCAUAUGUAAAGUUUUGAUAAUCUAUAAAAUCACUUUAUCGUUUCGAAAAAAAAAGAGAUAAGUUCGAUAUUGCAAUCAUAAUUAUCUUCAACUCCCAACUCAAUCAUGGGGUCGACAAAUUUCCAUGCAUACUUUAUCUCUCCCUCUUCGAGAACCAUGUCACGUAAAUUUCCCUAUAAAUGGAGAAGAAGAUGCUCCAGCUUCCUCACCCUUCUCAUUGUUCUCAAACCAAAUCUUGGGUUCAUAAACCAAGUUGUGUGAGGAAAACAAAAAUGGGUUCCAAGGCAAUUCUCUUCCUAUGCCUUCUGCCUGUAGUUCUGGUGAUUGCUUCAGAGGUCACAGCGAGGGAUUUGCAUAGCAUACAAUAUAGAAGUUUUUGCAUAACAUAAUUUACUCUAGAUGAUUUUUUUUUCCUGCUAGAAUGCAAGCACUAACUAAUAAUUCUGCCCGAUCCCGUGACCAUUUGCAGCCAAUGCUGCAGAGAAGCGUAUUAAUGGUCUGGAAGAAUCCAAGUAUCCUGGUGGUGGAUAUGGAGGGUACCCUGGUGGUGGAUAUAGGGGUUACCCCGGUGGUAGUUCUGGUGGCGGCUGCGGUGGUUAUGGUGGUGGUGGAUACUGCCACUAUAGUUGCCAUGGCCGAGGUUAUUAUUUCUGUUUUUAAACUCGGACCGGACUAGUUGGUUCGAUCGAUCGAACCGAAAACCGACAAGUUGACCGAUCCAAGUUAAUCUUAAAAAUUGAGAAAUCAAAAACUCGGUCUAACCAGGUCAAAAUCUGGGUUUGACCGGGUUUUGACCCGAUUUGACCGGAAAACUGAACCCCAUCUCCUUUUUUUUUUUAAUGUCUUUUAAGGGCAGAAUAUUUUUAAUAUGAUGUUUUGAUCCUUAAGUUGUUAAAAAUUAUUAACACACCUCAAAUAUUUCAUACUUUAUAAAUGUUGUCUUAAAGUUUGGUGUUAUUUUUCAAUUAAGUCCAUAAUUUUAAUUCUAAACUUGUUAAUGCUUAUUAAAUAAUAUAAAUUGCUACUUGAUUGCUCUAAUUUAUUUGUAUUUUCUUAUUAAAUAUAUUUAAAACAUCAAAUAUAUAUGAAUAUACCUUUAUUAAUAUUAACAUGUUAUUAAGUAUUUUACAUAUAAUAUUUUAAUUUUUAAAUAAAUUUUAUUUAUAACAUCAUCCGGUUCAACCCCUAUCGAAUCCGGUUGAACCCAUUGACCCAUGAUCCCUGAGUUCGACCGAAUCGAUAUCCGGUCCGGUUCUGAAAACAUAGGUUAUUAUGCUGGUGAGUCUGUGGAUGUUGAGCCUGAAACCGAACCACAAAACUAAUAGCCAGGCCUUAUGGAUCAUGAUGCUUAAAUGCCGCUGGUGCAAAUUAAGAGGCUAAAAGUACUAAAAUUAUGUAUUGUGUGAUAAAAAUAAGAGCUUAAUCAGUGUUAUUCUUUUGACCAUCAGGUGAAUUACUGCAGAUUAUGAUGUACAUUUUUCUACUUCCAAGAUGUGAAAAUGAAAUCUUAUUUGUCUUUCAAGUUUCAACAGCCAGCACUUCUGCUUGAUUAUACUGGCUUCAUUGUCUAUGGUAUACCCAAAUUGUUCAAGCGUAUUUGCUGAAAAACAUUUUAACACAUUGAGGUUUCAACAAGAGAUUCCCAAAAGCUAAAUUGUCUUGAGUCUUGACUCCUUUCACACAGGAAAAAGAAAUGGCAAAAUAGGUAAAGCUCGGUUUAUGAUCAUUUACGAGUAGAUCUGGAAACAGUUUUGUGCAACAAAGUUCAAGCAAAGAACAAAGUUAUGUCCUUUGAAUUUAUAUACUAUAUUGUGGUAUUAAAGUUUAUGAAAUUAGAUAGCCAUGUUAAUGAUAUUGGAAAACGACAUCUUACAAUCAAUUACAGAACAAGUUUUAAUUGUACUGAUCCAAAACAUGAUAAGUGAAAACCUCCCAUGCACAAGUCUUACACGUCCUCGAGUCUCAAAUUCAGUGUAUCUUAAUUUUUCUGUAUAGUAGACAAUAGCGCACUAUUCAAUCUCUCGUAGUCAAUUAGUCAACUAGAUUUCUGACCUUCUCGUGAAACUAUUGAGCUUUGACAUGAUUUUUGAAUGGUUAGAUUAAACAGUUUUUGGUUUUAUCAUUUCUUUUUAGGUGGUAUACCAUAUUUGACAGACAGGUGAUCGUAAGGGCUCUUUUUCUAGUUUUAGUCAAAUAUGCAACAUUAAUAGAUAGAGAGUGAGUUUGUAAAAUCUAUUAUAACAAAAAUCUGGAUUAGAUACCCAAAAUUGUAUUUUUUUUUUUAACAAAAAAAACCCCCACUUUGAUGAUGGUUAACUGAUCAACAGAUGAACCAACCGAAAUUGGCCUUAAAUUUGUUGUAUUUUUGAACUACUGAGUUAACGCAUUUUUAGUGCAAAGCCACUGAAAUGACUUCACAUAGCAUGAUAUUUAUUUUGCCAUUAAAUCAAAGGUCACAUAGAAGAAAUAUUGAACUAGCAAAUACAUACAGUGCAUAUUACAUCACUUCUUAAGCUCUUCUUUGCAUUUCAUCACGCUGAGCCUUUUUAAGCAUUCGUUACAGUGCUCGAAACUGGCUAUAUUAGUUGCAAGGCUGCACUUAAAGCGACGAUAUCCACCAUAACCGCCACCGCCACCGCCACGACCAAGAAACCCUGCAUAAUUACUCCAAGAAUACCCCCCAUAACCUCCUCCCAGAUAGCCUCCGUAUCCACCACCAGGGUACCCUCCAUAGCUGGUACUUGGCUUCUUCUACGCCAUUUGUCUCAACUGUCUUGGCUGCAUUGAAAAUAACAAAGCGUGCAUCUUUAUUAGUAGUUUAAUCUUGGAAUGAUUGAUAAUUUUGAAUUUUGGCCUAAUUUGUGUACUUGCUUUUAGUUUAAUGAAUACUAAACUAUGUACCAUGCAAAUUUAGUAACUUUACAAUUACCAUUAAAAUGGUACACCUCCAACUAAUAGGUAGUUUCAUCAUAGCCAACCACAAUUUACUAAACACUAACCAGUGUCCCCGAGUCCCAUUUGAGAAGGGCUAUGCUUACAAAUUAAUUAAGGUGUAUUUAAACUUUAAACUGAGCCUCGGCUAUGCUUCAAAAUACUCCAAAUCUUUACAUGUACAAUAAUUUUUUUGUCAAUCGGCAACAGCUACACACGGCUGCUACUGUUACUUCUAUAUUAGAGGUGGGCUGAAUUGGGCCAUGGGGCAGCUCAAUCGCUUUACUUGUACAGCUAAAAUUAGUAUAUUUUAUAAAAUCUGUAAUGUGAAAUUUAGUGGUCCUAAAAGAAAAGGAUGAAAUUAGAUUCGAGAACUAAUUUCUCAUAAUUGUCAACUGAGUGAAAGUCUUAACCAAUUCCCUAUUGCAGCCGUUUCUGAGGUAAUCAUCAGACUAUAGCCAAGGAAAUACAAAGAAAAUAAGUUUCUUGGAGCCCAUUUUAAUUUGCUCAAGGUAUUUCAAGUAUUGAAAUUUGAUUUUUGAUUGGUAAGAAAGCUGGCGUACAUUGGUCACGGUUUAUAGUUAAAUCUCUGCAGAAUUGCCUCAAAAGGGUAGUUGCGUCAGCCAACUAUGGAGUUGGGCAUUAGAAAGCAGUGUUUUGAAAAUUGGACCGGAUCAGCCGGUUCGACCGGUUGAAUCGCGAACCGGCUAUGACAUCGGUUCGAUUUUAUGUUGGUGUUGACUUUGUCAGAAAACCGGUCAAACCCAGUCAAAACCGUGAAAACCGCUGAACCGGAUUGAACUAGUUUUCAAGUUUUCCUCUUCUUCUUCUUUUUUUUUGUUUUUUUUUAAGUUUUGCAAAAUGCUUCUAUCAAGAUUUAAACUCAAGACCUUUAUAAUACAAGACCAAUGCAGUAACCAUUGCACCAUCACAUCUUUUUUUUUUGAUAACUUUUAUAUAUAUAUAUAUAUAUAUAUAUAUAACAAACAUCCAUAUUUCUUUUUUCCAUUUUUCUUACAAAAUCUCAUUCUUUCAUGACUCUUUCUUUUUAAUCUUCAACACACACACACACACUCUCUCUCUCCUCUUUUUUUUGUUACUCCCUUUUUAAUCAAACCUCUUUAGUUUUAAUUUAUUGAUGUUUUCUUCCAUCCUUUUAAUUUUGCUUUUGCCCAUUAAAUUGAAAAAAGUUAAAAAAGAAUUAUUUUUCUUUAAGCCAAAUUAUUUAAUGCUACAACCACUGACUUUUAUCUCAUUUUUUUAUUCUUAUUAAGUUUGCAUUUCUAUUUUCGAUUCUCUUGACUUCCUUCGGACUCCAAACUUUCUUUUUUAAAUUGCAAUCUCUAAAUCCCAAAGACGUAAAUUAAAAUUUAAGUUCACAAUGUCAAAUUCUCAUAAACUUGAAUUUUGUAUAAUUUCAAAAUAUUGUGAUAUUUUUGGGUUGGAUUUAAGAUUAUUUUGGUAGAUAUAAUUGAAAUUGAAAUGAAAUUUAUUUGUUUUAACUAAUAAUUUAAAAUUUUUAUUUUUGAAAAUCCAAGUUAUUCAAAAAUAGUAAACUUUUCAUCAUAUACAGUUUUAAAUUAGUCUAUUGCAUGUCUUAUUUUAUGCAUAUAUAUAUUUAUAUAAAUUAUUUUUUAAAAAAUUCAUUGAACCGGAAUUGAACCGGUCCGACCUGUUGAAUCUCGAUCUUUUCACUUCACUAGUUCAAUUGACGGUCCGGGUUUUAAAACAUUGGUAGAAAGAUGAUUGCUGAAAUUGGUACGUAUUCCGUCUUAUCACAAAUUGCAGUUCCUUUAGGGAAUGUAAAAAACACAGACAUACCAAAAGAACUUAAUCUUGUCACUCCUAGGGAAUACACUUUGGGCUUAUUAUGAAGAGGAUAAGGUUCAUGUUCUAUAUUCAUGAAUAUGUCCAAGUAUAGCUGUCAAUUAAUCUGGACUUUAGAGGGACAUUGAUUGCAUUCAUUCCAAGUUGAUUAACAAGUCAAACAUCUCUGCUAUAAAGACAAGUCCUAAACGAAGAACGUGCCAAACUUUGCAAUGCACGAAUAGGUGCCAGAAAACUCUUGCUAGGCGGUUUAGUUCUGAAGCAUUUGCAUUAGAAAAACAAUGUUGUCGUUUGUAAUAUAUGUUAAAGAUCCGUAGUUAAUAUAAUGGAGAGAUACCAUUUGUAUCCCAGACGUAUUGGAUCAUGUGGACGUUAAAUCUCAUUGGAAAAAUGAAACUCUUUUAUAUAUAUAUAUUUUUUACCCUUCCCUCAUCCCCUGAUCCCUCCCUUCCCCCCAAACCUGGCAGCUAGGUUCGAACCAGAUCUGCCAGGCAGGACAACAAGUCCCUGGCCAACAGCUCCAACAACUGUUGGAAUAAUGAAACUAACUGCUAUGUAAUGGCUUCUUGGAGGAUGCUUCCCUUUAAAGAAAUCGACUAAAGAUCUUGUAAUUGAGUGGGGAGUAUAUCAUAAGUGCUUUCAGAUUUUGGGCUCUUGAUCUUGUAUGUAAUUGAGUUGUUUAGCAUAGUGCUAGGAUGGUUUCUUGAAGUAUACUGGCUUUGUUCGUGUUCUUAUUUAGUGUGCUAUGUUAUUAAAAUUUAUGAAACUAGAUAGCUAUGUAGAUGUUACUGGAAAAGAAUAUUACACUAUCGAUUUAAGGACCUCUGCAAUAGAAAUAUAAUUUUGGUUCCAAAAAUUCAGCUUAUGUACCAAAUUGGCCGGUCCCUAAUAUUUUAACUCAAAUAAAUGUAAUGAAUAAAUCAAAUUACUGAUUGUUAAUAACUUUAAAUUUGCAUUUUUGGCUGUCCGACUUUGGAAUUUGAAUUAUUAUAAGUUUAAAUAGAGAUAGUAAGGGUUUUAAAUGAAAUAGGAUGUGAGCUAGACCAAAAUUACAUUAGAGGUGUACUAGAAAUUAUAAUUAAUAAAAAUGUGAAAAAACUAAUUAUUCUUUUUUUUCUUUUUUCAUUUCACUUAUUCAUGCCACUAAUUUCUCCUACAUUUCUUACUAAACUUCUUUUCUUUUUUCUUUUUUCAUUUCACUUAUUUAUGCCACUAAUUUCUCCUAUGUUUCUUCUCUUGUGCACAAUGAGAAUCAAUGCAUUUAUAUGCUUAUUCUUACUCUCUCAAAUUUAGCAUAAAAUAUGCUUUUAAUGUUUUGCACCAUAAAUAACUAAUCAAAAUAAUUUCUGUCAUUUUUUCCACAUAUAUUGUUAAUUAAAUACUUAAAUAAGAACAACUUUAAUUUAUAAGUAAUAUAUAUUACAUGUGAAUUUCAGUGAUCAUCUAUUUAUUUUUUAUUCUUUUUUGGCAAUCAGUAGCUUAUCAAUUAAUGUUUUGUAUAAUUAUUUAGAAUUAUUUAAAAUUAUCAAUGCAUGGACAUUAGAACAAAUACAUAAACCUUCAUUAUUAAAAUGUUAGACUUUAAUAGGAAGGAAUAACAUGGAAAAAUAGUAAGUUUUCUUAAAAUUACUAAACGCAAUUCAUAUUGGCACUGAAUCUCACUUGUUAUUGCAAUCCCUAAUUAUAACUAUUUGAGACCUAUAUCUAGAAAUCAUGCAACAAUUUCUACAAUGUAUGUGGAAAAAACAUAUAUACAUAUUAGGAUUUUCUUCUUCUACUACUAAUUUUUCCCGUACCAUUCAACCCAUCCAUCCCCUCCUACUACUAAUGUUUUGGUAUAUUAUAUGUGUAUCAUUAUUGAAUUGUAGCUAAUUUAAAAACCAUGCGCUCUUUAAACUUGAUGCUGUGCAAAUAUGAGGUGCUUGUAGCAAUGUUUAUAGGCAUUUGAAACACAUCAUACAUAUUUAACUUUAUUUCACAUUUUGUUUAAUUUUAAACCCUAAAUUUAACUAUUUAAAAUCUAAAGGACCAUAUUCAACAAAAUUCUAAACAUUAGGAAGUAAAACUACAAAGCCGAAACUUUUAACUAACGUAAAUAUAAUAUUUAUGCCCGCUAUUGUGGCUAUCCUAAUUUACCUAAAAUAAAAAAAAGUAUGAGAUUCAUGCGUUUUAGUUGAAACAUUUUUUUAGAAAUUUUUAAAAAUACAAAGACUAGAUCCACGCUGGUUUUGGUUUGUCUCAAGCUGGAUAUCGGACAGUAUCCUGCUCUGAGAUUUCUGAUUAGACGCGGUCGAAGUUGGCUUGUUGCGAAUCCAGAUAUGAAUGUUGCUAAACACUAACCAUCGUCUUCCCUAGGUGAUUAUGUAUAUGUACAUAUUAUUCUGUUUGACGUUUUUCGACCAUGUAGAAAUCGAACCUUUGUUUUAAACAUGAAUCGAACCGGAAUCCAUAGAAUAACUGCUUCUGGUGGAAUUUAUAUUGAACUAAACCAAGCUAUAAUAUUUAGUUUUUCAAUGCAUAUUAAUUUUUUUUUUUUAUGAAUACCCAAAAGAAAAACAGAGAAGGAAAUUGAAUUUUCAGUGCUUAUUGUUUAAUGACUUGUAGCUCAAUUUACCAAAAACUUUUCCCGACAAGCUAGGGGCACAGGUUUUAUCAAUGUGUUUAAUUAGAUAUAAGAAGUGUAGAAAAUGUCUUUUGGGUAAUUAGCUCUUGUAUUAUCAAGUGUUAAUAUCUAUAAAAAUGUUAACGUUUGUUGGUUUAAUUAGAUAUAAGAAGUGUAGAAAAUGUAAGAAGAUAAGGAAUUAAACUACUUUCAUGUCUUAUAAAUGCAUACUUCAGUCACAUAAUGAUUGUUGCUCUAUUAAUCACUCUUCGUAUGCAAUUGGUUAUAUCAUUGUUAGGUUCAUAAUAGGAAUUGUAUCUCACAUUGGAUGGGACCGAAAAAAACAGACUUAAUAUAUAGGUAAGGGGACCUAUUACUUUAAAUUUUUGGGUCAAAGUUAGGUUACUAAUUUAUAUAUUGGGUUUAUUUAAUGGGUUUUUUUCUUUUGAAUUUUUCUCCCUAAUAAGUGAUAUGAGAGUUUCUAGUUAUAACAAUUGGCUUCUCACUAACAACUGAUUUCUUCUCGAAGUUUGACCAGUAAACUAUGGACCAAAGUGUCAAAUAGUUUGGUUUUUGUUAAACCAAGGUGCCCAGGGUUUAAUAGGCGUCUAAUUAGUGUCAGACUAAGGAACCAGCGUUGGCAUGGUCCAAAAUCUUGGUAAGAGUGUUCAAGAAUAAUAGGCUGAUGAGUUAGUGAAGAGAGAUGACUUUGAGGUAGUAAAGUGGGUUUGGGGAGGAGAUUACCAACUAUGAUUCAUUGUGAGCGACUACUCCUAAAAGGAGAAAUUUUUAGGUUCAUGGGUAGGAAUUGUGUCACAUAUUAUAGUUAAUUUGAACUAUAGGUUCAUGGGUAGGAAUUGUGUCACAUAUUCGAGAGAGAAAAAAGGAGUAUAUGAUAUAUAGGCAAGGAUUUGAGACCUAAUAAUUUAAUAUAUUGAACUAAAAUUGAAUUCUUAACUUAUAUAUUAGGUCGUGAGUGCUAUUGGAUUUUUCUCCCAGUACAUUUAUAUUGCGAAGUUGUGUUGAAAAGUCUAGUGGACCAAAACCUACCUGAUUAUAGCAAAUUUCAUGAAUAUACAUAGGUAAUAUAAGCAGGUUGCAACCAUUAGGUACAUUGCAACAGAGCUGCAAUUCACACUGUAGUUGCGGUAUUACAAAAUAUCCUCAAAUCAAAUAUAUUCAUCUAUGAACUACUGAAAAAAAAGUCAUAGUAAAAAGUUGCACUGCCAUAACAGUUACAGAUUUACUGAAAUUCAGCUCAAAUUGUUCUCUGUAAAAAGACUUCAAAAUUCCAACAAAAGGAAGCUGUAGUCCAUGCUCUAAAUAAAACUAACAAUUCUUCGAACUCCAAUUAAAAAUAAUUAGUUUGGUCAGUGUUUUAAAUCAUGAAUUGCAAUUGUGAUUCAAUACAAAAUCCAUCUUCCCUGCAAAGCUUGGACACAAUUACAACAGUCAUCGAAGCCCUAAAUUUGCACAAGUUUUAAACCUAGUUUUCAUAAUAGUGGAGAUCAGAAAUAGAGGUUUUCUCCUUCUACUGGUUUAUGGAAUUGGAAAAGACAAAUUAUGUUAUUUAGAUAUUUCUAAUAAUUAGUUACAUCAAAAGAACCUACAACGAAAAAUAUACGAAAUUUACCCAUUAGGUAGAGAGAAAUGAACAACAUGAAAUCAAGGAACCAAAACAUCGAAGAAGAUGAUGAUGAGAGUCAAUUUUAGAAUCCUUUAAUUGUGUUAUCUUUUCUGAUUUUUCUUGAUUAUAUAAAGGAAUACGAGUCAGAGCCGGAUUGGAGUCAUAGGGGAAUCCAAAAAUAUAGAAAGAUGCAAGUGACUUUAGCAAUGUGGCAAAUGAUAGGGUGUAAUUUGUAGUACAUUUUGAUGUAUAAGUCACUAGUUAAUUGUAUUAUUUGAGCUUUAUUUUGAAUGAAAAUUGAUUUUUUUAAUUUAAUUACUUUCUUUUUAUUGAAUCAUUCCCGAAGCGAUUACAUCAGAAAGAACGAACUAAAAGAUCUGUCUCCGAAAACUUGGAAAGCCUAACCUAUCCAUGCGAUGUCUCCCUGCACCAGAGACGGGAGGUCUGCAAAGGAAUCAAACAAGACGUCCCGACCCUAGGUCACUCCCAUCUUGGCUAGCUGAUCCGAAGAUUAUUUGCCUCGCAAAAGCAGUGUGUUAUGGACUGAAACAUUCCCUGAAACCGCAACAGAUCCAACUCCACCUGCAAACGCCAAGGGCAAGCGAGGUCCCUUGACAGAAUCCGAACCAGAACUUGAGAAUCCACCUCCAAAUACAACUCCUUAUAGCCCCGCGCUACACACUGUUUUACCCCAUAAAGCAAGGAUCGAAGCUCAGCCUGCAGACUAAUGGUGACACCAAAGAAGCAAGAGAACCCAAAGAGGAAUCCCCCCUGGCAGUCACGCAACAACCCUCCCCCACCACUCGUCCCUGGGUUGCCAAGCGAACACCCAUCAGUGUUGAGUUUGUAAUCUAUCGGCGGAGCCAGCCACUUUACAGGCUGAAUGAGCACCCGCUUAGGCCUCACUUCCAAGGCCGCAUGCAAACUCCCCCAUGUGCCAUAGGCCCAUGUUAGUGGAGGAAAUUGUAAGUGUAGCAGAUCCCUGACUCUAGACAAGGUCCUAGCCGCUACCUCUCCCCCUUCUGACCUCCCACCGUUCAUUAAUGCCUGAGUCCUUGCCCUCCACAGUUCCCAGCAAAUAAGAGAAGGCAGGAUGCGGUAGACAAAUGCCAAAUACCGAUUUGGAGCAGGGCGUAUCCACCACGCGAUUAUCAUAUGUCGAACUGAGCUGAUACGAGAUGACAUCCCAUCAUGAACCUCAAAUGCCUUCCAUACUUGACGGGCAACUUUCCCAGUGCAAAACACAUGAUUCAAAAGUUCCUCCUUGGGGUUGAUGCAACAGCAGCAUCAGGAAGGACCCUGGACUCCAAAGCGGUGUAACUGCUCAAGAAGGGGUAGUCUAUCUGAGAGUAAGCGCAAUAUUUAAAAGGAGACCGUUAUUGGCAGGAAUCUGUGCCAAAUACAAGUGGCAACAAGGGACCCAUAAAAAUGGGGCUGCAGGAGCGACAGAACUGAGGCGACCGUGAACUUCCCAGAAAGGUUCAACAUCCACACCAUUCUAUCCUCUCCAUGAAGUGAUGGGGGAGGGAUUGCCAUCACCAGCCGGACCAACUCCGGUUGUAGCACUUGUGCAAGCAAUCGAGCAUUCCAUUCCCCUCCACUAACAAAAUCCACCACUUGCUGGUUCUGGAAGACCUCCACUCGGUGACACAAAGGGCCGGAUCCUACCCAGUUAUCAUGCCAGAAAUCCAUUCUUCCUGACCGAACAAUCCAGCCAAUAUUGUCCUCCACUAAGCCCUGGACCAUACGUAUCCGCCUCCAAGUGUAUGAACUCCCUGCCCUUUCCUCCGCCAGGCAAGGGCGUCGACCUCUACAAUAUUUGGCCACCAGGAAGGAGGCCCACAGAGAGCGCCCGUGUCUAAAGUUCCACCACAGCUUCAUGGAGAAUGCCUGAUAAAUCUCCGUUAGCCGCCGGAGUCCCAACCCUCCCUCGCUAUAUGGCCUACACAGGUCUGCCCAUUUCAUCCAGUGAAACCUUGGGCCAAACUCUGACGUACCCCAUAGGAAUGCCGCCAUAACUCUCUCCACCUCUCUUAAGACCCUCGUAGGUGGCGACGCUGCCGCCAGUAAGUGAAUCGGCAGAGAGGACAGGACAUGCUUGAGAAGCACCACUCGUCCUCCUGGCGAUAGGAUUCGCUGCUUCCGAGAUAAGAUUCGGUUGGCAACUGCCCUACAAAUCUCCCAAAGUACUCCUUCCUUUGUCGACCAGUGAACAACGGGCAUCCCAGGUAUCUGAUUGGAAACUCUCUCCUCUGGAAACCCGUUACCUGACUUACAAUUCUGUAGCGGUGCGGGGAGAGCCGAGGGUGCACUAGAAAGCAGCUCUUUUGCUUGUUAAUCUCCUGACCCAAAACUGCACAAUAAUCUUCCAGAACCCUCGCUAAGAGCUGCAGAGAGGACUUCAGCCCGCUGGUGAAGAUGACCACGUCGUCGGAAAAAACUAAAUGCGUGACCACCAGACACCCAAUGGGUACCUUAUAUGGAUGAAAUUGGCGUUGCUCUACCAUAGCAUUCAAGGCCUUAGAGAGGGCCUCCGCACCAAUGACAAAUAGAACUGGAGAUAAUGGGUCGCCCUGUCUCAACCCAUGUGUGGAACGGAAGAACCCCUGGGGACUCCCAUUAAUCAGUACAGAAAACCAGACGUUGGAAACUAGCCGCCAGACGGCAUCAAUCCAUGUCUCAGAAAACCCGAACCUUCGCAACACCUGCAAAAGAAAGCAACAAGAUACCCUGUCGUAGGCUUUCAUCAUAUCCAGUUUAAUCACCACAUUCCCUUCACGGGGCAACUUCCCAAUAUCCAACACUAGUUCCUGCGCCAGCAAAAAAGUUAUCAGUGAUUUGUCGUCCUUUGACAAAGCCACUCUGUUGGGGGAAGAUGAGCCUGGGUAGAAUCUGAGACAGCCGAUCCGAUAGAAUUCGAAAAAUGACUUUAUUGAUAAAAUUACAGAGGCUUAUUGGAUGGUAUUGAGUGAAGUCCCAGGGGCAUUGAACCUUAGGAAUCAAGACAAUGGUAGUGGCGGUAAUGCUCCACGGUAGCUCCGCUCCACUAAAGAAGCUUAACAUAACCGUAAACACGUCCUCCGCGACCACGUCUCAUGCAAAUUGAUUAAUUUUUCUUUUAUAUUGUUCUAAUAGAUCAAGAGAUCAAUUGGAGAAAAAAUGGACCAAAAUAUAAUGCAAAGAAAUAAUGGAAGAAGAAAAUACGAACAAGUAAGGGGUUUGGCAGGAUUGAAAAAUUUCAGUAUUUUGGCAAUAACUUGAUCUACCAAAAUUGGAAUGAAAUGAUUAUUAUUCAUUUUUAAACUAAGAGAAUGCUCAACAAUUCUUAUGAGAUAUUAAAGUAUGGUUCUCACGUUUUCAUAGCCAAAAGUUUAAAUUACUGAAGUAUAGUUUCUUGGCAAAACUCUUCUAAUCAGUUCUCAGUAUUUUGAGCAUAUUUCAGCAUCCAGAUCUCUAAAUGACAUGAUUCUUGUGGCAUUGGAAAGAUAAUUCAAAGAACUACAACUUUUAUGUUUUAAGCAAGAGCUGAUUCGACUUUGUUAAUAGAGAUUUUUUGCUUUGAAUUGGAUCUGCAUGCGGAUCCCAAGCAAUCCAUCCACUGAUCACUUAUAACUUGUGUUAGUGUUGAUUUCGGUCUUCUCACCAGUAUUUUUCUUGUCCUAACUCCAGCGCCAGAGUUUAGGCUGGAGUUGUGCCAGUGUUCAUCGGAAAAUAUGUGAAAACAUCAUUUUCAGCUCCAAUAAGCCCAAUCCUAUCUAGUUUCGGAUACUACUUUAAAAAACUAUAAAUAGGGGCAAUUUAGGGCACUUUUAGGGGUGGAAAACAUUAGCUUAGUUUAGUUUUAACAUCUUUUCAUAGUUUAUUUUAAAGAGAUCAAGAUCAAAUGGUGGCAAAUCAAGGAGAACGCAAGGAGAAGAUUGGAGCAAGCAACUGAGAAGUUUUCUUACUCUUUUUCUUAUCUUUGUAGUAAUUCUUUGAAUUCAUGGUUUUAAUUUCCUAAUUAUGUUGAACUAAAUUGUUUAUAAGGUUGGGGUUUUUAUGAAGGAAUUUAAUUAAUUUUCUAGUGUAAUUUCUUGCCUUUUGCUAUGAUUUAUCUAAUAGGUUGCAAUUUUGCAAUUAAUUUUAUGAUUAUUCCCUUAUUUUAUUUUACUAAAUAUUGCGUUAAUUGGUAGAUUCUACUUAUUUUUGGUAAUUAUCAUUGGUUGUAGGGAUUCGGAGCGAAAAGGGGUUAAGAAUGUGGUUUUAACCAUACUUUUAUGCAAUUCGGCGAGAGUGCGUCAAGGUCCAUUUUGCAUGUCCAGGAACUCGGGAUUUGACAGGUGAUUUUCAAUCUUGAAUUGGAGUUUGUUUGAAGUCAUGGAAGUCAGGCUCUAUACCACAAGAUUAGUCUCCUAUUCCUAUUAGGACACUAGUAUAGUUAGCUAUCUUGACUUUUGAAAUAAUCUUUUUUAUCUAGUAGGAAGUUUAUUUUAUUUAGGAAUCUACAAAAUAGGAGUGAUCGGCUAGUUUCUCAAGUAAUUAGUACUUCCGAAAAGGCAACACAAUAGCAUCGUGACUUUAUAUAUUUGAGGCAAGAAACAAAAGUAGGGUGGUCUUUUCUCCUUGAAGGAGACAACGACCUUCUUGUUCUUUUGCUUUUGUCGUGGCCGAAUGUUUUGAGAAAUUGUAAAAGCUAUGGUGUUGGGAAUUUUCUCAACAAUGAAGAACUGAAUUUCCUUUUCUAGUCGAAGGUUAACUUGAAGGCGCGGUUCCAAAUAUCGGUGAGAUCGAACUAAUUUUAUUUAUUUUUUUAUUCAUUGGUAUUUGAACAUUUUUUGAUUUAACUUCUUAUGAUUGUUUUGUUAUUUGAAUAUUAAGUGUCCGAUAUUCGAAUUAACCUAAUAAUCUAUGCCAAAUUAACCAGUUAAAUAUGUAAUUGUUUGAUUGGUUAAUACCAGUGGUAACUAGUGUGAUUGGUCCCAUGUUUGGGAAACGUAUGAUCUAAUUUAAACAAACCUUCAUAGCGUGUUUGUUGGUUAGGGUUAGGAUUUUCUAAUUCUUAAUGUAAUCGAAGAAUUAAAUCCUACGAUCAUACCUAGGGUUAUUACUUGGUUAGAAAAAUAGUUAACGGUUGUACCUUGGCUAUCAAAAAAGUAAGGAAAGGUUGGUUGCUUAUCACGUGUAUGACAACUAUAACCAAUCUAUUAAUAAGUAAUUGAAUUAUCUUUGCAUCGAUGAUUAGUUGAAUGGACCAUGUCUGAAAAGUUGCACCUUUGGCUAUAGUCGUAUCUAUUGUUGAUUCAUUCAUAUUUAUUUUCGUGCGUUGCUUUGAUUUAGUUAAUUAUUUAUUUUUAUAAAAUCCUCCGUACUUUGAACUCAAUGAGAAAUAAAUUUUCUCAGUCCCUGUGAAUUCGACCCUACUUACCACUAUAUACAAAAUUAAUACUUUAUUUGAACAGGUAUUUAUUAUUGCACAAAUUCGGCACUUGUCAUUAUCUUAUCUUGAUUUUAAUUACGUGUUUAUGCCUGAUCACCAUAGACAUGAUUUUUGGAUUUGUAUCAAACUAAGAGGCAAGAUUUUUAGUCUAAUCACAAGAGUAGUUUAGGAUUUUUAUGAUGCACUUAUAUCACCAAAGUUUUUAAAGGGUUUAAUUGAAUACUUGCGAUCUCUAGAGAGGCAUAGGAUUUAAUUAGCCACACUUUAGAUGCAUUGAGAGAUAAUCUAAAAUACAAUUGUGUGAUACAUUUAUGGUUUGUUAAAAAAUCAACUAGAUAAUUGAUUCAAAAUUUGAAUUAAAACUUGAAAUCCUAAGUUCGUGUCUAUUGUUUUCUCAUCACUACUUUAUUUACAUUGAUUCUUAAUUUAUUGUUUAGUUAGAAAAAACAACUCCUUGAAUUUAAAUUUUUUUUUAUUUUGUUAGAAUAAUUAAAGUUGAAAAUUAAUUCGUCCCUGUGGUUUCAACCUUGGAAUACUGUAACGACCCCACCUCCCCCUAAGGCGUACCAGAGGGUUCGGCGGGCCGCCUGCCCAGCUCUCGCCGGGACUCAGUCGUUCUUUAAUCAAAUCCAGAACAAAUCACAAGAAUAAAUAGGGCAGCAAUCCAAACUUAAAGUGGAACUUAUAUACAUUGCUAUCUCAAAAAGAAGUACAACCAUCAAAUGGACAAAGGUUCUCACUUCACCAUACAACUAGCCAGUGCCAAGCACUAGGGCGAGAACCAUUACAAAAGAAACAAAAGACCUAGACUAGGCUAGUCUAUGCUCUCAUCCUGCUCGCCGUCCCCUGUUAAGGAAAACAAAACUAAAGGGGUGAGCUAAAAGCUCAGUGAGGUUCCAAACAGAUAAUCAAACAAUCAAACAAUCAAUUCAAUACAUUAAACAUGGAGUAUCAAUAAUUCAAGAAACAAUUACAAUGGAAAGCAAUAGUAACAUUCAUUAAAAGGAUACGGCUCACAAGGAGCAAUUCGUUCAUUUGUUCAUUCGUUCUCCUGACAUUUCCCCUUAUUCCUCCAAUCAUUUGAAAAUGCAUUUUUGGUUUAUCAAUAAACCCUCGUUCGUUCGUUCGUUCGUUCGUUCGUUCGUUCGUUCAUUCAUUCAUUCAUUCACCCCCGUCCUGGCCGUUGGCCAGUCUCCACCAACCUACAGGGUAAUACUCGAGUAUACCAAACGUUCACCCAAGUCCCUAAUCGCCCGACCGAGUCCGCUUCUGGCUCGAGACGACCGGUAACAAGGGGCAAUGGCCAGUUCAACCCAAAAGUCUUACAUUCAUGCGCAAGUAACAUUUCAAUCAUUAAAUCCUUGAAAAUUGCACAAUUAUUUAGGUCGAGUGCGAUAAAGUACACACUCGCCUAGAAAGCUCGUUUUGGAAAUCAUUAAAAGCAAUUAACACAUUAGCAAAUGAUAACAACAAGCCAUAAAGUCAAAUAAGGAACACUCACUUAGAUAUGCAAAAUAACGUGCAAAAUAUCCUUCCGAAUAUUACCCUUAGUCACCAAUGAAACCUCAAAAGCAAGGCUUGGUAGAGUGAUCCUUCACCCCCUUUGAUAUUUCUUGGUUCUUCAAGCUUCCCAACUCACACUUAGUACUUUAAUCGGUUUAGAAUUGGAUUUCUUACUUGGGUUGAAGCAAAUCAAGAAGGAAAUUUUGUUUAUCUUGCUCUCCUUUUCUCUCUCUCUUAGCUCGGCACUUAGCAAGAAAAAUGAGGGAAGAUGGAGCUUAGUUAUCUUAUAGGAAGACAAGAAGAUUAGAGCUAAUUGUGACCACAAUUGUUGACCAACACUUGGCCUAAUCUUGACCACAAAAUUUUUCUCUUUCUUUCCCUUGCAUAUGAGCCACAAUUUCGGUCAAGCUUGCUGCCAAGAGAGAAGAUAUUUUGCUCAAGUUCAAUAAAUUUGUUUGGUGAGAAAAAUGGUGGUCAAGUGGUGCGUUCAAUUGGUAGUGCGCGGGACCCGCCGGUUCGCGCCGUUUUUCUUAAAAACUCACGUACUAGGGUUUUUACUUCCCAUUCACUAACCUUAUAUCAUUGCUACCAAUCACAUAUUAUUUCUCACUUAAAAGUCACUUUUAAUCCUCAAAUUUAAUCCUUACUCUGUACCGAAAAUUCAUCCGGCGAAAAAUCGCGAAAACCCUAAUUUUACUCCAAACUUGAAACCGAAGCGUAAAACCCUAUUUUCUAGGUUUACUUACACUUAUUGUGAAAUAAUUGGGUAGUGGGCUUUGAUAAAUAAUAAUUUUCAAAUAAAAGGGUAUUUUUGAGAAAAAUACAAGAAAUUUGCGUGUCCUCACAUUCUCUCCCCCUUAAAAAAAUUUCGUCCUCGAAAUUUUACCUUCAGUUGCUUCAGACAAGUUUGGAACUUGUCGGUUGUCUAAAGCAUAAACCUUUGCCGGUCCGCUAGUUCGUUUCCCUCCUUCAUUCACUUGUGAUUUAGCUCCAUCCAGUUGCAGAGUAUUGCUUUCACGUGACUGUCUCCUCGGACAGUUGCUAACUUGAUGAUCGCCACUUCCGCAGAUUAAACAUUUCCGCCCCUUUCUCCAACAAUCGCUUUCGACAUGAUUUGCCUUUCCACAGUACCCACAGACCACGUGAGAAGCCAUCUUUUGGCUUUCUUGAAAACUUUUCCCAAAUCUGAUUUGGCUUUCUUUUGUAGAUCCUUCACCUAUCGCCCCUAAUGUCCAUGGUGGGUGGGACAAAAAGUUCACUUUUUGCACUUUGGAAGGGACUCUCGCUUCGCUUAAUUCCUCCGCUACACUACUCGAUGCACUCCUUUUCUGGGUCUGGGAAGCUUUUAUCUGUGUCUUUGCAGUCUCGAUUCUUUGAGCUUUCUCAAGGGCCUCCGUAAACGUAUUCACUUGUACUGCCGCUAAUGCUUCUUGGAGUUCCAAAUUUAAUCCCUGUAUAAACCGUCUUACUCUUCGCCGCUCUGUGGCCACCAAUUCAGAAGCAAACUUGGAUAGUUCGUAAAUUUUGUUUCAUAUUCGGCCACACUUAGCGUUCCCUGGCGUAGUCCAAUAAACUCUUCCUCUCUCCUCUCUUGAACUAAAGGAGGGAGGUAUUUCUCGUUAAAUUCCCUUAUGAAAUUCGUCCAUGUCCAUACGGUCUGUUCUCUUUCUCAUUUUGCUUUAAUAACGUUCCACCACGCUCGGACCGAUCCUUCAAAUUGGAACACCGCAAAGUUUACUUGUCUUUGCUCGGUGUAGUUCAAGACGGUGAAAAUAUUAAUCAUGGCCUCUAACCAUUGUUCGGCUAUAUCCCGAUCAGAUCCUCCAAGAAAUUUCGGAGGAGUAAACUUCUGAAACCUCUCAAGAGCCUUAUCUUCUCCGAUUUCAGGGUUCCGGGGUUGAUUCACGGCCAUUUGGCCUUGUUGAUCCACUAGUCUUGCCAAGAUAUCGGUUAUUUGUUGCAUUACCGUUGCCAUUGGGUCUUCGGCUUCAACCCUCGUUCCUUGCUCUUGUGCAGAUGUUGUUUCUCUUUCCUCUCUUGGCUCUUGAGCUCGUUCAUUCCCACGGCCACGUCCACGUCCACGGCUACGUCUCCCGUCCAUAUAUAUGUUUUCCCUCUCUUUUCUUUUCCCCAAAAGUCGCUAAUUAAGUAAAUAAACACGAUAAGGCAUUACUAAAGUAAAUCUAUUGAGGGCACCAAAUAUUCAAAUAAACAUAUACCCACAUAACACGCCAGACCAAGAUUGACGAUAAGCAAAUACACAAAUACAUAUCAAGUUGGACAGAUAACCAUGUACAUACAGGUAUACUAACGUCAUGUAGUAACAAUAUACAGGUAAAUCAAAAGGAAAAUGGUGAAGUCGUCCAGAUCAGCCCGUCCAGGUCUCUCACGUCACUUACUAUCCAAACUAGAUGUCCCUGAUCUCUUGUGCUUCAUUCUAGUCAGACAAAGCCUGUUCAUGUUCCCAAAAUGUAAGUCUCAAGUAUUUAGCAGCACCUCAACUAUAGAGUACUCAGGCACGAGAAUCCGAAAUAAGAUAAUUCACAUCUCGAGCUGCAGUCCCAAGAGUAAACUAUCUACAAUCGGAAUUCCUACCUGACAUACCUAUCUAUGGUCCUCAGAUACCAUUAGAAAGAUUUCAGGCCAAUAACAUUCGCAAUUCAUAGCUUCACAUAGUCCCUCAUACUUAUUCACCACUUAGUCCAGGGUCACUCCACGUAGAAACCACGCGAAGCAACUAUAAAUUUUAUCCCUCAAUCGCUUAACUUUCAAGUCCAAUCAAAUCCCACAGUCCGGUAUCCUAAUCUUUAAUCUAGGAUACACUACAGAGAUCUGAAUCCUAAACUCUGAUACCACUUGUAACGACCCCACCUCCCCCUAAGGCGUACCAGAGGGUUCGACGGGCCGCCUGCCCAGCUCUCGCCGGGACUCAGUCGUUCUUUAAUCAAAUCCAGAACAAAUCACAAGAAUAAAUAGGGCAGCAAUCCAAACUUAAAGUGGAACUUAUAUACAUUGCUAUCUCAAAAAGAAGUACAACCAUCAAAUGUACAAAAGGUUCUCACUUCACCAUACAACUAGCCAGUGCCACAGCACGUAGGGGAGAACCAUAUACAAAAGAAACAAAAGACCUAGGGCUAGUCUAUGCUCUCAUCCUGCUCGCCGUCCCCUGUUAAGGAAAACAAAACUAAAGGGGUGAGCUAAAAGCUCAGUGAGGUUCCAAACAGAUAAUCAAACAAUCAAACAAUCAAUUCAAUACAUUAAACAUGGAGUAUCAAUAAUUCAAGAAACAAUUACAAUGGAAAGCAAUAGUAACAUUCAUUAAAAGGAUACGGCUCACAAGGAGCAAUUCGUUCAUUUGUUCAUUCGUUCUCCUGACAUUUCCCCUUAUUCCUCCAAUCAUUUGAAAAUGCAUUUUUGGUUUAUCAAUAAACCCUCGUUCGUUCGUUCGUUCGUUCGUUCGUUCGUUCGUUCAUUCAUUCAUUCAUUCACCACCCCCGUCCUGGCCGUUGGCCAGUCUCCACCAACCUACAGGGUAAUACUCGAGUAUACCAAACGUUCACCCAAGUCCCUAAUCGCCCGACCGAGUCCGCUUCUGGCUCGAGACGACCGGUAACAAGGGGCAAUGGCCAGUUCAACCCAAAAGUCUUACAUUCAUGCGCAAGUAACAUUUCAAUCAUUAAAUCUUUGAAAAUUGCACAAUUAUUUAGGUCGAGUGCGAUAAAGUACACACUCGCCUAGAAAGCUCGUUUUGGAAAUCAUUAAAAGCAAUUAACACAUUAGCAAAUGAUAACAACAAGCCAUAAAGUCAAAUAAGGAACACUCACUUAGAUAUGCAAAAUAACGUGCAAAAUAUCCUUCCGAAUAUUACCCUUAGUCACCAAUGAAACCUCAAAAGCAAGGCUUGGUAGAGUGAUCCUUCACCCCCUUUGAUAUUUCUUGGUUCUUCAAGCUUCCCAACUCACACUUAGUACUUUAAUCGGUUUAGAAUUGGAUUUCUUACUUGGGUUGAAGCAAAUCAAGAAGGAAAUUUUGUUUAUCUUGCUCUCCUUUUCUCUCUCUCUUAGCUCGGCACUUAGCAAGAAAAAUGAGGGAAGAUGGAGCUUAGUUAUCUUAUAGGAAGACAAGAAGAUUAGAGCUAAUUGUGACCACAAUUGUUGACCAACACUUGGCCUAAUCUUGACCACAAAAUUUUUCUCUUUCUUUCCCUUGCAUAUGAGCCACAAUUUCGGUCAAGCUUGCUGCCAAGAGAGAAGAUAUUUUGCUCAAGUUCAAUAAAUUUGUUUGGUGAGAAAAAUGGUGGUCAAGUGGUGCGUUCAAUUGGUAGUGCGCGGGACCCGCCGGUUCGCGCCGUUUUUCUUAAAAACUCACGUACUAGGGUUUUUACUUCCCAUUCACUAACCUUAUAUCAUUGCUACCAAUCACAUAUUAUUUCUCACUUAAAAGUCACUUUUAAUCCUCAAAUUUAAUCCUUACUCUGUACCGAAAAUUCAUCCGGCGAAAAAUCGCGAAAACCCUAAUUUUACUCCAAACUUGAAACCGAAGCGUAAAACCCUAUUUUCUAGGUUUACUUACACUUAUUGUGAAAUAAUUGGGUAGUGGGCUUUGAUAAAUAAUAAUUUUCAAAUAAAAGGGUAUUUUUGAGAAAAAUACAAGAAAUUUGCGAGUCCUCACAAAUACUCCAGGUAAUUAUUACUACGAUCGAUCCUAUACACUUGCAGGAAUUCGUCGAUUAGCAAACCAAUAAAAAACCCUCUUUUUUUUAAUCUCCAAUAUUUAUGAAAACUAGGUUUAACUCUUGUGCAAAUUUAGAGCUUGGAUGAUAUUUGUAAAUAAUAUAUAUUGUUUGCCAACAUAAGUUGACUCAAUUGGUAAAAAUGGAUAAUUUCUUUACAAAAGAUUAUAUAUUUGAAUUCUAUUGUUGAUAUGCGAAUUAUAUUAAUGGGUAAUUUGUAAAAAUUUUUAUAAAUGACUCCUAAUUCUACGGACAUGCCUGGACUCGCGGUGGUGAUCGAAUCGAAUUUAUUUAAAUUUUCUUCUUACCAAUAUAUAUGUCUCGUGUCAUGUAGCAAUGAUGGAGGAGGAAUUGGUGGUUUCAACCGUCAUUGCUGGUCAAAGUUUUCAUUGUCGUGCAAAGAAACGAAUCAGUUGGUCAGUCGAUAUUUAUUGUAGCGAAUCAGAUGGUCCAUUGAGGGUUAAAUUCGUAUUUGCCGGCUGAUACUUAUUUUUACUCUUUAAAGUAUCCAUACAAUUUUCCCGACAAAUGAUAUUUCUACAACUCCAAUUUUUGCAGUAUAUUUCUUUCCACAUGAUGGUAAUUAUGUCUUUUAUUAGUCAAAGGGAGGAUUCAUUUUAAAAAGGGUAGAAAGAGUGAUAUGGCAGUAUUACUGGCUGUUUUCCCUAAUACCAUAUUUUUAAAUAUUAAUAUUAAUACGCAUUUACAAUUUGACACAAGAAAUUUAUAUCUUUUUUUGUUGCUUUAUGCUUCUUUUGCUACGAAACCAUGCAUGUUUGGCACUAGACUCUAUUCAUCAAAGAAUAAUUACUCUCGCAACCACUAAUUAAAAAAAAAAACCAUCACAGGUUUUUGGGUUAAUAUUGUCAGGAAAUCAAACGUAUCAUCAAUGGCGUUUCCAAAUCUAAUACUGAGCUAUUCUUGAUUGGGUUUGAACUCAAUACAGCAUUUUCUCAAAUUCCUCCUAUUUAUUUUUAAUACUUUCUAGUUGUGAUUGUGAAAAUCAAUUUUUUGCUUCAUUUGGAUUGAGAAAUUUGAUGAAAGAUAUAAAAUCCAUCUAAAUCGCUUUAAUUGUUUAGAUUACUUAACAGAAAUUUAGAUUUAUAAUACACCAACUAUUAAAAUAUAUUUUAAAUACUAAAAUAAUUAGUAAUUUACAAAUUCGAAUAUCUCCAAAAUAAUAAAAACAUUAUGAGAGAUUUGAGAGAAUUUCAAAUCUUUUAUCAAAACCUUCAAUCCUAACGCAGUCUUUAAGUAGUUCGAAAAUCCGAUUUUUCUACAAGUUAAAACUUAGGAUAAGUAUCAACACUCAAUAGGACUAAUUUGAAAUUACUUUCGAAUGCCUAAUCUUUGUCUACCCUUUUCAUUUUUUUUCCUGUUGCUUUUAUUACUUCGGAAAACAAACGAAGGAGUAAGAAUUUCUUUAUACACUUACCAAAAAGAAAAGAAAAGGAAAAGAGUUUGGAGGAGAGUUGUGAUGAGUGGUAAGAUGGGAGGGAUAUUAUAUAUAAGGUACUAGAUUCACAACCUUUCACACAAAAAAAAAGGAAAAAUUUUUGUUUACUCUGUAAUGCUCUGUAUAUUUAUGUAGCUAAAAUCUGUAUAUCUAACAAUGACGCUAGUUGCCAGAAUGUUUAAUAUAAACAAUGUCGGUAGUGAAUAUAAAGUUGCCCCACCCACAAAAACUGUUUAUUGAUUCCAUUGACUUGUUCUUCAACUGAUAUAAUGCAUCAAAAUUUUUUAGAAAAAUAAAAUUUUCAAGGACGUCUUCUUCAACUUGCAAGAGAUUAAAUUGAGGAAUAAUUUCAGAAACCUCCUUAAAGUGUUUUAACAAUUUCAAGAAACUCCCUUCUAAUUUUUAAUAUUAUACAUACCUCCCUUCAGCAUGCAAAAGUACUCUUAUACCUCCACCCCAUUUUAUUUACAAAAGGAUAUAAAAAAUAAAAAUGAAAAUCAUGACCCUUACGUCCGUCUUUCCUUUAUCCUCACGACCACAUUGUCAAAAAUUCUCCCAAUUUCUUUCUUCCCUUUUCUCUUCCCCAUGCUUUACCUGACACCCUCCUUGAAGUCAUAGUGUUCGCUUACCAUCGCACCUUAGAGCGGUCAGUGUUUACUACCUUUCCUCCUUCCAUCCCCUCUCUUUAUAUGGCCCUCCACCUUCAUCCCUUCCCUCCAUCUUCAUUAAUAUACUUUGGCAAUUUGGUUUUUUGUUUUUGUUUUUCUUCUUUUCUUUUUGUGAUUUUAUGGGCGAAUAGAAUUUUUUUAAUCCAUUUUUUUGGUAAGUGAGAGGGUUUUAACCAAAAAUCUCCUACUUGCAAUCCCCACCCUUUUAUUAUCUAACCCAACCCUUCCCCAAUGGGAUGAUAGAAUUGGAUAUAUUUGUCUCAUCUGUAUAUACUUUAGUCACAUAAUCAUUGUUGCUCCAUUAAUUUUUUUUUUGGUGUUAAAUGGCUCUAUUAUUUGUAUUAUCAAGGCGUGUUCAAGAAUUUAUUGAACCAAAACCUGCUAAUUAUAGCAAGUUUCAAGAUAUAUACAAAUGUGACUUAAGUACCUUGUUUUUCUAAGGCUUCCAGCUUUGGCUGAGGUUGAUUUUGGGGACCAUUUGAUUUUUUCAUUGUUCCGUACAAGAGUUGAGCCCCAAAGGAAGACAAAUUAAUACAUCAAGCGGGCAUACAGAUGAAGUUAUGAGACUAUACGGACAGACAGCUGAUCCAUAUUGGACCACAUAUUCUCCUUGUAGCCAAAUACUCACUAGUCCUUGCCUUCCAUUUCAAACUUGCAUUAUUCUCAGUUCUCAUCUGCCAAAAUUUGAUCUAUUAUAUAGAUGACGUACUAUAUGCUCAUUAAACGCUCAGACCGACCGAUUUUGUUACGACCUUGGUUUCGUCUUCAAGGUCUCAAAUGAAGCAUAAUCACAAUAUUUGGUAGCAUAAAACCACCAGGCAAAUUGAUUUGCUAGAUGUUUCGUUGAAUUCUUGAAAUUUCUGUUUGGCAUACACAUAGUAGUUGCCUUAUUGGCAUAUUAAGCAAAGCUCAAUAAUAGAGGUGGCAAUUUGGAUGGAGAUCCAUUUAUUCAUCCAUAUAAUCCAUAAUUAAAUAGAUUUGGAUUAUCCAUUUAUAGUAUUGAUUUUAAAUGGUUGACCGAAGUAAACUCAUUAAAUUAAAUGAAUUUAUAUGGAUUAUCCACAUAAACCAUAUAUAUCCAUUUACUUAAAAUCAAAUAAAAGAAAUGAAAAAGAAAUAAUUAAAAGUGGACUUUAGACUGAUUCCUUUGCCUCUUCACUCCUCGGUGGUUCUGCUAUCAAGCCCGCACAGUCACACUCUCCUGAGGCCGCAUUUCCAUUUUCCAGUCAAUUUUACCUUCCUUUUUUUUAAAAUUGAAACCUAGCUCUCUUUUGUCCCCAAAAAUCCCGAAUAUUAAUUCAUCAAUCAAAGUUGAGACGCCUACAUACUUCAGACCUGAUUGUAAAACAAGUGAAUGGCUUCUUAUUUUUAUGGACAAAUUCCAGACUUUUUCUAUUUGUACUUGUGUAUAUACACGUGUCACUCUAUUACGUAGUGACAAAGUUUGUAAAUUUUCAAAAUACUGAUGUAUACUUCCUUUAUGGAAUGAAAAAUGUAAUAUUUGACGAGUAAUAAAGAAUACGUACAUAUAUAUACAUAUAUAAGUAUGCACAUAUAUUUGAUUGGUAUAGAAAACUACCAUUACGAGUUUGGUUUUUUUUUUUAAUAUAAAAAUCUAAGUAUUUGUCCUCUUUCUCAUCCAAAUACACCUAAAAUUUACAAGUACAUAAAAAAGUAUCUUCAUAUUACAAGAAAUGGUAAAACAAAAAAAGUAACCAAAAUAUUUAAAUGGAUUAUAAAUGAAUAAUUGGUUUUUAUUUAAUCCAUUUAGAUCCAUUUAUUGGAUCUAAAUGGAUGUAAAUGGAUUGGAUAAAUUUCAUCCAUCAUCCAUUAAGUCAAAACCAAUUAUGAACCAUUUAUCCAUAUCGCCACCUCUACUCAAUAAUUCUGAGUUUCCAUACCUUAUUAUCCAAAGAAAUGAAACAUGUGUAGAGUUUUGCAUCCCUGUCAUAAUUGGAGAUAAUGAUGACAAACCAUAAAAAUACCUAACAUUUGGUUUGUAAAAUUCAAGAUUUAAAAGUUUCUCCCAAAAACUACUAAAUUUUAAUCCAUGCACCGCACUUAGGAGUAUAUUCAGUACAUUUCAUUUGAAGAGAGCAAAUGUGAUCAGUAGAGUUGAUUUGACUGGAUAAUUGAGAGAGAAAUUUUUUUAGGGGAAUUUUUUUUAAACCAAAGUACAUUAGUAUCUUUGAUUGCGUAAGGAUAUCCCAUUUUUCUUUCAGUAUAGCUUUAGUGGGGGUGAAAUUUUUUAACCUUUAUGUCACAGUACUAAAUUGUAAGUGUAAGGGAAAAAUUGAAUGCAAGGUGGCUAGUCUGAGAAAAGAAUGUACUACUACAUAUUUGUAAUUUUAAAUGGUCAGUCAAAGUUUACCCUCUCGAACUAGGGGUAUUCUCAUUGACGUGCAUGGGUAUACAUAUACAAUUAAGUUCAUCCACAAUCAAGUUUUAUAUUUAUUAACUUCUGAAUACCCCACACGCGAUUUAUCGCAAGUAUACGAAUCAUAAGCGAGUAUAGGGUAUUAAGGGUCAAUCCCAUAUGGAAGAUUUCAAUUACCGGUAUUUUUCGAACUCCUUUAUUAUCUAGACUACCAUAAAUAUAAAAGUAAUGAAAAUAACACUACAAAACUCCUAGAAGUAUGGAAUUCCUUACUAUUCUUACAAAUGAAGUUUCCGAUUAAGUGAAUGCUAUUAUCUUAUCUAGUUAUGGCAUAAUUUCCUCAUUUACGUGAAACCUACUCUCCUAGUAAAUCAACUUACUUAUAGCUAAAUCAUAUCUACUCUCAUGGUUAUGAAUUAACUACAAGUUCAUUUCUUCUAUGAAAUUACAUGAAACAAGUCACUAAAGCCACAAAGUGCACCUCUACUCUUGUGAGUGAACUCCCUAGGUUUAUCACUUCUUUGAACUAGUGUUAAAUUUUAAUUCUCAUUGCAAACUUAACACCUUUAGAUAAUCACAAUUAGUGGCCAGUUAAUCAUGAUUAGAAAAGCAAAAGUGUUAAAUAACUUGCUCAAAAUAAUAUUAUCAAAUAACCAAGUAAAUAUCAUUAACAAGAUAUAAAAAGUUCAUCCAUAACUUUAGGCAUAAAUUUUAGAAACACAUAUUGAAACACAAAGCAAAACUUGCAUAUUAACCAUACUUAAGAAUUCAAUACAAAAGAUAAAAAGUUGAAGAAGAGAUAACCCUUGUCACAUGAGUUUCAAGCCCUCUUUCUUCUUCUCCAUCUUCAUCCUAAUCUAGCCAAUAUACAAGAAUGGAUAAAAACUAUACUACUCUAUACUAAACUACUAAACUAAUGAACUAAGAAAAACUAGUGAAAACUAUAUUUUUGGUGGAGUUUCUCUAGCCUUCCAAAGUUGUGAAAAUGGUCUCCAAAGGCUUCUAUUUAUAGAGGAAUUCAAGGUCAAGAAGAGUUGUUAAAGUUGUCAUUUUUUGACUCAUGAACUCCUAUGAGUUGUCUCUCCAACUUUCCAACCUUUUCUUGAUCAGAUACAAUAGAAAUUGAUAGCUAGAAUUGAGUUGGAAAAGUUGUGUGAAAGCAGAGCAAGUUGAUGUGCAAAUUGCAAAAAACAGAAGAGAAUACGCGACUUCAACUCACGUAUUGAUAGUCGCAUUUUCACUUUAGUACCACUUCAACUACUAUGUUCGCAAUGAUGGAGGCCGAACUAGUUCUUGUGCAAACCAUGAAAAUUGUAUCCUUUGAGUUAGCUUUCCAAUACCUCAAGAUUCAUCCAAUUUGAAGCUCUGUAGACUAAGAUAUGACCAAAAUACUAUCAACUGGUCAAAGCUCUGUUUCAGUUUUCGACAGCAGAGUUGCACUUUUGUAUUUCGACUUUUUGACAAUGAAAACGACUGAACUGAACUUCGAUGUCCUCAUACCAAAUGUAGAUUCAUCUCUUAGCUUCAAAAUGGUAUAAGAAUCACUUCAAUCCAAUGCUUGUAACUCAAGAUAUUACCAAAAUACCAUAAGAUAUCAAAGCUGUGAAGCUUCCUUUUAUUCUUGAUUGCAUUUCCUCUCUUGUACUUCACAUCUUCUUUAAACCACUUCAAAUCAUCCAUAACCAUCCAAUUAUCUUCUCAAUUCAUACCAUUUGAUGAUUGAAUUAUUAAACCUACAAAAACAUGAAAUUUUCACCAUAAAAAUCCAUAGAAAUGCAAUUUUUACCACUUAAACCAUAAAAUACAUAUUUUCACUAGAAACUUAGUUAAUUAGCUAUAAAAGUAAAUAAAACACACCAAAACUAAUUAAUAAAACACACUAAAAAAGACGUAAAAUAUACUCUUGUCACUCAUUUUACUUCCCAAUAUAAUGGAUGUUGUAUUUUUUAACACUCUAAAAGAAUGUAAAAUUUUUUUCUUCCAAUUUCCCUCAAAGUUAUUAUGAUGAACGCCUACUUCUGAAUUCUUUGGUAAAACCAAUAAAUGGUCAAAGUAGCAAAAAUCCAGGAUUUUAGCAAUAAGCUCAACAUUCUUUAAAACCAAAAAGUAUAACAUAAGGGGGAAAAGAAACAAGUAUAACAUAAACUGCAACCUCACAACUAAAACUCUUGAGAGAAUUCCAACAAUAAUCAGCAGCCCUUACUUCUUUCAUUGAUUCACUGAUGAUACCCUAACAACAUGGCCUAAUAUUGAGUAAUAGAGUGUUAAAUAGGUUUUAUACUAAUUUUUAUAGAUGCCUCUCCUUAUUCGAUCCUAUUUCUUUUUUCUGUUGUUAUUUCUUUGCACAUUGUAGCACCUGAGUGUUUCUGGCCAUGCAUCACAGUAACAUUGGCAGUUUAGUCAUUAAAUCACUUUUUUUUAUUGGAGUUGAUAAAUUAGUUAAUAUCUAGUGUUGAGGAGGACAAGAUUGCAUAAUUUUUUCAUUCUAGAGGGAAAAGUACGAUCACAAACUCUACUCCAAGGGAGCAAAAUAUUAUUAAUCCUUAUUAAAACUAGUAAUAAAAAGUCACAGCUUCGAGACUGAGCAAGUUGAAAAUUUUAAAUUCUUCAAUGGCUUCUUUUACACAAAUACAUAAUGUGCCUACUAAAGUUAAGAAAGAAAAAGUAUGAAUUUGCCACCUUUUUGCGGAAUAUGAGUAGCUUGACAAACAUAUUCUUGAUUAUAUUGAGUAGCGACACGAUUUGUGUUGAAGAUUUAUAUGUAACAAGUGCACAAAUAUUUUUGACAUCUAUAUACAUGUUUCUGGUGUAGGUAAUAAAAAUCACAGGCAAUUAAUUCGAUACUUUAACUUUCCAACUCUUCCCUAAUCAAUCCCAUCCCACAUCAAGGCAAGUAGUACUAGUAAUAUAAGUCCAUUCAUGAAUCAUGCCAUUAUACAUGGGCCAUAUCUUAUCACACGGUUGACUAUCUACCCUCCAUGGAUUUGAAUAAUGCCACUAGAAUAUAAAAUCCAAACAGGGAAUCCAAGCUGUGAUAAGUUGGAUAUUCCAUCAGAUAUUGCAGUCAUAAUUAUCUUCAACAGCCAACUAAAUCAUGGGGUCGACACGUUUCCAUGCAUAUUUUUAUCUCUCCCUCUUCGAGAACCAUGUCACGUAGAUCUCCCUAUAAAUAGAGUAGAGAUUGCUCCAGCUUCCUCAUCCUUCUCAUUGCUCUUAAUACCAAAUCUUGAGUUCAUAAACCAAGUUGUGUGAGGAAAACAAAAAUGGGUUCCAAGGCAAUUCUCUUCCUAUGCCUUUUGGCAGUAGUUCUGAUGAUUGCU